CUUUUGCUUACCUACCAACUAUUAACAUAAUACCAUUUAACUAAAUGAUAUUAUAUAGGUACAUGUAUGCAGCUCAACAUACCACAAAUAGCAAUAAACGACAUUGAAUUUAAAUUUACUUUAAAACAAAUACUAAUUUGAUAAACAGUUUUGACAUUGAAUUUAUAUAACAAAUUAGAAGGUUAAUGGAUCUAACUCCUUCUAAGAUGAGUAUCUAAUUUUACAAUGUAAAGUGAGUAAUAUCAACAACCAAAUAACAUUUAAAAAGGAGUAGAUACUGUAUUAUUUGAACGUCAUUAAUAACAACUUUCAGUUGUUCAAAUGUGUUUGUGUGUAUGUACUACUCCAAAUUAACCUCAGUUUAUGUAUGAUAUUCAUUAACCUUAAUUUAUGUCCAAAUGAUGUUCAAGAUCGUAAUUAAUUUAUGUUCAUUUAAAGAUUACUCAAUAGUGACAUCUUAUUAUAUCUAUUAAUAAUCUAUAGAACUACAUUGAUCACAUAUUUAAACGGUAUUAGCCAUCAAGUUUAUUAUCAAAAUUUGGAUUAACCAUCUAAUUUAUUAUCAAAUUUGUUUGUCAAAAUAUCUCUUCAUAAUAAGAGCGAUUAUGCAUAAAUUGUCGUUAUUAUUCGAGGAUUGAAUCUUGUUAGUAUGAGCAUAUCUCUUGUGGUGUGUUAUUUUGAAUUUGAUUAUAGUAUAAGUCUUUACUUCAUUGCCAGCUCUGUUAAUAUAUGGCAUUGUUAUGUAGCUGAAAUUUUCACCAUUCAAGAUUUGUUGAACAUUCUUAGGAAAUAAGAUGAUAUAUUUAAAACAUUUUUUUGGAACUUUGCAGAAAUUGUUUGUCCCAAAUGCAGUUAUAUGAGACGCUCCUACAAUAAGUAGGUUAGGACAGAAACACAAUAAAAUAGAUGGAACAAACAAGGUGUACAAAUUGUCAAGAAAAACAAGCUAUAUUAAAUUGUUAAUAAAUAGUAAAAGUAUACCAAAAAUAUAAAAGCUUCCAACGGAUCAAUGAACAAGGGCCCCUCCAUAACAACUAAAAUAUACUAUUUUGUCAAAAAAAAAAAAAAAAAAAAAACUAAAAUAUAUCUCAUCAACACACAAAUUUGCAUCACAUGGAGGUAGUUUUACUAGUGAACAUCAUUCAUUUCAAUUACCUCAAAUUUAUAUCAAUUUCCUACCUAUGCUAGCUCCAAUGCACCAUGAUCUCUUUGAUAUUCCACCUGUAACCCUAUCUCUCAUCACUAAAAUCUUUAACAAGUUGGUAUAUUCAUUUCUUAUGAAAAUGUUUAGUUUUAUGAAAAUGUUUUUCUAAUUUUACUCUUUAAAAUUUUGUGUUAGUUGUACUUAUAAAAAGGAGAAAAAAAGACUAUUGAAUUAGACAAUUAUUUUACAUUUUCAAAAAUUAACAAUAAAAAUGUAAACUAUUUUUAUUAUUUCAAGAAAUUCAUCAUCCUUAACUAUCAUAUUAUCUUUUCUCUAUUUUCUUUCCUAAAUAGUUUAAUGAUUAAACUCACACUCACUAUAUUCAUGUUAUUUUAUUUUAUUCUUUACAACUAUCAAACGAGCUAUGAUUCAUAUUACCUUUUCUCUAUUACAAUGAUUUAGUCUAAAAAUCACAUGUCUUCAUAUUAACAAAUUAAAAUGAAUACAUAACCAAGAAACUAAAAAAAAUAAAAAAUUCACAUAAUAUACAAAUUGAAAGGUUCAAGAUGUUAAUAAUUAUCAGAUCAAAGUUAAUUGAGUUAGACCUUUGACUAGAACAAUAUUUAAUAAAUUAUUUUCUAGUAAAUUAUAAGUGAAAAUGAAUAAAGCUUAAUCCAUAUUUUAAAUUGUAAGUGAUAUCUUUAUCAAAAGUGGAUGAUCAAGACAUAAAUAACCUCACAUAAUAUGUAACAAACACAAUAAAUGAAGAUAAAUAAAACUUAAUUUAUUUUAUUUUAUAAAUGUAUUUAUUAUACUAAACAAAAUCAAGAGGCUAAAUACAAUUACAAAUUGUCAACAAAUUGCAGAUCGAUCAACCUACAUUACCAUUAAAAAUUCAGAGAAAAAUAAAAAGAAAAGAAAAGGGAAUAAAAAUAAGUACACUUUCCAUUUUCAUUUUCACUGACCUCACUUUUCCACUUUUUUUCUCUUCAAACUCCAAGAUCUGCAAAAAUUCCAUGCACUUAUUUUCUUUCCUUCCAUUUUCUUUCCAUUUUUUUUCCAUCAAAAUAACGCCAUAAAAAUAGGUAAAACCGACACGGCGCAGAGCAUUACCGAUCCCUUCAAAGACGGUGGCGCCGCCGCGCCCGGUGGUGGAGUGUGGUAAUAGAAAGGAAAAUAAGGUACAAUAGGAUUUGGUGGUGGCGGCGUUCCAUAGUUCCCACCACUACCACUACCACUACCACCAGUUGGCGGUGGAUAAUAUAAACCGCCACCUCCACCUCCUCCGGUGGACGCAGGUGGCGGUGGUGAUGAGUAGUAAUACACUGAAGGCGGCGGUGGAGAGUAGUAAGUUGACCCACUACCACCACCGGAGCUGGGUGGUGAAGGAGGAGGAGGACAGUUGUUGGUGGAAGCAGGUGGUGGUGACGGUGGUGGUGGAGAAGGUGGCGGCGGCGAAGAAACUUGACCACAAGGCGUGCACUUCACUUCAUCUUUGGUAACAGUUGUAAGAUUCUUGUGAUCUGUUACUAAAUCUCCAAAAGAUUUAGUAACACUUAGAAAUAGUAACAUAAUCAUGAAACAACACAUUGAGGUUGUUGUUUGAAGUGUUACCAUUUUUUUUCCUUGAAUUUGUGAACAAAAUGAGAAUGAUGAAAACCUUAAAAUGAAAUGGGGUACUAUAAUAAUGUUGCUUAGUAAACAAGGGUGUGAGAGUGGAAAGUUUACAUAAAGAAAAGUGAAAGGUGUUUGUGUUGCUAUUUGAUGUGUUGUGUGAGGUUUGGUGUGAAACAACUUACUCUUAUCUUUUGAAGCUACACUAUACUACACCAUGUCUUUUUAUCAAUGCACUCAUUAUUUUAUUUUUAUCAAUAAAAUAUAUUUAUAUUUUAUUUUAUAGAAGCACCUAAUUAAUUUAAAUGGUAAGAGACUUGUAUGUCUUAGUCAGAUGUGGUUGUAAGUUCGAUGUAUAAUUCUUGCCUAUAAAUGAAACUAGGUUAAAAGGAGAGAAUACAUUUUAUUUGUCCAAUAUGUUUUGUGAUAGAUAUUAAUCACCGCUAAACAACAAUAACGGAUAUUCGAUACAUUAUAAAAAAGGGAUCGUGCUAAGAAAUAAGUAUCCUUAGUACAUUUGUUUAAGAUUCAAAAUAUAUUAUUUUUAACAAAGUUAAUGCAUGAAAGUUGCCUUUUAAAGCUCCAAUGUGUUAAAUACACUAAUCACAAGAUAAAAUUUCUUCUGUAAGUUUCUUAAAAGAAAGUUUUAAGGACAUUUAUUUGUUAUCAUUUUUCAAAGUAUUUUAUUUUGAAUAGGAAAAAAAAAAUGAAUGGAGAAUAGUAAAGUCAGCAAAAGACAGAAAACAAUGGAGGACACCGACACGUUUCACUUUACCAGAAAGCAGCCACGUUUGAAUACUUAUGAGACAUUGACUUAGGUUGGACGGUAAUUUACCUACGUAACAAUUUCACUAAAAUACUAUAUAUGUUCAUACCUGAGAUUUUCAUAAAAAAUUAGGUUUACCAUUGUUUUGUUAGAAACAUACCACAUGUAACCAAUAAUGAAAUUGUAAGUUUUAAUUAUAGGAUCGAUUAUGAGACUCGGUUUUUAUAAUUCCAUAUUGAAUUGAAAUCCGUUUGAAUUUUUUUAUGUCUUGUCUUAUUUGGAUUUAUAUAGAAGUCUCACUUAAAAUAAGUUAAGAAAUCAAAAUGGACUCUUAAUCAUUGUAGAUGCACAAAGUUGUCAAGCACAAUUUAAGGACACUUUUACUAUUUGACUUACCACUUGCAAGUUUUUUAAAGUAAUGUAUAGUGACAGUUUAGUUAGAUGAGGUCUUAAUUAGAUGAGUCAGCUAGUGUGUCAAGUCACCAUUAUAGUGUUUAAUUUGGAGUUGGAAUUUUAGGUAAAUAAGGUUAAAAUGUGUUAUUAUGGUAUGAUGAUAGGAGUAUAGUAGGAGGAGGUAAUAAAGUGUAGGGAUGGUCCUAUAAUGAAGAGACGUAAAGGAAACGUAACAAGAAGAGGUGCAAAAUGCCAAGCAAAGUUGGAUUCAUCUUAUUGUUUGUUUGUUUAUUUGUUUUGGGAGACGAUAUGCGUUGGAUCUGUUUUGUGUACAACUCACUUCUCCUUCUAUCUCUUAUUGGGACUUUGGAUCUGCGGCUGUAAAAUUUGAAGUUGUAAUUAAUCUUAAUUGUUAAUCUAAAAUAUGACGAUUUACAUUGUAUAUCAGUUUAAUCAUGCUUAAAUAACUGGAACUUCUUUAUAUCAUCAAUCAAUGUGAACGUUUAUUUUAAUUGCAUUACUUUUACCAACAAACUCCUGUACCACAUGCAACAAAUGUAUAACACUUGUAUAACGUAAUGGUAUUUUUUUUACAAGUAACGUAAUGUUAUAUACCAUUAUCUAAUUAGAAUGUGCCACUUGUUUUUCCCUAAGUUAGAGGUUAGUGUAUGCACUACCAUCCACAUUAAAAAGCUAUUGUAUUUUUGUUUUAAGUAAAUGUCAUUGUAUUGCAUCAACUAUUUUCUAACACAUUUCCCAAAUAAUAUUUGGAUAGAAGAAGACAUCCCAAAAUGCUUUCAAAGUUUGAAAUUACAUGAAGAUUGUAGCUAUAAACGAGUAUUUUUAACCCACUUGGGAUGAUCUGAUGGUAUUGAUUUAGGGUGUACUCCUCAGGUUCGAUUCUCACCGAUACCAAUUUAGAUUAGCUAAUUUAGCUUAUUCAAAAAGAAAAAAAAAUCCCCAAGUAUGUCUUAAGAAGAGUUCCUUUCAACGAUAAAUUUGUUGCGCAAAAUUUUAAAUAUUGUGCAUGAUAUACAGAGCUAGAAUAUCAAAUAUAAGCCACCAGGGCCAGCCAAAUGUAUUUUUAGGCCUGAACCAAAAUUUAAUUAGAGGUCUUUUAAGUGCAUUUAUAAUGAAUUUACAAUGUUUGAUAAAAUGCUACUUUUUUUGAAUUUUUAAAAAAUAAGUUUUAAUUAAUUGUUUAAGAAUGUCAAUUAAAUUGAACAAAUUUAACGAAUAAGUUCAUUAAUUUGGUUUGGUUCAAAUUUUGUUAGAAAAGAUUGCAAAAAAACAUACAAAACCAAACUAUUUUAUAUUUUGAUAAAAUAAAAAACCAAACAAACUAUUUUUUCUAAAAAAUCAAACCGACGCAUUAUAUUUUUAUUUCAGAAAUAUUGUAGUUGUAUUAAUUAAAGGUGUGGCCUGUGAGCUUAGCUAAGUGCUAAAAGUGCUAAGGACAAUACAUAAUAUAUGCAAGGUCCAAGGUUCGAAUCCCGACUACCAUACAAAAAAAAAUAAAAAAUCAAAGGUGUGGCAAAAUACCACUUAUUCAUAAAUACCCUGUUCUCUUCUUCUAGUUUUCUAAAGAAAAUGAUUCUUUUAGAAUAUUAAUUAAAGGGUUUAUUUAGAAUGAUAACAUUAAAUAAAUAUAAUAAAAAUUGUAAAACAAAAUUAAAUAUACUUAAGUUAGUUGAAAUUUGUUUAUAUUUGAGUCUACAAAAUAGUUUUUUUUUCCUCCUUGUAUUUGAGUUAACGGGGAGUACACAACACCAGAGAGUUGAGAUAUCUUUCAGUAAUUUGGAGUUUGGUUUUAGAAAUUUAAACCAUCGAAGAAGAGUUUUACGCUUACCUAAUCUUAUUAUCUAUCUUGAAAGAUUAAUCGACGCAGUUGUAGUAAAUAUAUGAUCUACACAAAAAAGAGUAAAUAAAAAAUAGAGUUAAAUUCUUGAUAUAUUUUAUAAGACUUAAACAACACUUCUUUCGUUUUAUAAGUAUGGCUUGGUAGGUAAUUACAUGAAUAUUGAUAUGCAUGAGAUUUUUGCUUCUCCACAUUAAUAGUGUGAGAGCCUAACCAAUAAACUACUUGACCCAUAAGAAUAACACUCUUUCAUCUUGCAAUAACUAUCGUAUUUUACGCAAAUUAAAAAAGAUGAUAAAUAAAUAAAAAGAAUGAUGAUUAUACUAUCUUAUUCAAAUCAACCAUUUGUGUAUUUUCAUUAUUAUAAAUUCAGUGUGAAAAAUAAUAACUUUUGAAUGAUUCACAAAAAAAAUCAUUCGAGGGUAUAAUUAGAAGAAAAAAUCAAUCAAAACUAUAUUGAAAAUUGACAAUGACACUUCUUUUAUAACACAUUUUUCUUACAAAUAUGAUUGUUAUUAUGAGACAUUCACAAGUAUUAUUUAUUUAGUUCUUUAAAAAAAAGUACUAUUUAUUUAGUUCAAACUCGUUUAAUUGAACAUUUGUUUGUUGGUAUCCGUUAAUUAUAUGUUUCCCUAACUAAAGAAAUGGUAGAGAUACAUCACCGAUAGAAUUGUUCAGUUGAUAGAAACAUUGUAUUAUAUAUGGGAGUUGAAGUUCGAAUUUUAAAUUUCUCAUUUAUUUACUUUAAAGAGUGAAAUUCUAACCACUAAACAAAGAAAAAAAGGUAGAGAUAUAUUUACGGCUCGGAGUGCCCAUAAGAAACAAUCCAACGAUAAAAAAAAGUGCUCUAUAGACAAAUGCAAAUCACCCCAUUGCCAAAUCCAUAAAUUACAAACCAAAAGUUUGCUUUGAGGUAAAAUAUUAACUAAUUCUCAACGGCAAACAAUGUUAGAAAGUCAAUUUUCCACCGUAAAUGGCCGUCCAUGUUUACCUUUCCAGGCUGGUUCACCUUAGUUUAAUUAAAAUCUAUAAAGUUUGUCACUCAUCCAUCGGAGGCUCCACCACCAAAGGUUUUCCUCUUUCUUUUUCAAAAACUAUUAUUAUUAGUCAAGAUUUUUCUUUGGCAAUCAAGGUUUAAAAUAAAUUGAGGAAGAGAAAAUCAGUAUCAAUAACGAUGAUACUAGUGACUGUUUUAUAAUUGUUCAUGUGGCUUAACCUUGAACUAUACCCUUUUAGGUAGUCAUGGUUCUUGAAAAAAACUUUCAAAAAGUUAAAAAUGAAUUUCUUGAAAGAACAUGAAAAGUUGUUGGUACAUUUUCUAACCAAACCCAUGAACAUAUACAUCAAACUUUUUGUUGUUUUCCUUUCUUUUCUUUUUCCUUGUAUUCUCACUACACUUUUUUUCACUGAUUUGAGACUACAUAGUUUUCUUAGCAUGUAUAGCUAUAGAUAUAAAUGGUAUAGCUAUAGACAUGAUGUAAGAUGAAAUAUUAUGUUUUAGUUUGUUAUAUUUUUUUAUAUGCUUAUGACAUUUUAUUUAUAACAAUGUGUUUAAUAGAGUAUGGUACAUGAUCAAUCAAGAUUUGGAAACUAGUUAGAUAUGUGAUCUUUUUGGCAAAAAUAUAUACAACGAUCAUUUUCUUUUCUUAUAACAAACUCAACCUGCGAGUUUCUAUAACAAGAGGAAAAAAACAUAUCUACAAUUGCGAAUAAUGUCAUCAAAUUUAACGACAUCUCUCUUAUCCAUCAAGAUGAAGAUGAUCAUAAGCUUCUACAUCUGAGAAAUGGUGUCUAUGUUGUUAGAGUUUUGAGUGAUUUUCAAAUAAUGAUCAAUGGUGAAUCACCUAUGAUCAAAGUGGUCUAUUGUAAAAUUUUCCUAGUUUAUACAAUGUAAUGUCAACAAAAUAAUACUCUUUUUUUUUUUUUGGUUGAUAGACGAACUAACAAUUGUCAUUAAAAACUCAUAUACAUAAGUGUAAUAGUCAUAGUUUUAACCAUAAUCACGGCACCAUACUUAACAAUUUAUGCAUUUUUGUUGGUUAAACAAUUUUUGUGAACAAAUAAUACCCUCUUAAAUUGCAUUUUUUUUUACAAUUUUUUUUUUUAUAUAUAGAUAAUGGAAUUGUAUUAUAUAAACCAUUAUUUACACUUGAAUAGAAGACAAGCGGACAACAAGCUGAGCCGUUAGGCCUUUUUGGAUGGCAAAACCAAUUCUCAUAAACACAACAUUCAUGGACCUAGGAGACAUGACAUUGUUAUGCAUGACCUUUUGAACUCUAUGUAGAAGGUCAACAGCCUCUGCUGCUUGAAAACCGAAAGUGUCAAAAACAAAUGGAUAAAUCGCAUUUAAAUUGAUAAAUUAAUCCAAACAAUAUAUACUCCUACAUUGUUGGAAAAAUUGAGCAUGGUGUGAGGGAGUCUACAUUGAAUAUAAUGUAUUCAGCACAUACUAUUCAAUUAAACUUAACCUUUAUUUUCAAAUUCAUUAUUGUGAAGUGUCACUCAUGAAGCUUUUUUGUAUGAAUAACUUAAGCUUAUUGUUUUUUUUUUUUUUGAAGGAACUUAAGCUUAUUGUUGAAGAGCUCCAUCUAAAUUUUCUACAUGAAACUGCUGAAAAUUGUCUAUUAUCUUGAACCAGCAUAAAAUUAGAAGGAACAUUGAAACAAUGAGUACUAAAGUAUGAUAAAGUAGAACAUACAACAAAUUAAGUCUAAAACAAAGAAUACAAUGUACACAAGAGAAAUGUUUUUCAAACGCAAAUGCCGUAUUAAAUACGGUUUUAACUUUUUUAAUCAGUUUUUCACUCUCCUCAAGAUCCAAAAACAUUUUAAAUACACAUGCAUGUAUUAAUAAACAUUUUUUAAUGUAUUUUACAUGAAAAAAAAUUCUUUGCACCUCUUAUCUACUCAUAUGAGGGCCAACCAAAUAAUAUAACAUAGGUGGAAAAUCUCGUAAAAUCAGGGACGUAGUUAAAGGGUGUCUUUGAUAUUCAACUCUUUAGCUGUUCAGCAUAUUCUUGGUAUUGGACUCUCCUAAGCUAAGGUCUUAGUUAUAGCCAUUAUGGAGUAUUGACUGACAUAUGAUACAUCAUAUCCAAACUUUCAUUUGCUUUUGCAUUUCAAUGGAUGUCCUUGUCUAAGGAAAUUUCGACCCUUUUAAAUAUUAUAAUUUCAUAGCUUUACUAUUUUCACUUUCUAAGUGUCCCUUUGGUUGGGGUCACUUUGAUGGGAUCUAUAUCAAAACAUUCAUUUGGAAAGAAUAUCUGAGCCGGGUCCUCUAAUAAGCUUGUAUAGCAUAUACGGUAUAAACAUAUUAUGUACAUUAGUUUUACCUCGCAAGACUUAAACUUUGAAAAGUUGCAUGAAUAUUCACCAUAUCCGAACUAAGCCAAAAAAUGUGUGUCUGUCACCAUGUACUACUUUGGAUGAUACUUAUUUGUUUUCGUUGAAAAUUGGCUAAAAAUUUGAUGUUGAAUUGAAGGGUUGUCAAAAAUCACAGCGUGAUUGAUUUUAAUCGUGGCACGAUUUGGUUGAGCAAUUUGAAGGUUUUGUUCACAAAAAUUCGUUCUACGAUUGGGUUAAAUCGUAACACGAUUUUGGAUUAGGUUUAGUACUAUAUUGUGGUACGAGCUCUAAAUCGUGGUGUGAUUCAGACAAAUUGUAGCGCGAUUUUGAUGGGAUUUGAGUAAUAUAUAAGCCUUCAUUCUUCAAUUCUUUCGGUGGCUUCUAUAAAGAGAAUUCUGUCAAAUCAAAGGAAGGAACUUUAGAGUUGAGUGUGUUUGGGUGAGGUUCUUAGGUUGGGAAAGGGUGAUAAAUCUUUCUUUCUUGUUUUUUCUAUUCCUUGUGGGUUUGAGUGACUUGAAAAAUUAGUAGAAAUUAAAGUUUGUAUCACUCACUUCAUAGUGGAUUGAAGAAUUGUUAUCUCUCCUGAUGUAGGAUAAAUUUAUCCUAACUAGAUAAUAAAUUUCUUGGUGUGUUGUUUUUCUGUACUCGCUUUUUUUGUAGCUUUGGUUAUGCCUGUGGGCUUCACAUUUAGAUAUAGAUCCGUUGUUAUUGUUGUUGCUAAAAGUUUUUUUUUUUGAACAAACAAAAAUGGAUUAUAUUAACACUACUAAAGCAGCCCUCUCAGCACAAGAUGUACCGAAAAGACUACUUAAAACGAUACAAGCAGUUUAAAAAAUUACAACAAGUUGUUAACCAAUGCCUAAACACGACAAUGGAUUCGACAACCACAUCUGAUCACCAAACAUAAAUACAACCCUAUUGGCUUUCAGCCACCACAAAGAAUGAUACUUUACUUUGUCUAAUAAUUGAACUAAGGAACGUUCUCUUUGCUUAAAUAGCCUGUUAUUUCUUUCAUUCCAGAUAACCCACAUCGUGAGUAACCAAAUAAGCUGAAGAAAAGAUCUCCUUGAUUUCAAACCACCUGUGUAAAAUGAAAAAUGAGCACAAUGAUUUGAAAUAUCACAAUGAUCGACACCAGCAAAACCUAUCCAAGACCUCACCAAAGACCAUAAAGAACCAAAGAAACUGCAAGACAAAAAUAAAUGUCGUGCAUCUUCCACGAAACCACAUCUUGACACACAUAAGCAUGCCUCUGAAUUCAAAAUACCACGAUAUGCUAAAUUAGACAUUGUAGGAAGUCUAUCUCGAAUCAACCUCCAAGAAAAAAUAGACACCUUAAGGGGAACAUGUUUGUGCCAAACCAAUUCUUCGCAAAGACCAUCCUGCUGCACUUCCUGAUUGGUAAGCAUAGCAUAUGCCCCACGAACUGUGUACCCUUGACUAGGAUCCGGUUGCCACUGCCACACAUCAUAGGAAAGAGACUGCAAAGAAACGUUAGCAAGUAAUAACCUACACUCCACAAGGGGCUCUUCCUCCCACACCCACAAACUCCUACGCCAGUACCAUCCCCCUCCCUCCUCCCCCCAUCCUAAAGAAAACAUCUCUUUAACAGUAAUGGAUUUAUUUAAAGCUAAAUCAAAUAACAUUCUAAAUCGAAUCCGGAAUGGGACACCACCACACCACCGCUCAUGCCAAAACAAGGUAUCGUCCGCAUCACCCACACAUCCCUCAAACCAGCCAACACCGCCCCCACCCUGCCCUUCUCUAAUCCUACUAACCUCCUUCCACCAAAUAGAACCACUCCGGCCCCCAUCCUCCAACCUCCCAUCACGCACACCAUACCUAGCAACCAACACCCGAUACCACAACCCUCAACGAUCAACAAGUAACCUCCAACACCACUUCCCUAACAACGCCUCAUUAAACUCCCUCAACCGCCUAACUCCUAAUCCACCAUACUUCUUUCUUACACACACACUCUGCCAGCUCACCCAAGAUAUUUUUCUACGUUCCCCCCCCCCCCCAAAAAAAAUUUUUUUUUUUUUUUUUAUAGAUAAAAUAGAUUCUAUGGAAGAGAUUGUACCUGCUGGAGCCUUGAAGAAGGAAAGAGCAUAGACAUGUAGCGCGGUCAAGAUAGACUUUAGAAGAAUCAAGCGACCUCCAAAUGAAAGAAACCGACUUUGCCAAUUAGACAGUCUAGAUUUUAUACGGUUAACCACAGGUUCCCAAAAUGACAGACGACGCGGGUUUCCACCAAUCGGCAAUCCCAAGUAAGUAAAGGGCAAUGUACCAACCUUACCAUUCAACAACGACGCUGCUUCUGUUAACCAAGAGUCAGAAACAUUUAUACCAACCAACAAACUUUUAUGGAAAUUUAUUUUUAACCAAGACACAACCUCAAAAAGAAUUAAAACCGCCCGCAAUGCACGGACAUUCGUCCAACUCUUCUCACCUAGAUGCGAUACCACCACCUCAUUUCCAUCCCCAACACUAUAACCUCUAAACAAAUUUGCAUCAAUCAUAGCCUUCAUCAUAACAUGCAACCCCACUACAGCCAGUAAAAAUAAAAAUGGGGAAAGAGGGUCACCCUGAUGCAGACCUCUACCCAAAGGAAACUCAUCUAUGGGGCUACCAUUCACAAGAACGGAUGCGGUAGCCGUUGUAACACAUUCUUUAAUCCAUUUUCUCCACAAUGUCGGAAAACACAUUUUGGCCAUCACCGCGUCUAAAUAACCCCAAUCAACAUAAUUGUACGCUUUCUCAAAAUCCACUUUAAACAUCAAAAUUUCCUUUUUAGUCUUACGAGCCUCAUCCACAACCUCAUUCGCAAUCAGAAUUCCAUCUAAAAUUUGACGAUUUUUAACAAACGCAGUCUGAGCAUCUGAAAUUACACUACUGAUAACCUGCCUUAACCUAUUAGCCAACAACUUAGCCAAAAUUUUAUACAAACUUCUGACCAAAGAAAUAAGACGAAAAUCAUUUAAAGUUUGAGGAGAGUCUACCUUUGGAAUGAGUGCUAUAAAAGUAGAAUUGAUACCCUUAGAUAACUUACCAUUCCCGUGAAAUUCACCAACAAAACGCAUCACAUCAUCUUUCAAAUAAAUCCAGAAGUCUUUGAAAAAACCAAAGUUGAUACCAUCCGAACCUGGACUCUUAAAACUGUCACAAUCCCAAAUAGCUGCUUUCACCUCCUCAACUGAAAACAGCUUAAUGAGACCGCCCCCUUCAGCAUAAGACAACCCCCGAAACUGUAAACCAUCCACCGUCGGCCUCUGCACAGAAUACGACUGAAAGUGACUCGCAAAAUGAGAAAACACAGCUUGACCAACGGGCUGCACACCUUCCACCAAGGCUCCAUUCACAUUGAUUGACACCAAAGAGUUUCUACGCCUCUGACCACCCAAAAUUGUGUGAAAAUAUUUCGAGUUAGCAUCACCUUCCCGAAGCCAAGUAAGUCUAGAUUGCUGCCAACAUAUACUAGUAUUAAGACGGGACAAAGAAUGGAUAUCUGACGUAAUUCCACGUAACUCCUCAAUCUCUUCUUCAGCUAGAUCCUCCUCUUCCCCCCUUCCAUCAAAAACAGCUUGCCUUUCCUUUAAGGAUUUAAUCUUUCCAGCCAAAUUAUGAGUAUGAGCCAAAUGCCAUUCCUUCAAAGCAACCUUUAUAAGUUUCAAUUUCUCUUUCAAAACAAAACCACCCCAACCUGUGACUUCCAAAUAUUUCCAUUUUUCACUUACAAAAUUCUUAUAUCCAGGUACUUCCUGCCAACAUUUCAACAACCUAGAAGGCCUCGGUCCCCAAUUUUCCUCAUCAACUGUCAACAGCAACGGACAGUGAUCAGACAAACCACGUAAAAGAGCAACCAGAUUACAAUUAGGCCACAAAACACACCACUCCUCUGAUAAAAGAAAACGAUCCAACCUACUCAUCGACUUCCCAUCACCUUUAAACCAAGUAAAACUGCGCCCAUCCACGGUAAAUCCACCAACAUCAAUAAAACCGUUAAAAGGAGCACAGUCUGCAAACGUUAAUCCAUUUCUAACUGAUCUUCGUUCCUCCACACUUCUAACCGCGUUAAAAUCCCCACAAAUACAAACCUUUUUACCACCCAACAAAACCAAACGAGCCGAUAAAGAAUGCUAUAAUGCUUGUCUUACUGUCUGAUCACACGAAGCAUAAACAUUGAACAAAAAACACUCUUCAUUGGUCCGAACAAACUUUCCAUGAAUCAACAAAAAAUAAUCACCACUAGUAGAGUCACACACCUCAACCUCCGCACUAUCCCAAAUUGUUAACAAGCCCGAGAGGCCCCCACAGAGGGACGAAAAGAAUACAAAUGAGAAGACAAUCCCCAAACUGAAGCACUUAGCAAAUCAUCACAUAACUGCAAUUUAGUUUCCUGAAGACAUAAAAUAACUGGUAAUUUCUCCCCUACCAACAAGCGUACAUCCCUUCGUUUCUCUAACCCUCCCGCACACCUACUCAACCUCCCCUUACCGCCUCCCUCCCUCACCCACACCACGACUUUUUAACUUCUUAACUUUGUCCUUCUUCACCCUUGAUAAGACACUAAACAUAUUAUGAUUUUCUCCUUUAAAAUUUACUCCAAUUGCCUUCCCCAAACCCCACACAUUCUCCACCUCCACCUCCUCAUUUCUUCUCAAGACCACCCAAUUUUUCCAAUCAUUAUUAACAGAAGAUGAUGAAGAGGCUCCCUCUGAAAUACCUUUUGAAACCAUUUCCACUGAUCUAGAUACUCCAGCUUUGCCAUGUCUCUUACGAAUCCUCCUUUUUAAAUCAUGCAACACAGCCCUUCUAUCAUUAUAAGGAAGCCUCGCCACCUUUUUUAGGGAAUGAACACAAUGCCGAAGAACUCCCCCCACCUAUUUACGUUUUGACUUACUAGCUCCUUCAGAAUGCUUUGUUUCUGUACUAGUAGCUACUUGCUUACCCUUCCUUCUAGAUGAAGAUACAAUACCUACAUCACCAUGAACCUGAUCGCUUAACCACUCCAUGCUCCACGGUCCAAACACGGAUGACCUCCCCGCCUCUGGUGGGCAAGAACCCGCUCGCAUUCUUCGCUUUACAUUCUCCUUUUGACCUGCCACUUGAUUUAGCAUCCUCUCAACAGAGUUCUCAUUUUGAAUCCCUACUUCCGGUAUGUCGACCUCCGAAUCAAUGUGAUAUGCUACUUCCACCAAUGGAGAAGCCGCAACAAGAACAUGUGAAUUCUUAUUUAGUGACCCUAUUGGAGAAUUAUUGGCACCAACGUGAUACCCAUAGGAAACCCUAGAUGUAACCCUACCGUCGUCUGAAUUCCGCGAACCAUGAUACACCAUAGACCUAGAUCGUCGCCUGCCAAACGAAACUCCUAGCCGCAUCCUCUCCUGCUGUCCGUCUUGACCUUGCUCGUCCUGUCGCAGCGCUUUCCGACGUCGCGGUCUCACAGUCUGCCAAUCAUCCCCAUCCCUCCCCGUUUGUGGCACCCCACCAUGGCCCCUUGCCCCCACAUAGAACCUCUCCUCCGAUGAUCGGAACCGGCGCACAGACCUGUGGCAUUCCCGUUGUUCAACGCGAUCAACGCGUUUCUCUCUCAGUCUCACCAUCGCUCCUAUACUAAUUGUUGCUAAAAGUAACUUUGAUUACUCGUUUCUUUUGUUUAAUUUUAAAUUCAAAUUCACUAGAGUAUUUUUUUUCUUUUCUUUUUGCAUAGUUUCACUUAAUUUCAGAUACAAAAUCCUAUUUGACUAUUGUAGAACCCUAAAUGUGAGCUCCUCUUCUAGAAGAGAACAUUGUUCGUUUUUAAUUAUCGGCUAUCCAAUUUAAAAUUUUAAAGUUACAUUAAACAAGGUUUUGUAAAUUAUAAUCUUACUUUAUCAAUUAUUUUACACUUGCCUUUAGCUUGAUUAUUUUAAUUGAUCCAUUAUUGAUUGGUAGUUGAUAUUAUGAUACUUAUAUUAGGAUGAUAAACAUAUGGUCUUAUGGGACUGAUCAACAAUACCCCAAUUUUGUGAUGAUAAAUUUAUAAUUAAUGUCAUCAUUAGUAAUUUUCAUUUUGUCUGCAAGAAGAUGAUGAUCCUUCCAUACUUUUCUUCUGCACACACACACACACACACAUUUUAAUGGGGGAAGGUAUCGUAUUAAAUGAAAAUUUGGACGUUGGAUCGGGAUGUUGACCUCAAUGUCUAAGUCACCCUUUCUACCAAUAACAGAAAACAAAUAAAUCUGCUUUUUCAAUUAGAGGAUACUAACUGUUUUGACACAUACAUCAUUAAUUAAUUAGCACAGUAUCACCAAGAGAUUUUUUUUUGUUGAAAAAGACAAUGGUAUACAAAAGCAUCAUUCUCAAAUUAAUUAUUUUUUCUUUAUAAAAGAAGGGGCAGUAUAAAAUAAAUUAUGAAAAAUAAAUAUCGGUAGCCAGAGAUCAUGAGCACUGGACUAUUGCCAAUUUGAGCCUUCAUCAACUAAAAACCAACUAAAUUAAGAUUCUAACCCUAGAUUAAUAUUUAUUUUUUUGAAGGAAACCCUAGAUUAAUAUUAUUCCUGGACCCAUCAUAUCAUUAUUUCCAGUGCACAUUAUUCGUAUCCAACGUGCUUCUAUCACUCAAAGGCCUAACUCAAAAACUCAAGGUUUAUUUUUAGUAGUUUCUUUUUCGCAAAAUUACACUUUUAGUCCUUUAACUUAAUUUCAGGUAAUAGUUUGGUCCUUUAUCUUUUUUUUUCAUUUUAAUUUGAUCAUUUUUGUCCAUUUUCAUAUACAUUUUCAAGUUUCAAAUCUAAUAUUCUUAUGCAAACAUAAACGAGGAUCAUAGAUUUGAAGACUGAAAGAUCAUAAGAAAAUAAAAUCAUGAAUUUUAAGCUUAAAAAUUCAUAUAAAAAUGGACAAAAAGGACCAAAUUGAAAUAAAAAAAAAAAGAUAAAGGAACAAACUGUUACCUAAAAUUAAGUUAAGGGACUAAAAGUGUAACUUUGCCUUUAUCUGUGCUUGCAGUUUGAAAUAUUAAAAUUAUCUUCCUUUUUAUAUAUAUUUUUUUGUAUAAAAAGUAAGAUCUCUUUCUUUUGUAUUUAUGCUAGCCGUAUGUUCUUGGUUGUUCACACAUUUUUUUGGGUUACGAAGUUUUAUAAUUAUCCUAUGGAGAUUGGAGAGGUUCAUGACCUCAUGGGGACAGUUGAUAAUGGCCACUUCAAAUUUGAACAAAUAAUGUAGGCCAUUAUCCUCUGACAUGAGAAGAAUUCGUCAGCCUGAUCACAUUGCAUCAUUCGGAUACUAUUUAGGUGACAUCGUGGUUGGUGACAUUGAUGACAUUAUCAAUUAUAAUGUUUCAAAUGUAUAAAACAACAAAAAAAUCUCGUAAAAGAAAAAAAAGAAAGUCACAUGUAACGUUGUGGUUGGUCAAUGUCACCAACCACAAUGUCACCCAAGUCUUACCGGUGUCAUUCACUCAUAAUUUAGAUGGUCUAAACAAUAAAUAUUGUAAUCAGCAUGUUUUCCACGACUUUUUGGAAAAGAAAAUGUUCCUUAGUUUUAUAUUUUCAAUUUGAAAAUAAGAGUCUAGAAAUUGAGGUUGGUUUACUUAGUAAAAGUAAAAUUGACUUAUAUCACGUAAGGACUUGAGUUUAACUUUCACAGCUAAGUUAAAAAUCUUGGCGAGUAAUUUAUAAGUAUAUCUAUCACCGAUCUUUAAAUCUUGAUGUUUGUCAUGUCCGUGAUGAGUCUUCAGAACCCAACGUACCUAAACUUUUUUACAUUAACAAAUAUCUUAAAGACACGUGUUAGCAUUUGCUAAGAAAACAUAUAGUUUAGUGUCUGAAAUUAAUUCUCCAAAUAUUAUUUGGUAUAAACUCUCACUAAGAAGUUGUUAGUACCAAAACAAAACAAAAAAUUGAUCGAACUAUAUAUUGGGAUUAUUUGGGUUCAGAAACAUAAUCAGCUGAGUAAAAAUCAACUGGGUUCAGAAUCAGCAAAUGCAUAAUAUGUUGAUAGUUUAAUGUUGUAGCAUAGUUUAUCUGGAUCACUUGAAUGAUGAUAUUUGUCUUAAGAGACUUGUGGUAAUGUUGAUUAAAAACACAAGAGACAACAACAUUGAGAGGACCAGGUUGGAAUGUUAUAUUAUGUAACAACUUUUAUGAUUCACUUUUAUAAAAAAUGAAUCAUAUCCACUUAAUUUUCAAAUUUAAUCAAUCAGGAUAUAAUUAGCUACUUAUCUUCCUCUCUUCCAUCUUCAUUAACGUCUGGACUUGGAAAACUCGUCGGGCCAAGGACACUAGAAGCAUCUGAAACCUAUUGAAAACAAAAGAAUACAAGUUACAAACUCAACUUAGUAAAUGUUUUUAUAAUAUUAACAUAUAAACUCAGUAAAAUACAAUAUACCUGUGUUGCAGGUUGUAUAAUAUCAUUCACAUCUUCGACAGAAAAUCGAUUUUGUAUCAAUGUCGCAAAAUUUGCCAACAAAGCACACGUCCUCUCUUGACUUUCUCUCAUCUGCUUAAGUUCAUCCAGUAACUCUUGUUUUUCAGACAAAGAAGCUUUCAAUUUUUUAGGUUUAUGAAUCUUGCUUAUACAACUUGAAGUUGUGGAUCUCUCACCAUGGAAUAUCCAUUCCGUAUAACGUCUAAGAAAUCCGUAUCGCGGAUCAGUUAAGUGUUCAUAAACAGUACUGCGAGAAUGUGACUUAUAGUUGGCACAUUUUGUACAAGGACACAAUAUUUUUCCGUCAUCUUCUGGCGUUUGAAAAGCAAAUUCAAGAAAUGUGUUAACGCCUCGAAUAUAUUCAUCGCUUUGUUUUGUUGGAUUGCAGAUCCACCCUCUAUACUCCAUUUGACAAAAUUAACUGAAACCAACCAGAACCAAAUCUUUAAUGCCACCUUAGCAGAACAUACCUUCUCAACAGUUUAACAGUUGCUCUUGCUCCAUGCCAACUCUUAGUCUUUACCAACAACACUCAAACAAGAAAAAGGAUUUAAAAGCCAUAUUGAUUCUGUGCUAAAUCAAAACCUUUUGACUUAAAUUUCAGAAUCUUUCAAGAUAGGAUUUUUGGCAUCCUCCACCACUUAACUUGUUAACAUGUCAUAGUGUUCAGCAUUCACCUUUGGAGAUUAACUCUAACAAUCUACUAAAUCUCUAUAAAAUUGUUGAUGAUUUAUUUGCAGAACAGAAUUUUUCAAAGCAGAACACUAAUUAGUCGGGUCCGAAAGAAACAGAAACCUAGCUCACUAAAAUCCCAAGCCAACUUGAGUAACUAGUUAGGUUCAGAUUUGUCAUGCAGCAAAUUCAACUAUUCAUAAGAAUGAUCCAAUAUGGUUUCACUCAACUAUUGGCAUUCAAAAUCCCAUGAUAAGUCACAUUCAGAAGAACUUGGGUUUAUAUGUGCACUCUCUCAAGACAAAUACAUAGCUCGGCAUUGAAACUGUGAUUGAAUAAGUACAACAUUUUUCUAUUAUUAAAAUCAUGGUUCAUAACCUAUUUCCAGCUUAUUAAAAAAUGAGUUAAAAAAUAAUCAUCAUUUUUUAAGAGGGAAAAUUAAAAAAUAAAAACUGAAAUGAAAGUUAAAAUAAUCAUUUUCCUUCUUUUAUUUUUUUAAUCUCUAAUAGGUUUUGAUAUAUGAUUUUUUUUUAUCAAGUAGUUUAGUUGUCGAAAAUCACACAUUUUAAAUGUGGAGAAGUGAGAUGUUUGAUGUUCGAACUCCAACCCUUGCAAAUCUAUGUAUAUAUGUAUGUAUAUUUUAAGGAUUUAUGUUCUUUUAAGUCUUAUAGGAAGGUAACUUCAGAUGACAUUAAAUCUACCUUUUCUUUUUUUGGUCAAGAUAUCUGAAAUUACCUUUGUAGUUUUUCUAAAGUUUACUCAAAAAUAUCAUAUGGAAAAGUGCACUAAUUUGGAAAUAAGUCUUUUAAAUAAAUUUGGAGUGUCUCAUGUUGUAUGUACAUUUCAAAUUAAUAUUCGCAUUAGUUUUCCAUUGCCAAAACACUGCAUGGUGUGGGAGGAGAUUGUCUUGGUUUUUUUUCUUCUCUCGUAUGUAAUCUAAGCCCUCCAUUAAAUUGGUGAAAGAAUGUGUUUGUAAUAAUAAAAAGGGAGAGAGCGUAAUUAAAGAUGGAUAGUUAGACAUCGCAGAAAAUUGGAGAGAUCUCCACUUGAGAGGAUCCGCUCCCGCAUGGUCUUUUGAUUUACUUUGUAAUGUCCAACUAACGGAACACACAAAUUUAACUUCAUAGGUGUUUUUUUUGUUACCAAAAAUGAACUUAACAGGAGUCAAACACAAGAUCAAAAGCUUAGAGAUGAGGCGCUUGACCACUAUGCCGGACUGUUAACUCAUAACGUCAUAGAUGUUUAACCUUUCAAGAUUUUUCUUGAUAUAAUUUUCUGGUGAAAUCCACAGCAUUUUACUAGUUUGAUCUCUAAGUGAUCUUCAUAAUGAAAAUCCUCUUUAACGAAUACAAAUCCUUUAUUGUGAAAAAAUAAUUUGUUCAACUAUAUUGGUUCAUCUCUCCCAACAAUUAGCAUGUGGACCAACAUACAGAAUCCUCUCAAAAAAAAAAAUACAGAAUUUUGAUGGAUUCACAAUUGCAUAUUUGACCAUAAAGACACAAUGAUAUGCAGAGGUAUUUUAAAGAGAUCAAAUUUUUUAUACCAUUUCCUAGUAUUAUUUACCUUUUUUGCAAAACCCCUAUGGUUUCUUUAAUAUAGUGUCUUGAAAUAAAUUUUCUAUCUCCAAUCGAAGACUAUAGACCAAUGAUUUCUCUAACUGGUGCAAUCUGAAGUCUUAACUAUACUAUCAAAUUAUAGAUAGUCAACUCAAAACAAACUAUAUCAAUAAUGACUUUUCUUAUUAUUUUAACUGAUUAGUAAGAGAAAUUAAAUCACUGGUUUAACUACUGACUCAAACCAACUGAGUUGACAAAUUCUGUCAAAAAAAAACUGAGUUGACAAAUUAAACGGUCAAAACCUUCCACCAAUGGGACUAAUGUCAUUUAUUUAGCAAUUCAAACAAACAUAAGCAGACAGAGACACUCAUGAAUGAUGUUUCAUGUUAGCCUGCAUCCAAUUUAAAAAUCUUGCAAAUUAGUUUUAUAUAUCCCUUUGAAAUACUCAACACAAACACUGCAAACACAUACUUAUAUGAUGAAUAAGUAUUACUACUAGCUCUUACUUUUGUAAUUUCAACUUCCUUUCUUCAAAACACACUAUUAAUUGUCCUAUGGCUUUGAACUUUUGUAGCCACCGGUGCUUCUUCUUCAUUGCCGCAGUCUUAUCGGUCUUCGCCACAACGCUGUCAAUGUCUCAGCAGCAAGCAUCUGAUUCGUGCAACGGAAUAUUCCUGUCAUACACCUACAACGGCGGCAUAAAACUACAGCCAAACUUGACGGACUCGGCUGCCCAACCGUCCCGAUUUGAGUCGACACUAACAGUGCUCAACAAUGGACUUGUGGAGCUGAAAUCUUGGAAGGUAUUAUUAGAGAUAUAGUUAGUUAGUUAGUUAGUUGAUUUUCUAUUUGUUAUUAGUUUGUUAGUCACUUUCUAUAUCUCAAAUAGGUGUUCGUUGGAUUUCGUCACAGAGAAUGGUUGGUGUCUGCAUCCAAUGCAGUGCUUGCUGAUGGGACUAGUAUCCCUGGUGCCGUUGGGAAUGGCACCGUUAUUGCAGGAUCAUCGGUGAUCGAUUUGAAGACUGCAGCAGCGACUGCAGGAGACUUGACACAGAUGCAGGUUAAGGUAGAUAUGGUGGGGACGGUGGUAGGGGUUGUGCCACCCAGCGUGCCAAUGCCUUCUAUCAUAAACCUUGCUAAUGAUGGUUUCAUAUGUGGUGAAGCCAUUUCUCAAGGUUCGUAUGAUGUUGUGUAAAGUGGAUUUCUUUCAUUCUUUCAUGCAUAUUUACAUUUAUUUGGCGUAAACCAGUAUCUUCCGCGUACCAGAUACUAAUCUCUCAAGUUUUAUGAAACUCAAAUGGACAACAAACUCUUCCGAAAAAUUUUAAUGUUGCUUCAUGCCCAAACUCAAUUUCGAACAUGAAGUCUUGGUUAAGUUAGAAGAGAUUUGUGUAAUCUCAUCUAAUCAUUAUUGGAAUUGGAAAUGUUAACGAGUAAACCUGGCUAACAAGAAUUUCUUUUGUAGGAACUUGUAAUAUAAUAUGGUAUAAAUUGAUAUAACUAACUUUUAAUUUCUGAUGACUCUUUUUCAGGGAACAAUGAAACUCAUGUAUGUUGCACAAGUGAUCCCAAUUACAAGACAAAUAUCACAACAAAUGAAAAAUUUCUACCUAGACAAAAUGGAGAUCUUACCAUAAUGUAUGAUGUGAUCAAAGCAUACAAUUCCAAUUAUUGGGCAGAGGUCACAAUUUCAAAUCACAACCCUCUAGGCCGUCUUGACAAUUGGAAAUUAAGCUGGAAUUGGACCAAUGAUGAAUUUAUCCACACAAUGAAAGGUGCUUAUCCAUCAAAUAUAGAUUCAUCUAACUGUAUUUUUGGUUCACAAGGUGAAUUUUACAAGGAACUUGACUUUUCCAAUGUAUUGAAUUGUGAAAAAAGACCAACAAUAAUUGAUCUACCACCAACAAGGUUCAAUGAUACACAACUUGGUAAAGUACCAUUUUGUUGUAGGAAUGGUACUCUAUUACCACCUUAUAUGGACCUCACCAUGUCAAUUUCAAGGUUUCAAAUACAAGUUUAUAAAAUGCCACCACAUCUCAACCGGUCAAGCCUUACACCACCACAAAAUUGGGAGAUUAAAGGUGAUACAAUCAACCCCGAUUACAAAUGUGGGGCGCCGAUUAGGAUUAGUCCUAGUCAAUCUCAAGAUCUUACAGGGUUACCUUCAAACAUAUCUUCAAUUGCAAGUUGGCAAGUUGUGUGCAACAUAAGUACAAAGUCAUCAUCAAAAAGUGAUUCUCCUAAAUGUUGUGUCUCAUUUUCAGCUUAUUAUAAUGAAUCAGUUAUUCCUUGUAGCACAUGUGCAUGUGGAUGUCCUAGUAAUCAAGAAAGAACAUGUAGUGCUACUACACCAGCUAUGUGGCUUCCAUCAAAAGCACUUCUUGUUCCAUUUGAGAAUAGAAAUGAAUUUGCACAUGAGUGGGCUAGUUUGAAAAACCUACAAGUACCUAACCCUACUCCAUGUGGUGAUAACUGUGGUGUGAGCAUAAACUGGCAUGUAAAUUCAGAUUAUGAAAAAGGUUGGACUGCAAGGAUCACAAUUUUUAACUGGGGUGAGACGAAUUACGCUGAUUGGUUUGCUGCGGUUCAAAUGGACAAAGGUGCAAUAGGUUUUGAGGAAAUGUAUUCAUUCAAUGGAAGCUUGUUAGAGAGAUUAAACACUACAAUAUUCAUGCAAGGUAAGAAAGGAUUGAACUUUCUUGUAGCGGAAGCAAAUGGGUCAAACCCUCGAAGAGAUCCGAGGGUGCCUGGGAAACAACAGUCAGUAAUCUCGUUUAGAAAGAAAAAUAAAGAUGAAAUCAAUGUUGUUGGUGGUGAUGGUUUUCCUAGUAAAGUGUUCUUUAAUGGGGAGGAAUGCUCUCUUCCUUCGGUGUUUCCAAGCAAUGGUUUGAGAAAUGAAUUUUCCUUGGCUACUAUUAUGAUCCUAAUAUUGUUGUCAAGUAUGUUGAUUCAAUAUUGAUGACAUUGUAUUUAUAUUUUUGAAGAUUGGUUGUUUUUCUAUAUUUUCAGAUUUGUGUAAGACAAUAUAAACAUAUAAUUUUUUUAACGAUAAACACUACUCCCAGAAGCCUGAAAUUUUUACAUAAACUAAUUUAUAUAUUUUGAACAAUUUAAAUCACGUAUGAGCUAGCUAAUUGCAGAAUGAUGAUUAGAUUCAUGUGGAACACCAACUAUUUACAUUGGCAACUAUGAUUAGAAAGAGAGCUAACAGGAUCUGUUAUAAACUGGAAUGUUGUCUAUGGAAUAUCCAUCAAAGUCAAACUCAUUAUCAACUUGUCCAAUGCCUUUGUGCUGCGAGAAAUACAAAAAAAAAAAAAAAAAAAAAAAAUGAUUUGUCUAUAAAGAAAAACAAAGUAAACAUAAAUAUUUAGGGUCAACAGAAAGGAAGAACCAACCUGGUUCAGAAACACACUCAUGAGAUCCUCUUGACUUUGAUCAGAGAAGGGGUUAAUCUCGAUGUUUGUACCCGGAAUUCUUUCACUCUUACCCCUUAAUGAAUUAUCAACAAAAGGUGUAUUGAGGUGUUGACCAACAUUUUGGUGAUCACCUUGACUCAUACCAUCUCUAUUUUGUCGAGUCUGUUGGAUAGAGGAAAAACCACGAUGGCCUAAAAUCGACGGCGAGACAUCAAUGUUGCCUUGUAAAGUAUUUGAAUGUUGAGAACCAUCAUAUGUCAGGCCUGUAUUUGCUAAUCCCCAAUCAUUGGACUUCCGAUGGAGUUCAUUAUAAACAUCAUAACUAAAUCCCCCUAAUCCUUUAAUUCCCGAAGUAGCUUCCGCAUGAAAUGCACCUUUUGUACUGCUACUGGAUAUACCUGAAGUGCAUCUAAGAGGGAAACUAUUGACUGAUAUUCCAUUUGGUCCUGUAGGUUGCAUUAAAGAUGAUGGAAACAUUGUAGCAUGAGAAUUUGUAUUCUCAUUUAGCACCUGACCUCUUGGUUGAGACUGAGCCAUCUGCGUCAACCAGGGGCUUCUCUUUGCAGCAGAAGCAUUGACUCGCAUAUUUGCGCUGCCAAAGGAUUGAGCAGACUGGUGAAAAUUGGCAAACUGCUUCGGCUCAAUGUUGAUAGGGAUUCCGUGAAGAAAGUUCACCGGUUUACUGCUGCUCAUAUGUUGCAGUUGCCCAUCUCCAAAUCUUAGUUUUGAGUUCUCAGGACUGUAAAGUCCUGCUGCUUGAAGCUUGGCUAGACUUUGCGCCGAGAACUGGCCAGAAGCUGAAAGGGUUUGAAGAUCAAUUUCAUUUACAGAGGUUCCUCCAAAUAUUGACUCUUGCGCACUCAUGAAGGAGUUAUUCAAGUUACUUUGCUGCUGGGAAACUCCACUCAACCUUCGAAGAUACAAACGGUAUUUCUGUAAAAGAAAAUAAAAAACAGAUGAAAAAAGUAAUAAAAAACAUGAAGGAGUUGUUCAAGUUACUUUGCUGCUUCUUCAAGUAAUAUCGUUGAUGAUGACUGUAUCUCUUAACAUCCAAGGUGGAUUUUUUAGUCUUUACACACCCCUUCACACCAAAGAGUGGACAUCUGGAGUGUGACUCUAGCGGGCCAAUGGUGGUGACUUGAUAGCCAGUGGCCCAUGAGAUCUUGUAUAGGCUCUAAUAACAUCUAGAAUAUCGGUUGCAAGAUGAGGAUCGUCCACCACUUCUAAACUAACUUAUUAUAGGUCAUAUCUCAUCUAACAUGGGACUCUUAACAGUAACAAAAAUAGAAGAAGUAUAAUCUUUUUAGUAUAUCAUACCUGAAGAUGACUGGCAACGUUUUCUCUAGUGAGCCCAGGAACAUUCAUCAUUUCCAUAAUCUUUUUCGGAACAGCCUCUGCAUAUCAAUAUCAAUUUUGAAAACAUAAGAAGGCGUCUUUACUUAACAUUGCAUAUAAAAAUCAAUCAGACAAGCAGAAAUAUUUAAGAUUUUAUGGGGGAAAAGGGCCAAUUUAGAGAUAAAACAAACUUGUUAUACUAAGGUACCAAGGGAAUUUAGCACGUAAAUUAUGUAGAAUCACAAGGAUUAUAUCUCAGAAAAACUUUAAGGGAAUGGUUUGUGCGUUAGAUGAGACACCGUGUAAAACAAACAAAGAUGAAAGAGAACAUUUUUGCAAGGACAUAACAUAAUUGAGGGACACAUACUGUCUAAUCCCAAUUGAUUCACAACAGCCAUAAACUGCUGAUGAAGCUCAAUAGACCAAACAACUCGCGGCUUCUUUGACGUCGAACAAUCAUCCCUAUCAUCUGCUUCAUCUUCUUCAUCCCUCCUCUUCUUUGAGCUCUUGCCUUCAUUCGUUGAAGAUGAGUAAUUAGCAUCAGUGGAUGCCUUUUUUUCUCGAUCUCUUUCAUCUAAUCCACCAGAUUGCCUCAGAUCUUUCCAGCUAUUCUUUCUCUUCCUAACCACAUGCUGCCAUAUAUUCUUCAAAGCCUCAAUUCGCACAGGCUUGAUUAGAUAAUCACAAGCACCAUGUGUCACACCUUUCAUUACCACGUUUUUUCCAUCAUCAGCCGACAUCACUAUAAACACAUUCACACAAACACACACACACACAAUAUGUCAGCUCAUGUCAUUGCAUAUUCCAUCAAUUGAUCCAAAACAAUAAAAAAAAAACAAUACUUACUAAUAACAGGAAGAUCCAUCUCCAAUCCAAUAUGUUCCAAAAGUUUGAAUCCAUCCAUAUCCGGCAUAUGCACAUCGCUUAAAACAAUGUCGAACCCAUUUUUAUUCUCUCUAAGAAGUGAUAAUGCAACCUCAGCUCUCUUACAUUUGGUAACUGAAAUAAAUAGACCCAACAAUCAAAACAGAAUCCAAUGAUGAACAACAAAACUUACACAAUAUACUCAAGUCUCAAACUUUAACUUUGGAAUAAAUUCCAAUAGUUGAAAAAAACACUUAUCAAACAAAUCUACCAUAUUAAAUCAUAUCAAAAGCAUAAUUCAAAAGAAAGAUGGUUGCAACCAAGAAUCUAAACUAAAAAUAAAAAUGGGUCUGAACAAAAAAAACUCAUUCAAACAAAAGGGUAUUACUAAUUUGCAUCUAAAAGCACAUAAACGUUGAAAAAAUGAUGUAAAGUUAAGAUUUUUAACACUAAUUCAUGAUGGGCAAGAGUGAAACAAAGAUGAAGAUUGAAAACCUUCAUAGAGGCAAAAACGGAGCAUUCUUUCAAGGAUCAUGAGGCAAGUAGGGUCAUCAUCGACAACAAGUACACGGAGACCCGCCGGAAACUGGUCGGAGACAAGGUUGCCGGAGUUUGAUGGUGAAGUUGAGGUUGACAUGGAAAUUUUGUUGUUGUUGUUGUUGAGUUUCAUGGUUCAAAGAUCCAAAUAGUAGACAACAAAAAAACAAAACACAAUAUUUUGUUGUUUUUCACUUAGUUGAAGUAAAAAGUGAUGAUUUUAUGGAACAUAAUGUUAUUAUUAUAUAUUAAACUAAAAAUGUAUUGGUUGUGGUUUGAUUCUGAAGUUGAAAAUCUGAAACCUUAUAACAGUUGUAACUUGCAAGUUGAUGUUGAUGCUAAGUUCCUAGCUUACUUUAUUAGUUUCACUAAUAUAUAUUUUCUUGUACAUUUGUUUAAUACAUUAUAUCAUUAAAGAUGAAUUCAAAGAUUACAUUUAGUGGAAUGAAUCUUAAAAAAACUAUCAUCUAUGUUUGUACAUAAUUGUAAACUUAAGAAAUUAAAAUUGCAGUUAUUGUUCGAGCUGACUCUUUUGUAAUAUAAUAUUAUUACGUCGUUGGUUUAACUCUUACUGAUGUAUUUCUUUAAAUUUUAAAAUUUGGUUUAAUUCUAAUGAGCUUUGAAAUUUAACUCACAUAAAUUCUUUUUAAGAAAAAUAAAAAAUAAAUUUGUACAAUUAUAAUACUAGUGAGAAUCAAAGGUAGAAAAAAAUUGUAGGAAAAAAGCAACCCUUUUAUGACAUACGAGAGAAAAAUUAGAGAUCAAAAUUUGCAUAAUUGAAAAAUGCUUAAAUGAAGUAAUAAAAAAUUAUAUUGUAGUAAAGGUUUCUGUUUUUCAUACAAAUUUUUAUGACAAUUUAUAUUGUAAAAAUAUCUUCUAAAAAAUAAAGCAAACGAAUGCUCCUCAAUUGUACGGUUUGUGGACCUUCAUAUUGAAGCAUAACCCAGAGCCACGUGCAAGGAUAGGGAGGGCUUUUAGAUUGGACCACUGCAACAUGAAAAUCAAAUUGGCUCAUUCUGACAGUGUUACUAUACAGUGCCUUAAUCCCAUAAAUGUCCAGGUCAAGACUUGGUUGCUUUCGUUACUAUAAAGGAAGCCAUAAACAAAAUGAUGGAAAUGUGUAUUAUUUAUUGACUUAAAUAUGUAAAAAUGUUCCUUUAAGUUGGUGUGUUUUUACAAUUCAUCUUUAUAUCUUGGUUUUUUCUAAAUUGUCUUGGGAAAGAGGUGGGUAAACUGCUCAUCUUAACGUGGCAUCACUAUAACAUGGACAACAGUAAUUCACAAUAAAAAAUGGACGAGGAGAUGAGUUUGAUAUAUUGACCCAGUAUACUUUUGUUAUUAGCAGAUUGACCCAUUAAUUAAUUUUUAAAAAAAAAAUUCCAAAUUAUUUUCUUCUUCUGCAUAACUGUUUUCUUCUUCAAUAUCAAAUAACUGCUUUCUUCUUCUACGUUUUCUUUUAGUUUUUCAAUCCAACCAUUUCUUCCUUCAAUCCAUUCAUAAUUUGGGAACAAAAAUUGAUUCAUCUAUCCGACGAAACUCUCUCAUUCAACUAAUUCUGCGUUUUCAUCUUUCAAUUUUUCAACCCAACCAUUACUUCCUUCAAUCCAUUCGUAAUUUGGUAAAAAAUUGAUUCAUCAACAUCAAAUUCAUCCAUCGUAUUUACUCUCCACUCAUACCGUUUCUUCUCUCUCAUCUUUGGGGAAAAUGCCCUAAGAAACUCAUCUCUGUCACGAAACCCAUCCCUAAGUUUUUUUUCGUUUCACUCUCUCACGGUUCUAUCUCUCUCUCUCUCUGAUGAAACUCCAUAAUCUCUCACGGUUCCAUAAUUUGGGGAAAAACAAAAUUGAUUCAUCUCGACUCAAAGCCUUUCAUCCCUCUCAUUCAACUUAUUCCUCGCGGAUUUGCAAGUAAGUAUUUCUUGUUUUAAUUGCUAUUUAAAUGGUUCAAAUUGUUUUGUUUGAUUUGGGGGUUUAGGGUUCUCCAUGUUUUAAUGAAUAUUGAAUUAUUCACUGGCUGUGAUUGUUUGAUUUGGGAUUUAUGAAUCAUGCUUGGUCUGAUACAAAUAUGUUAUAAUCCUUCUGCAUUUUUUUUAUUCACUCCUCAUGCUUUGUGCUACUUUGUUCUGUGUUAUAAAUGGAGAAGUUGCUUGAAAUCUGUCCCAUUAGCUGUUUUAUUAAGUAAUUAUUUUAGUUGGGGUUCUAGCAGAACAAGAUUGACUUUUUAAUUCUUGUUUAGAUCAAAACCUUUUUCUGGAUAAACCAUAAAUCUUUUCUCAAUGUCCAUCAUCUGAAUCAAAACCUUUUACUACAAGUUGUAACUGUGUUGGAGCUUAUUGAAAAUGUUUUAGUGUUUCACAAGCUAUAUAUCCUUCAGUCAUAUAAUUGACAUAUGGUGCCUAUUUUAUAGAGGCAUUUGGACGGAAAUCCGACAUCAUUACGAUGAAAUCCUAAACCCUAAACCCAACCAUUAUAUGAUGACUGAAGGAUAUAUAGCUUGUGAAACACUAAAACAUUUUCAAUAAGCUCCAACACAGUUACAACUUGUAGUAAAAGGUUUUGAUCCAGAUGACGGACAUUGAGAAAAUAUUUAUGGUUUAUCCAGAAAAAGGUUUUGAUCUAAACAAGAAUAAGAUCUUGCUAUUGUUAUUGCUAUUAAUAUCCCUAUUGUAUAGCCUCUAAAAGGAAUUAAAAAGUCAAUCAUGUUCUGCUAGAACUCCAACUAAAAAAAUUACUUAAUAAAACAACUAAUGGGGCAGAUUUCAAGCAACUUCUCCAUUUAUAACACAAAACAAAGUAGCACAAAACAUGAGGAGUGAAUAAAAAAAAUGCAGAAGGAUUAUAACAUAUUUGUAUCAGACCAAACAUGAUUCAUAAACCCCAAAUCAAACAAUCACAGCCAGUGAAUAAUUCAAUAUUCAUUAAAACAUGGAGAACCCCAAACCCCAAAAUCAAACAAAACAAUUUGAACCAUUUAAAUAGCAAUUAAAACAAGAAAACUUACUUACUUGCAAAUCCGCGAGGAAUAAGUUGAAUGAGAGGGAUGAAAGGCUUUGAGUGGAGAUGAAUCAAUUUUGUUUGCCUCCAAAUUAUGGAACCGUGAGAGAUUAUGGAGUUUCAUCAGAGAGAGAGAGAGAGAGAGAGAGAGAGAGAGAGAGAGAGAGAGAGAGAGAGAGAGAGAGAGAGAGAGAGAGAGAGAGAGAGAGAGAGAGAGAGAGAGAGAGAGAGAGAGAGAGAGAGAGAGAGAGAGUGAAACGAAAAAAACUUAGGGAUGAGUUUCGUGACAGAGAUGAGUUUCUUAGGGCAUUUUCCCCAAAGAUGAAAGAGAAUAAACGGUAUGAGUGGAGAGUAAAUACGAUGGAUGAAUUUGAUGUUGAUGAAUCAAUUUUUUCCCAAAUUACGAAUGGAUUGAAGGAAGUAAUGGUUGGGUUGAAAAAUUGAAAGAUGAAAACGCAGAAGCAGAAUGUAGUCUGGACAAUUUUUUUUAGAAGAUAAAACUUAAUUAAUGCUUGGGUAAAUCUGUAAAAUAACAAAAGUAUAUGGUUACAAUUUAUAAAACUAAAUAAUAAGUAUUUCAAAUACAAUGAGUAUACGUGGCUGCUUUUUAUUAUUGUUAAGAUACAUGGGUAAAUUGCCCAUGUGUUUGUAAAGGUAGGCUAGGCCUCACCUUAUAUCUUUCUUUUUUAAAAAACUAUCAUUGUAAGUUGCUAACCGUUUGUAAUUAUUAUCUUCCGUUAACUCCUAUUACAAAAACGUUGUGGUCGUAGACAUAGAGACAUAUGACGAAGGGUGAGUUGGCAAAAGCAUGUUUAUGUGUCAAGAGAAAUGAUGAGCGGCUAGAAAGGAGAGAUCAGAAUCAAAAAUGCAAAAUUGCACAGGUAUGAAAAUAAAAAAUUAAAAACAUAAAUUUUGUUCAUUCAUCUCCCUCUGUUUUUUUUUUCUUCAUCUCCAACCCCAAUUAAAACUCUACACUUCGAUUUUUAAUUGUUUUUGAUACCUCUUGUGUUGUAGAGCUAAUUGCAGACAAUUCACUAUUAUGGCUUAAACAUGAUUGUUAACUACACACUCACAACAACAAUUCUUCAAUCGAGUGAAAGUCUUUUCCUCUGGAUAAAAUUACCCUUCUUUAUCUUCAACACAAAUCUGGAAAAAAUUACACGGUCCACACACCAUCAACAACCUCACCACAACCUCUUCCAUCACCAACAUCAUCCAUCUCUCAAUCGAAUUGACAACAACUUCCUAUGAAUCUGAAGAACUCAUAAUUCAUCACUCAAUUGAAGAACCCAAAGCACACAACAACAACAACUUCCCUAAUGAAUAUGAGUUUGCAAGGUUAUAUUUUGUUUCGAUUUUGAGGUGUGUUUAGUUCAAUUUUGUAACUCACAACAACAACAUUUAACAACAAAAAUUUUCCUAUGAUAUUGAAGAACCCCAACUUCCUAUGAUAAUGCAAGGUUAUAUAAAUGAUUGAAAUAUAAUAAAUAAUAGUAUAUUAAUGGUAAAAAAUAAUAAAUGUUGCAUCAGUAUUAUAAAGAAGUCUAACAAUUUGAAAUGAAAAAAUAUUAAAAAAGACACUUAAUGUGGGACGGAUGGAGUGUAAAUAAACUUUCUUUUUAUAGCGUGCACAUCUCAAAUGCAACUACUGUCACUUGCAUUGCUUGUGUGUAACAGAUAUGAAUAUGAAUGUUUUUAGGGAAGUUUUGAGGUUCAUGCGACGUUUAACAAAAACAAUUGAUAGAAAAGUAUAGCAGACCCAAGUGUUUUGAGAGAGUUUUACAUUCUUUCAAACUUCGCUCUUCAUUUUCCCCCAUCACUUCUAUGUAUCGUUUUUUUCUCUCAAUAUAUUCAAAUAAGUGAUUUUCAUAUGGAGUAUAUUAAAUUAUAAUUUUAAAGGAUAAAUUUUGUUUAAAAAAGUCUUCAAGGUUUUAAAAAAAUUUAUAGGAUUUUAAUGACUUUCAUGAUUUUAAAAAACUAUUAGAAUUUAUAAUUUGGAUUCCAAUAAAUUUACAUAAUGAUUUUAUAGAUUUAUAAGAUUUUAAAAGAUUUUAUGAAUUUUAAGGACUUAUUGAAAAUAAAGGAUUUUAUGAAUAAAAGAUCGGAGAUAUUAUGAUACUCACUAUUUUUGUUAUAUAUGUGUCCUUCUAGUUGGAACAAGAGUAAUCAUUAGUUUUUUCAUUGAAACACUUCACUCAAUUAUUAGAAUCUAAAAUUAUUAUUGCUAAAAGUAAAAAACCUGGACUUAUUGCAGUUACAAUAUGGUGUAAGUGUCGUUAUAUUAAUGUAUACCGCAGAGAAAGUGUGAAUGGCACGUACUCUAAACUAUAAGCUCUUCCACAGUUUUGUUUAAGCAGAAGAAAAGAAGGACAUGGUAUACACACAACUUGAUCUGACAGAUUCUAUGAAUAAAGGGAUCUUAACAGUGAUGCACCAAGGGUAAUGAACUUUAUACGUUAAAAAACACUAUUAAAAAAACAAACAUUAGUGAGAGAAAUUUAAUGAGAGAAAACAUGAAGUCCUUCACUAAUUUCGUCAUUAAAUUUUACGAUUAAGAAAUUUGUGAGAAAUUUUAUUUUAUUUCGUCAUUAAUUUUUUUGCUAAUUUUAAUUUUCCUAAUAGUGAAACGAGUAAACCACUAAAUAGAUUUCGUCUUUGCAAACCACUUUUAAAUUAAUCCUUUACUCUAUUUACCCAAACUUCAAUUCGUGUAGAGUUUUAUAAAUAAAAUAUUAAAUUGAUUAUAUUAUUAAAAAUCGCCCAUAAAAAAAUUAACAUGGUGAAGCCUUAUAGGAAAACAACAUGGGUAGUUGAAGUUGUUGUUAAUAAGAUCAUAGUACAUAUUAUUGGUUGUUUAUGUAGGUUUUCAAAUUGAGAACAAAGUCACUAUAAAGUGGAACAUUAAAAAAAAGUGAGAUAUACCAAAAAAAAAAAGUGAGAAAUUAAGUAAUUGAAAGAAGUAAUUCUAGAAUAUAUAACCUUCAACUUAGAGGUACAUGCAACGUUACCCUACCAAUGGCUUCUAAAGUAAUAGCACCACAGUUUGAUGCAUUUUUUCAUCGAUUUUCACAGCAAAAAUCUAGUUGAGGAAAAUUCAAGAAGAAUAAGUAUUUUUCUUGGGUUAUAUUCUUUUUGCCUUGGGACAUAAAUUCCUCAAUCUAUUAUUCCAUUCCUUCAUAAAUGUAAACCAAUGGUCACAAAUAAAUAAGAAGUAAAGAAACCACAUAUAAAAAAUGUCAUAUAUGAAUUAAAGUUGAGUAGAAUAGAUUUAUGUACACAACAAAGUAAUGAGACAUGUCUAUGUUGUAAAAUUAGACAUAAAUUAUCUUUAUAAAUAAUAAUCAAUGUAUAAAUAAAAGAAUCAAUAAAAUAUAAACAAAAGAGAGAUCAAUAAACUUAUCUCUUUUAAGAUUGUUGUUGAACUAGAUCACCGACCACAACUCUAUCAACAUUUUUGAUAAUCAAAUCAAACCUGCUACCAAAUCAACUAUUAAAAUUUGUAGAACGAACAAGCAGUGAGGUAGUCUGAGAUGUGUUAAUCGCACUGUCUUUAAGGAUUUUCCACGUAAUUAUACGCUAAUCCUCAGGAUUUAACAGACCAUUCUCGACAUGAAAUUAAGGAAUCAGAACUAACAAAAAUAUAUUUUCAGGAAGAUGAUAACCCAUAGUUGUGUUAUAAACUUAUAGAAGAAGCAUUUUUUAUAGGUAGUGCAUAAGUUUUCAUAUACAUGAAAAAUGGUGUUACUGGUAUUGAAAUUAAAAGGAACGUAUCCUCUAUAGAAAAGUAUCAUAUGCAAAGUAUAACUACCUUCUUAAUUUUGUUUCAGUUGCAAAAUAAAUUACAUGUGCCUAAUUUCAAAGGUGAGUAAAAAUGCUUAGACUUAAUUAAGUCAAAAUGAUGUGGUCAAAAGAAUUAGACCAAAUUAAAUAUUAUAAUAAUUUUUAUUAAAAUAUUUUUCUAUAUUUCUCAAUUGAAAAUGUGGGACACAAAAUAUUCAAAACUUUUGAAAUAUAUUCAAAAUUUACAAUAGUCUAUCCGAGAAGUGGUCGUGUUUGUCAAUCAAUUUAGACUCUUUGUAGUGUCUUUGCUUGUCGUUGUCAUGAUUCAAAUAUAACUCGAUACUGCAAAAUUCUAGAGUAAUGAGUAAUGAUACAUAGACACCCUUAGGUGACAAUACAUCCUUUGACACCCACACAAAAAUCUGACACGUAGUCACGUGGACCCCGCACAAGCACACUUUCUCUUUUCUCUCCUCUUCUCUCUUCCUAAUGCAUGGGGUGUACAAGGAUGUAUGGGAAUAAAGGGUGUCUAUGUAUCAUUACUCAAUUCUAUUAGCAAAAAAUCAAUGAAUGCUUUAAACUGAUUUAUAUAAUUGUCAAUUGCAAGAACAUAUUAAUAUAUAACAUCAAAACAAAACAAAAUAAGCACCAUUACCUUAUCCUCAUAUAAUCAUAUUCUCAAAACCUACAAGAGAAAGUUCAUUUGUGACAUUGAUUAAUGUAUAGACUCCAAUGUAAAAACCAAAAAAGGAAUGUUAUUUGAAUACUCUUUUAUAGGACAACCAAAAUAUAUAAAGCAACCUAGGUUUUGACACAAAAACCAAAAUAAUAAAUAGAGAAAAUGAAAACAUAAUACGAGUAUAAGAGAGAAAAUUAUCAUAAAAGUUAUUAUAAAAUGGUUGUUCAAAUAUCAUUUCUGAAAACUAAAAUACAUAAAAGAGAAAGCAUCACAUUGGUCAUAUUUUUUUAUAUUCCCUUUUGUAUUUGUUUGCCAAAAAAAAUUAGAUACAGCUAAAAAAUGUCAUAUAAUUUUAAAUGUCUAAUAAAUAUGUAUUUUGUUUAUUCAGCAUAACACAUCUACAAUUUUUCAUGCCACUUGCCACCAAAGACAAAAAAUGAAUGAAUUUGAAAUAAUAGAGGUUGAAUGAAGAAUUUCACAUUAAAGAGAAUGACAUCCAAAAACUAAAUUUCAAGAUAAAUAAUUAAACAAAUAACAUAAAAAAAAACUAUAAAAAAAAAAAGUUCAUCAUAAUGGUGUGACUUUCGGGAGAUUCUACAUUGAGUUUGAUCAUCACAUUAGACUAAGAGAAUCCAUACAAGUGAGUUUGACACCACAUUUUCACCCUAAACAAUAAGGUGCUGGGUAUAUGAGUCACAUCACUUAUAUGUUGCUCAACAUCUGCUCCUUUAUCCAGUGUGAAACUUUAAUUCACAUUUGACACAUUGAUAUUUCUCUACUAAGUAUCAGACUCUUCGCAACCGAGAUCUACCCACUCCUACUUCCCCUCAAUAUCGAUUUGGGCUAUGACGCCAUCAUUAUACCUUAUUGAUGAGCCAACAUUAUUGUGGAUCAACCCAUUGCACAGAGAACAACCACAUAAAUAAGAAUAAUACAACAUAUUUUUACCUAAUAUUUUAAAUAUGACAAAAUUCUAACCCGUACACGACACGAGUAUCCAUACUUGUAUACAUUUAUUACUGCUUGAACAAUGGAAAUGGAAAUAUGUAAGGAUACGUGAAACAAACUUUAUUGAUUUAGGAAUGGAAUUAAAUUCAAAACAAUUGAGGAAAAUGACUCAAAAAUUCAUAUUAAUCGGCCAGAGUAGCUAUAUUGUUACUCUAUAACAUUUCACACUUCUGCUUGACGAACCAACAAUAUUAUUAGGAUAGGUUGAAAAAACAUAGACAAUAGUCCUUUGAAUUAAUCAUGUCGCUUGGGGUCUCUCAAUCUUUUAAGUUCUUCAAUUAAAGCCAACAAAUUAUUAUAAGACGAGCCACCUUCUUGAAUAGCUUGUGUAGCCUUUUCUCCAAACUCUUGAGCAAGUAGCCUCAUAUUUUUAGCUUCAUCACCAUUCUCCAUCAAUCUCCUCACAGCCUUCUCUAUGUUAUCCCUGCUCACCAACUUCUCUCUCUCCGCAACACCAUUCUUACACCAUUCCGUUGCACCGACUUCCACUCCAAUUCCUCGAAAUUGUGUUACCAGUUUCUCGUUGUAGAAUUGAUCUCCAUGAACCGGCCACGUUAUCAUUGGAACUCCCGCACUAACAGACUCUACAAUUGAGUUCCCCCCGCAAUGCGUCAUAAAUCCCCCCACCGCAGGGUGGCUCAAUAUCUUAACUUGUGGGGCCCAACCCUUAAUGAUCAAACCCAUCCUCCUAAUGUUUCUCUCUUCGAAUCCCUUUGGCAACCACUUUUCUUUCUCUUCCUCACUCUCAUCUUCUUUCCCUUUCUUCUCAGGAACAACCCAUAUGAAUGGGUGACUAGAUGCUUCUAUUGCGCACGCCAUCUCAUAUAGUUGUUUAUCAGAGAAAUAGUUGAUGCUUCCAAAACAUAUGUACAACACCGAGUUAACUUUCUCUGAGUCGAGCCAACUCAUGCAUUCGUGCAUGUUCACAUCACCCUCCUUUCCCCUCUCUGCUUUCUCUUGAAUGGUUUUACGAAUAAGAGAAGUUGGACCGAGAUGCCAAACCUUGUGACCCGUGGUUUUCUCAUAGUGUUGGAUGCACUCUUCUCCGUCAAGUUCAGUGAAGUUGUUGAUGAUGAGUGCUUUACUUUUGAGCACUGUCCCAAGCAUCAUUUUUAGGAAUUUGCUAAUUACCUUUGGCGGUUUUCCGCACAAGGUUAUACGAUGAGGAAAAUUUGGAACAACAAAGGAACUUGAAUCCAAAUCAGAAUUAGUAUCAGAAUGAAGUAAGUUGUUUGCUUGGAGGGAUUCCACGAGAGAGACGGUAAAAAGUGACAAUCCAUUGAAUGUGAGGUUUGGGAUCUGAAGCUUAUGCGCCAAGUCAUUAGCCCAUGGGUAUGCGGAGUCGGAGAUGAUACAAUCUGGUGGAUCUUUCUCCAUGAAAUCCUCAAUGGAUCCAUGGAGGAGCAUUGCGCCACGGUGGAUCUUCCAAGAGGUCAUAGAGUCAGUGGUGGAAGACAUAGAUUCAAUGCCUUCAGGGAGGUCGACUUGUUGGGAGGGAAAGUCGACGGUGUGGAAGCGGAGGAAGAAGGAAGCCGCGGAUGAGAGAGAUUUGGUUAGGGAUUGAGCGUUGGAGGGAGUGGUGAUGAUUGUGACUUGUUGGCCACGGGAUGCAAACAUAGUUGCUAUGUCACAAAGAGGGAUCAUAUGUCCAGAUGCUAGAUAUGGAAUGAAGUGAAUUUUCAGUGGUCGUUCCACUUCAACACCUUCCAUUGUUGAUAAAUUUAUUCUAUUAUAUUCUAUUCACUAUUCACGUUUCUAUAUCUCCCCGUGUGUGAGUGCAUGAGUUCAAGUUCGACCAUACUUUCGUUUUUAUACGUAAAUAAUAUACUUAUUAUUCAUAUUAUUUUAUUCCAUCUGCACGAGAGCCACGAGGAGAGUAAGAGAACACAAGUUAUCAUCCAUAUGAAUAUUAUGAACCUCUUGUAAUAACACAUGUUUAAAUUCGUACGAUGAAUAUUUAUGAACAUUAUGUGACAAUACAAGUUUAAUUUCGUACGCUUUAGUUGGUGGCUAAAUCUCAAACCGAAGUUGUAGAGACAAACGUUCAACCAAAUGACCUUUUAAAGACAGACAGUUUAAAUUCGUACUCUAUAGACAAUUAAAUUGGAGGCCCUUCUGUCCUACUUGGGUGCGAGUAUGGUGACUUCAUCUUUUUCUCUCUUCUAUCAAUCAUUCCCUCUUUAUCAAAGUAAUUGAUUUUAAUCAUUUAUCAAUCAAUCAAUUAUUUUAUCUUUAUCACCAUGAUAUAUAUUGUUUAAUCUUCAUUGGAGAAUUUAUCAUUUUUGUCUCCAUGAUAUUGGUACAGAGUUUCCAUCGUCGCUUAACGAUGAUUAAUCUUUGUUGGAGAAUCUAUAGAAUACAUAAGGUGAGUUUUCCCUUCCAAUUUUUUUUCUUCAUACACAUAAAUCAAGAAUCGAACACCUAACCAUAUGUUUAAAGUGUUAAAGUUCCUUACCACUUGGACCAAUAUGUUAUUGAUUCAUUAUCUAUAACUAAAUAAACUAAAAUUAUUAAAGUCCCCAAAAGUUACCCAAAUUUAACGUCCACAUGUUUUUUAAACGAUAAAGCAAGUAUUUAAUUUUAUUUAAUCAAAUCCUUAAAUUUUUUAUUCAAUCUAAAUAUUUGACCUUACCAACAUUAUAUUGGUUUGGAUGAGUACAGGCAUCUGAUAGCAUGAGAGGAUUUUCAUUAGAGAUGAAAGGAUGCCAUGAAGUGAGAUGAUCGUUCCUCAAUCCAUGAGAAAUUGAGAUUUUUAGUUUAGAUUUUGUUGAAUUUGACAAAUGAGUUUAAAAAUAGUGGAUGUCGAUUCAAAACAACUUUGCAUAGAUAAUCAAUAAAAACAUUCAAAAUUGAGAUAAGAUAGUUACACAGAUAAUCAAUGAAAACACUUAAAAUUGAGAUAAGGUAGUGAUAUAGAUAAUCAAUGAAAACAACUUUACAUAGAUAAUCAAUGAAAACACUUAAAAUUGAAAUAUUUAACUUUUUUUAUAAAAUAAUUUAUUCUUUUGAAUCUUUAAAGAGUACUUCGGAGGCACUCACUGAUUUAAGUUUUUUUUAAUUGGUUGUAUUUGAAAAGUUAUUUUAAAUAGAGAAAUGAUAUUUUCUCUAUUGUUUUUUACCAUUAAGAAGAAGAAAAAAAAAUUGUCACAAAUUACUCAUCGUUUAUUACACACAUUUUCUUUUUGUCCUUAAAUAGCUCAAUUAGAGUUUUUGUUUUUGUUCCGCAUUUUAUAUAUUUUGUUGUCUUCGCUUAAUUAGUUGUUACUCCUUCCACUACAAAAUACAUGUUACAAUAUUGGAAUGUGUACUAUCUAUUUAUCUGACUCACUUUAAUCAUAUUUGUUAACUAAUAUAUAAAUACACAUUUUAACAUUUAAAUGUUGUUUGAUUUGUCUCCAUAAAUAUUUUAAAAUAUUAAUUUUAUUUUUUUAUUUUUUACUUUAGAUAAUUAAAUAUAUUAACAAUUAAAAUUGUACAUUAACAUAUAUGAAGUAGUUGAGUUCGACAUAUAUUUUAAAAAGGAUGUAAUAGUUUUUGGGAUUUUAGUUUUCUUAUAAUGGGGUCCUAUCCGUUUCCUUUAAAAAGAAAUUACAAAAUCAUAACUGCAUCCCUAUUCAAUUUUACAGUAUGAUAAUUAAAAAUAUUGUUGAACUAAAUUACGACAAUUGUGUAAAAAAAAAAAGCUAAAUUACGAAAGCAUAAUCAAAAUAGCUACAAAAUGAUAUAAAUUUUUUCUCUCCAAGUGAGAAGUAAACCUACAAAAACCUAAUAUCAUCAUUAGAAAUGCUUGUGUUUCCAUCUAGCUAUCUUCAUGAAUCGCUUUGAACGGUAAGAAGAAGAUUGAAGAGCUUCAUAGAGGCAAAAACGGAGCAUUCUUUCAAGGAUCAUGCAUGAGGCAGAUCAUCAGCUACAAAAAGUACAGAGACCCACCAGAAACUGGUUUGAAGUUGAGGUUUGCAUGGAAAUUUUGUUGUUGUUCAAUUUCUGAGAUCCAAAUGGUAUUUAGAUUCUUGGAAAAUUGGUUUGGCUAGCUAAAACAUGAGAAGUGAAUUUUGUGUUAAUUCAAUCUCAUUUAGUUGUAAGCUUAUAAGGAAGCAUUUUGGAGCAACUGUAUCUUGGUAAAAAAAUAAUUUAUCUUUCUUUUUUUCUAUUCAAAUAAUUUGUACUGCCUACUAAUUUGGUGAAUUGAUAUAAACCUUCUUGCCAAAAGGUAAUCUAUAAGCACUACAUCUACUAUAUAACAACAAUAACUAAGCCUUAUCCCACUAAAUGGGGUCGGCUACAUCGAUCAAAUGACGCCAUAAUGUUCUAUAAUAAACCAUAUUUGGGCCCAUCUCAUUAAUAUCUAAAAUUUUUUCAAUAAUUUCUCUCAUAGAUUUUCUAAGUUUUCCUCUACCUCUUUUGAUUUGACUCUCCUCCAUCUGAUCUACUAUCACAAUUAUCUUUAAUCAGAGGACUUGAAAUCAAGUAAUGUAUAAACCUUCUUUAAAUAGAUAUUUGAGAACAAAUUCAUGUUCAAGUGACCUCUUUUGUUAAAGAAAAUGAUACCAUUUCUCUUUGAAUGUUUGCAUUUUGUAGCAAUAAAGACAUGUCUAAAACGUGUUUGCAAAAAAUUAACUUUGUUUUUUAUUGAAUAUGUGUAAUACAAUUUAGAAAAUGAGUAUUUAUCGGUAAAAAUUAUUUCUACUAGUCAAACAACAUGGCCACAAUGUCCAACCUCUACUCGGCUAAUUUUAAAGGCAGUGUGUUAGUUUCCCUCAAUGAGGGGAUCAAGGCACCCCACGUUCGACUCUUAGCUUCCUCUUUCACGACAUGAUUUGUUGACAAGAUCCUUGGUGUGAAGCUUUCACACAUUUAGUGGCUUUAUAAAUAGAGAGUGUGGAUUUUCAGCAUCAUUGUUCCUGAUCUUUGACUUGGUAUGUGAUUCUCAAGAUCCAUGUAUGUUAUUAGACUUUGAGAAAGAAUCAACUUUCCUUCAGUAGAUUGUCCUAACCUUUGCCCAACCUUGCAUCUGUUGCGGGGUUUCCUUGCCUAAACCUAGCAAUUAUUUCUAGUUGUAAACAAAUAUUUUGGACCAAAAAUUUUAAUUUUAUAAAAUCUUUUCUUUGAUUACAAAUAUAAAAAUGUUUAAUUGAGAAAAUUAUCAAAUUUUCAAAAUAAUAAAGGGUUUGUUCAAAUUGACUUUGUAAUAUACAUGGAGUCUGAAAAGUAACUCUAUAAAAAAAACAAAGAUUCUACCCCACCACUUUGAGAUUCUUCUUAUUUUUUACCUCAUAAUUUUCCCUAUAGCCAUAAAGUCUAGAAAAGUGACCUAUAGAUUGAAUUUUUUCAUGAUUUUAUGCACACAUGUUUGUGACGUUAAAAUCUGACUUUUCAUAUAAAAUUAGAAAUUUUUGACUGAAAAAACAAAACAGAAAUUUUAACCUAAAAAUCCAAUUUUGAGUGAUAUUGUGCAGAAACUCCUAUAAAAUACAUAGAGAUUUUUUUGAAAGAAAUAAAAUACAUAGAGAUGAUUUGCAAAAAUGUGCAAACUUGCAAUUUUGAUUUUUCAACAAAAACAUACAGAAAUGCAAUUUUGUUCCGAAUAAAAAUAUUCACCAUUAAAAUACGAAUUAAUUAUGAAUUAUUUAAAAAAUUCAUAAUUACAUGAAACAAAAAUUAUCAAGAAGGGUUAUUAUCAACUUCUGCAAAUUCAUAAUCCUUCCCGAAAACCUAUCCAAUGAAAUAUAAGACAAUUUGAAGUUUAUAAAACUUAUCAUACUAUUAGUGUUUGUCAAUGUGGGACUGUCUUUAAAGCCCAUUUUUGGGCUUUUAAGAAGGUUUAGAAGAAGAAACAUAAAAUAGAAUAAUUCAGUAGCCCCUUUAGGAAGCAAGCAUUUAUCCACCACUUCAGCCGUUCUAAAUGCAUCACUGCACUCCAUCCCUUUUCUCAAUCUCUCAACCCUUGUCCAUUUUAAGUUUUGAUUUCCAAAUGCAUCAAUAUAUAUUGAACUACUAGAAGUUUUGGAGGGCUCAACUAGUUUGUUUCGGCAGUGUAAGUUAAUUAAUUCGGAUCCAAGCAUGCUUUUGAAGCUGCCAACCAAACAUAUCCAAACUGGCAAAUUUAUGUUUUAUCUACUUUUAUUUAUUCUUUCAUUUUUAAUCUCAUUGUUUGUGUUUUCAAAUAUAAAUAACAGAUAUGCGAUAACUACCGUGAAAUCAUACAGCUACAUACUUCAAUUUGCCUCAAAGGAAUAUAAAUGGUUAUGGGAUUCGGAGAAUAGUGUUUUCACUGUCAUCUCAUCUUAUGCUUUGAUCUCAAGAAUAUACUGACCUGAAGUCAAUAUGGGUAGUCUAGAGAUAUGGAUGUUUCAUCGUAUUUGGAAAAGGUAGGUGCCUUCAAAGGUUUUGAAUAACAUGAUUCAAAAUAGAUGUGCUCUAGCUCAUCGUGGAGUCAUUUUGCAGGAUAUGACCGAAGAUUGUAUUCGGUGUGUGAAUCAAUCAGAAACAACCUUCCAUUUAUUUCUACAUUGUGAUUUAGGGCCUACAAGGUCACAGGUCAGCUGAGUCUUUACCGACUUCUGUUGGUGUCCGGUUUGUAGCUGUCUGCUUGGCGCUUCAGCUGUGUUUUGUUGUCGUUUAGGUUGUGUUCGCGCCUCCUUCUGUUUUUCUCCUACCAUUUGUGUGUUUUGUGACGUCGUGUUUCUCUGUCUUUGUUUGUUAUAUCUUAUCAGCCGAUUGUUGUUUUAGGAGAUUUCUUUGCUGUCAUUAGAUGCAUUCAUUAAUUGGAAAAGAGAAUUACAUAAAUUCCUUGUCCAUUUGAAACAUAAAGUCAACUUUAUCCAAACACAUGAAGUCUAUGGUACAUUCUCUUCAUUCUUCCACUUUUAAGAUCAUUCUUUGUUGAAAUCUUGUAGAAUAUGGGUCCUUCUUUCUUUGUUAAUGAAAACAUGAGAAUUCAGUCCACAAUAUAAGAAUAAAGGUUAAAGAACUUCAUUUGUAAAAUAAUGUUCUGCAUAACUUAAACAUCAAACAAAUCAUGUGUAAUGAAACUUGUUAAUGUUCUGCAUAACUUAAACUUCAUUUAUUGUCUCUGGUGUAGGGCUCUUGAACAUAUUUUUGAAUGUUAUACUAUAAGAAAUAAAAGUACAAUGUGCAAAAACUAUCUCAGGCAAAAUAUGAGCAAAGUCGGUCUAAAUCCAAAGAAGAUAUUCCUCAUGCUUUAAAUUGAUAUCUUGAUGAUCUUAUUCAUCAAUACUAUCAAAUUAUUGGCUAUUAGGGCAGAAAUUAACAAACAAAAAAGAUGUCAAUAACAAAUGAUGCAUACCUUCUCCAAGAGUACGGAUCUAGGAUAACAAAUGAUGUUAAUUUUCAUAUUGAAAUAAAAACCUGUAAAACUUUCAAAGAAGAAAAACUCGAUAAAAAAAAUUAGAUAGAUCGAGUAAAAAUUGGUCGAGUCGAGAACAAAUUUUUCAAUGUGAACUAUGUAAUCCUACAACUCUUUGUGGACUACAUGAACAGCGAAAAUUGAUUGGCGUGAGUAAAUUGUUGAAAAAACCAGCAAGCAUUAAGAGCUAAAAAAUGAAAUAUGAAAAAACAAAAAACAAAUUAUGACGUCGAAAUGCAUCCAAUAUAUAAUCUAAUAAUAGCAUAAAACAAAUUGUAACACUUCAAAUUCAUGAAAGUCGGCGAUAUGACAACAUUACCACACCCCUGCAGUCCUAUCUGCAAUGAGCGAAGCAAAUUCCACCGACAUGUCCUGACCCACCACCGACAGACGCCUCAACGACGACACCAAUGGAUCAUCAACACGACAAGAGAUCCAUCGAAAAAAAUACAACAGUGUUGGUGCACAGAUUGUAGAUGAUUGAAAACCAGACAUGAAAGAAAUGCAUUCGAACCAAACUUGGUAUGUAUAGCGAAUGAAACAAAUUAGGGGCUAAUCUUCGGUCAAAAGAAAAAGAAACAGACAGGAUCCCACAAAAUCUAGAGAUUUAAAGUACAGGAACCAGCUUUACAGGAUUCUUCCAUUUCAUUCGACUGUAAACAACGGCAAUGUCAGACUGACAGAAGUGUUGACAUAAACACUCUCGCAGUUGAAAAAUUAAAAUAAAUGCAAAAACACAUUAAGAAGUUAGAAUAGCCACGUACACACCAAAAAUUGAAUCAAAACAAUUAAGGAAAACUAUUCGAAAAUUCAUGUUAAAUCUGCCAGAGUAGCUAAAUGUUACUUCAUUGAUUUGAGAGUACUUGUGGCAGGUAUUGUGGAAUCAAAAUCCAAAAAAGAGAAAACAAGUCACUUGAAUUCAUAGAAAAAAUCCAAAACAUUCACACUUCCGCUUGACGAAACCACGAUGUUAUUAGGAAAAGUUGAAAAAAUUUAGACAAUACUCAUUUGAAUUAAUCAUCCAGCUUGAGGUCUCUCAAUCUUUUAAGGUCUCUCGAUCUUUUAAGUUCGUCAAUCAAAGCCAACAAAUUAUUAUAAGACGAGCCACCUUCUUGAAUAGCUUGUAUAGCUUUUUCUCCAAACUCUCGAGCACGUAGCCUGAUAUUUUCAGCUUCAUCACCACCGUCCAUCAAUCUCCUUACAGCCUUCUCUAUGCUAUCUCUGCUCACUAACUUCUUUCUCUCCGCGACACCACUCGUACACCAUUCUGUUGCACCGACUUCAACUCCAAUUCCUCGGAAUUGUGUUAUCAGUUUCUCAUUGUAGAAUUGAUCUCCAUGAACCGGCCACGUUAUCAUUGGAACUCCCGCACUAACAGCCUCUACGGUUGAGUUCCCCCCGCAAUGCGUCAUAAAUCCCCCCACUGCAGGGUGGCUCAAUAUCUUAACCUGUGGGGCCCAACCCCUAAUGAUCAAACCCUUCUUCCCGAUAUUUCUCUCUUCAAAUCCCUUCGGUAACCACUUUUCUUUCUCUUCUUCGCUCUCAUCUUCUUUCCCUUUCUUCUCAGGAACAACCCAUAUGAAUGGGUGACCGGAUGCUUCUAUCGCACAUGCCAUCUCGUAUAGUUGUUUAUCAGAAAAAUAGUUGAUGCUUCCAAAACAUAUGUACAACACUGAGUUAACUCUCUCUGAAUCGAGCCAACUCAGGCUCUCGUGCACAUUCACAGCACCCUCAUUUCCCCUCUCUGAUUUCUCUUGAGCAGUUUUGCGAAUAAGAGAAGUUGGACCAAGAUGCCAAACCUUGUGACCCGUGGCUUUCUCGUAGUGUUGUAUGCACUCUUCUCCAUCAAGUUCACUGAAGUUGUUGAUGAUUAGUGCUUUACUUUUAAGCACCGUCUCAAGCAUCAUUCCCAUGAAUAUACCGAUUACCUUUGGCGGUUUUCCACACAAGGUGAUAUGGUGAGGAAAAUUUGGAACAACAAAGGAACUUGAAUCCGAAUCAGAAUCUGUCUGAGACUUAAGUAAAUUGUUUGUUUUGAGGGUUUCCACGAGGGAGACAGCAAAAAGGCACAAUCCAUUGAAUGUGAUGUUUGGGAUCUGAAACUUAUCGGCCAAGUCAUUAACCCAUGGGUACGUGGAGUCGGAGAUGAUACAAUCCGGUGGAUCAUUCUCAAUGAAAUCCCCAAUAGGUUCUUUAAGGAGCAUCGCGCCAGUAUGGAUCUUCCAAGUGGUGGUGGGGUCCGUAGUUGAAGACAUAGAUUCAAUACCUUCAGGGAGGCCGACUUGUUGGGAGGGGAAGUCAACGGUGUGAAGACGAAGGAAUGAAGGAGCGUCGGAUGAGAGAGAUUUGGUAAGGGAUUUUGCGUUGGCGGGAGUGGUGAUGACUGUUACUUGCUGGCCACGGGAUGCAAACAUAGUUGCUAUGUCAAAAAGAGGGAUCAUAUGUCCAGAUGCAAGAAAUGGAAUGAAGUAAACUUUCAAUGGUUGUUCAACUUCAACACCUUCCAUUGCUUAUGGAUCAAAUUAUUCUCUCUAUUCUAUUCUAUUCUAUUCACGUUUCUAUGUUUGUGUUUGUCACUGUGAGUGCAUCUCUAUAUAUUCAAUUUCAACCAUACUUUGGUUUAACAUAAAUAAUUUACUUCUUUAAUAUUAUAUGUUGUUUUUGUUAUUAGUUUAUCUAUGAUCUAUGUGCUCGUGUCCCACGAGGAGAGGAAUCUUUUCCGCGAGAUUUCCAUCUUAGUUUUGAAUGCCGACUAUUAAUACUAAAUUAAAGAUUGUAACUUCAUCCUUCAAAAGAAAAAAUUGUAUCAGAUACAAUUUGUUGUGCAUUCCCAAAUGACAACUACAUGCUACACUCGAAAAUUUAAAUGUAUCAGAUACAUAUGAUUUUAUAUUAAUAAUUAAAUGAGUUUUUUAUUUUGAAAAAGAAAUAUUUUUUAUCUAUACUAUAUAUAAAGAGAACUAUCCCUUUCAGUAUUUUUUGGUUAUAUUUUUCUUUCCAAAAUUUUUUAAUACAAAUAAUACAUGUAACAAUUAGAUAAGAAUAAAUUUGAAUAUUAAAACAAAUGUAACAAACACGAUAUGAAUAUACUUACUUUUUCAUCAUUCCAAUUAUAUCCUUAAACAACUUUUUCUAUAAUAAAAUUGUUGUUGCUGUCAUUAAAAAGGAAUUUAGAUUAUAUUUUUUGUUAUAUUGUAUUAUUGUGGGUGUUGUUGAAAUAGAUAAUCAUAGUUAGUUGAUUUUUAUAAGUUGAAAGAAACAAACAUUUAUAUAUUUUUUAGUUUUAAUCAAAAUCAAAAUUUCAUAAAAAAAACAUCAUUCAUAAUUUUCAAACAUUAGCGCAAUAAAAAGAGCGGAAAGACGGGCACGUGAGUACCCGUCUUUUCGCUAGUCUUUAUAACUUUAAUAACUAAAUCUUAUUUACAAAACGUGUUGGCGAAAUAAAAUUGAUUUUUUUUCUUUUUUUUGUAACUCAUAAUAGAGAAUAUUGAUCAUAUAUUACGAUAAAAUGUAAAAUAUUUAGUAUAGUUCUUAUAAACAAUGAAAUAAUAUUUUUUUUCUUCGUAUGGAAUGAUAUUUUCUAAAGUAUAAAGUCGACAAAUAGCUCUUUAUUUAAUAAAAAUUAUCAUUAAUUUAUUGAUUUAAGGAUUAAGUGUAUCUCUUCUUCAGUUCAACCAUACCUCUCAUCUAGGUAAGUGCCUUGAAUUUCCUAUGUUGUCUAGUAGAGUUCAGAAUUCUGAGUUCAAUUUUAUCCUAGACAAGAUCGAUGGCAGGUUGGAAAAUGAAUUUACUAAGUUGAUCAGGACGGGUUACCUUGGUCAAAAGUGUUGUGACUGCUAUGCCUAUUUAUUCCAUGAAGAACCUUUGACUUCCAUAUGGUAUUUGUGAAAAUAUAUAUGCUAUUAUUCGCUCCUUUAUAUGAUGAAGGAAUUAUUGUCGUUGGGUGAAUUGGAAGAGCCUGACUAUGCCAAAAUCUCAUGGGGUUUAGGCAUUCAUACAACCGGGAACUCGAACAUUUCUCUUCUCGGCAAACACGUAUGGGAUAUUUUACCCCAACCACGAAAGCUCUGGGUUCAGAUGUCGAGACACAGAUACUUGUCUGACACUCAUAUUCUGCAUACUCAUUUUAAGCCCGGUGAUUCUUGCAUUUGGCGUGUUGUUGUGAAAGCAGUGGAAAUCUUGGGGACAUUCUUCAUUUGCACGGCUGGAAGAGGUCAGGUAUCCAUACGGUAUGAUAAAUGGUUAGAUAAUGUUUAUCUUUGUAAUGUUAUGUCAUAUGUUCAUAUUAGAGAUACAAACUUUCGUCUUUAUGACUUGUUGGAAAUUGGGGAUUGGAACUUCAACAAAAUCUAAACUCAGCUUCCAUCUUUUUACCAAGAUUGCAUUUGUAGCAUUACCAUUGAUCAUGACAAUGAGGAUAGACUUAUUUGGAUUGCUUAUCCAAAUGGUCAGUUCUCAGGUAGUUAUGGAUAUAGGUAGUUAAAUCAGAAUCUAACUUAACAAUUAGAACCUGUUAUUUGUUGGAGUUGGAUUCAGAGGCUAUCGGUUUCUAAAAAUCUAAGACAUUUUAGCUGGCUUGGGAUGCAUGCUAGUCUCCCUACGAAUGCCUUCUUUGGUUCAAGACAUCUUACCUCUGGUACUUCUUGUCAUAAAUGUGGUGCAUAUGUUGAAAGUGGUAUGCAUACUCUUCGUGAUUGUCCUAGGCAAAGAAUAGGCACAUUUGUCCUACUUAUCCUAACAACUUCUAAAUACAAGAUUGUCAGAUUUUGUUCAAACAUCAUGUUGUUAGGGGGACGGGUACUAUGUUCAUAGUAGCCUGCUAUGGAAUUUGGAGGAAUAAAAUGAAGAGAUUUUUCAAAAUAUUACGAAAGCUACAUGGGCAUCGUUAAUAACAUAAUAUCAUAUCAUUCUUCCAUGGUUCUUGCUCUCGCCCCCAUAAAUAAACACCAUGUGACUGGUUAAGUUCGUUGGAAUCCUCCACCGAAAGGCUUUAUUAAAAUCACUAUGGACGGAUCUUCUUUUGGUAAUCCUGGUAAUGCAGGUUUUUGAGGUCUUCUGAAAAAUAAUAGGGCGAAUUGGAUUCAUGGUUUUUCUGGAUCUUGUGGUAGAGAUACUAAUUUUUUGGUUGAUCUUUCAUUUACUUGGAAGGGUCUUCAGUUGGCGUGGGAUCUUGGUUAUAGGUAUAUCAUCAUGGAGUCUGACUCUCAUGCUCCUUUGGAUCUUAUUUUUGAUACUAAAUAAAAUGAUUUUCAUCCCCAUGCAAUUUUGCUUUUUGUCUUUAGCAAGCUUUCUUCUCUUCCGUGGGUGGUCUCAUUUACUCAUAAUUUAAGAGAAGGUAACAAAUGUGCUGACUGGUUGGCUAAAUUUGGUACAACUAAUACCAACUCCUUGAAGAUGUGGACUUCUCCUCCUCCUCAAUUAAUAUCGGCCACCUUGCGGAUACCUGAGGUAUUUAGGUAACAUAUUGACUAGUUUGCUUUUCCCGUCUUUUAAUUUCCUCUUGAUCAAAAAAAUAAAAAUAAGUAUAUCAGUAUACUUCAAUUUGUGAUUGUACUGUAGAAUCUCCCCCGACUAUUUGUGGAUGCAAGUGGAUCAGAAUUCUAGAACUCGCAUGUAUUGAUCGUUUACAUAUGUUGAUUUUUUUUGUCUUAAAUGCACCUUUGGUUCUCUAUUUUAGAGAUGACAAAAUGGGUAGACCCGUUUAGUGCAUCUUUUUAAACAGUGUGGAUUGAAAUUUUGAACAUGUCGUUACUAGAUGAUCUGCCUUGCCUAACCCGCUAAAAUAACGGGCCAUAGACGUGACAAACAAGUUGACCUGUCGAGUUAAAAUAAAUUAAUUUUUUUUUAUGUAUAAGUCACAAUUUGUUUUACAAUUUUCUUCUCCAUAAAGUAGAGAAUCAUUCAAUUUAAUUACUUGAUUUAAUAAUUUGAGACUUAUGCUUCUAAUAGUUUGUUACUUGGUGAACUUCUGAACUUUUUAUUUUAAUUAUCAUCUUGGCUUAUUAUAGAUUUUUAGAAGAUGAAACAUGGAUAUUUGAAUGAUAAAUUCUACAUUUUUAAUGAACAUAUUAGUUACUUAUUUCGAUCUCUUUAAAUUAGCCUUAUAUUUAUUUAUUUUUACACUUUUUACAUUGUUUUUUGAAGUUUUUAAUUAAUACUUUUUCCAUUUAAAAAAAAAUAACAACAGGUCAAUCCGCCACAAAAUAGGGUUUGGACGAGAUUUUCAACCAUAUAUCUCUAGUUUGUCUGCCCGCUCCGCUCCAUUUUAAACGAGUUAGUAACGAGCCCGGGACAUAUUGACCUAUUUUGUCAUCCCUGAUCUAUUCUCAAAUUUUUUGAAGUUUAAGUCUUCUUUUUUAAAAAUUUGGCUGAGAACAAUUUAUUAAUAUGAAAUAUGCAAUCCUACACCUCCUUAUGGAUUACACGAACAGAGAAAAUUGAGUGGCGUGAGUAAAUUGUUCAAAAAACCAGCAAGCUUUAAGAGCUAAAAAAUUAAAUAUGAAAAAACAAAAACAAAUGACAUUAAGGAAGGUUUGAUAUGUACCUUUGUCCCAAAUUGUAAGCAAAAAUUGAUCAACAAAAAAUUAAUAUCUUUAGUUCAAAAUUUGUGCUAAAUGCAUCAAUUUAUGUUGACACAUUUUUCUUAUAUUUUGAGACGGAGGAAGUAUGCAAUAUAUAUAAUCUAAUAAUAACAUAGAACAAAUCGUAAGACUUCAAAUUCAUGAAAGUCAGCAAUGAAUGAAGUAAGAGAAAUGAUAUUUGUACAAUUUUUUUUGACAACUUUUUCUCUCAUACUCACAUUAUAUUUUUGAGGAGUGAUAUUUGUACAACCAAUUUUAUACAAUUUUUGUGACAACCACUUUUUCUCUCUUCUUAUUGGACAAAAUCAAUAGAGAGAGAAAGAAAAUGAGAGAGAAUAAAAACACAUGUGAGUAUGAGAGAGAGAAUUGUUUCAAAAGUUGUCAAAAAGUGAUUGUACAGAUAUCAUUUCUCUAUAUUUUUACUCUAUCCUUUUUUUUUUCUCUCUCCAUUGUUUUUGACUGAUAAGAAGAGAGAGAAAUGAGAUAAUCAUAAAAGUUGUUAACAAAUGAUUGUUCAAAUAUCAUUGCUCAUUAAGUAAAUUCCACCGAUUGUAAAAACACUUUGGCAGUUUGAAAAAUUGAAAAUAAAUGCGAAAACACAUUAAGAAGUUAGAAGAACCACGUACACAACAAAAUUGAAACAAAUAGUGGAAAUUUUUGUUCUUCCUUGUCAAGAUUAUUGAUUAAUUACAAUUACAGGAAACUAUUCAAAAAUUCAUAUUAAAUCUGCCAUGGUAGCUAUAUUGUUGCUUCAUUGAUUUGAGAGUACUUGUCGCAGAUAUUGUAGAAUCAAAAUCCAAAAAACAUAAAAGGAAUCGCUUGAAUUCAUGUGCAAAAUUCAUAUAACACACAUACUUCUGCUUGACGAAACAACAAUGUUAUUAGAAAAAGUUGAAAAAACUUACACAAUGCUCCUUUGAAUUAAUCAUGCGGCUUGAGGUUUCUCAAUCUUUUAAGUUCAUCAAUCAAAGCCAACAAAUUAUUAUAAGAUGAGCCACCUUUUUGAAUAGCUUGUGUAGCCUUUUCUCCAAACUCUCGAGCACGUACCCUGAUAUUUUUAGCUUCAUCACCACCGCCCAUCAAUCUCCUCACAGCCUUCUCUAUGCUAUCUUUGCUCACCAACUUCUCUCUCUCCGCAACACCACUUGUACACCAUUCUGUUGCACCGACUUCAAUUCCAAUUCCUCGAACUUGUGUUAUUAGUUUCUCGUUGUAGAAUUGAUCUCCAUGGACUGGCCACGUUAUCAUUGGAACUCCCAUGCUAACAGCCUCUACGAUUGAGUUCCCCCCGCAAUGCGUCAUAAAUCCCCCCACUGCAGGGUGACUCAAUAUCUUAACUUGUGGGGCCCAACCCCUAAUGAUCAAACCCUUUUUCUCGAUGUUUUUCUCUUCAAAUCCCUUCGGCAACCACUUUUGUUUCUCCUCUUCGCUCUCAUCUUCUUUCCCUUUCUUCUCCGGAACAACCCAUAUGAACGGUUGACCUGCUGCUUCUAGUGAGCAUGCCAUCUCAUAUAGUUGUUUAUUAGAUGAAUAAUUGAUGCUUCCAAAACAUAUGUACAAUACUGAGUUAACUCUCUUUGAGUCAAGCCAGCUCAGGCACUCGUGUACAUUCACAAAAACCUCGUUUCCCCUCUCUGAUUUUUCUUGAACGGUUCUGCAAAUAAGAGAAGUUGGACCAAUAUGCCAAACCUUGUGACCUGUUGUUUUUUCGUAGUGUUGGAUGCACUCUUCUCCAUCAAAUUCACUGAAGUUGUUGAUGAUAAGUGCUUUACUUUUAAAUAUUGUCUCAAGCAUUGUUUCUAGGAAUGGGAUGAUUAACUUUGGCGGUUUUUCACAUAAGGUGAUAUGAUGAGGAAAAUUUGGAACAACAAAGGUACUUGAAUCCGAAUCAAAAUUUGUAUCAGAAUGAAGUAAAUUGUUUGUUUUGAGGGUCUCCAUUAGGGAGACGGCAAAAAGGCACAUUCCGUUAAAUGUGAUGUUAGGAAUCUGAAACUUAUGGGCCAAGUCAUUAACCCAUGGGUAUGCAGCGUCGGAGAUGAUACAAUCUGGGGGAUCAUUUGUUAGAAUAUUUUAUUAUUUAAUAAUAUUCCAAUAUCAUUAUGUGGGCAAAUAUCGUAAUAAUAAUUAUAUUAGCUAUUUAUCAAUUGUGAGCCUUAAUUGAUUAGUGAUCAAAUUAAGUAAUAAGGCUAAUUAGAUUUCUAUUUUGGAUAAUUAAUUAUUUAAUUAGUUGAUAUGGACUCAACAUGAGUGGAUGUCCGGAUGGCCCAUUAACGGAAUAAUGGGAAACCCUAAUGGCCAUCCAAUAUAAAAGAGGCUAUGGUCCCCAAUACACCGUACACGGCAAUACUCUCUCUUCUCCCCAUCUGAAGAGAACUUGAGGCAUAAAGGUACCGGUUGAGGAAGAACCAAAUCAGCCACCGCUAACUCUAUUGUGUGUUUCAGAUCAUCUCCUCUCUUUGGUUAUAGUUGUUGAUGAGAGGGCUGCCUUGAAAGCUUUAUCCAGGUAUUCCUAAUACCCUAAUUCUUAAUACCCUUGAUAAAUCAAACAUGUCGUAGAUCCGAUCAUAAUCAGGUUCAAUGUUUUGUUUGCUUCCGCUAUUGAUUCACAAUUGUUGAACAUGUAUUAUGAAAUCUAUUUAUAUUAAGACCUAUAUUUCCAACAAGUGGUAUCAGAGCGGUCUUCAUGUUUGAUUUAUUAGGAUUAUUUUGUUUAAAAUCACAAAUUUUUCUUUGUUCUUCCAUCGCUUGAACCCUAAAUUUGGUUAAUUGGGGAUUUUUUUAUGUUUGCCUCGUUUCGGCAUGAAAACGUGAAAUAAUUUUUUUUUUUUAUUUGUUUUGAGAAUAACCGUAACAAGCAAACCAUGUCUUAUGUGUAUAGUUGCUUACUAAAGGACAACAAUUUUUUGUGGAUGAUUACUUUUACUUUAAUCAAUUUUUUUUUUAUGCGUGUUCCAAUCGGUUCUUGUUUGACCUUUAUUUCAAUUGAAUCGGUUUAAUCAAUUGAUUUCUUCUGGAUCCUCCUUGUUGCACGCUGGUGAUUCAUUAGGCAUGAAUUUUAUGAAAACAAAUAAUUUGAUUAAAUCUUGUGUCCAUGAAUAUAGAUAAUUUGGUUUGGCUUCUUUUCAAGAUAUCAAUAUUGCAUCCUUUGGGUUGUAUUUUUGUCCUUUUAGGAAUAUUCUUUUACUGUGAAUAUUUGGAUUUUGGAAGAAAUAUUCUUUCAGUAUGAAUAUUUAAAUUCAAGUGUAUGUAAUUUUGUGAGCUAUAUUUUUUCUUUUUGGAUAUGAAUUUGGUUUGCUGCAGCUUUCGAAAGCAAGAUACAUUGAUGAAAUUGAAUUCACAUACUUGAAAUUUUAGAAGUAAGUAUUUUGCAUAUUUCAAAUUUGUGAAAUCAAUUGUGUCUGCUCUUGACUUUAUUUGCAUUUGAUGAUUUGAUUCUAUAUUAAAUCUUUUGGUCAAAAUAAUUUUCCAAUAUUUUUUUUUUAUCAUAUCUUCCAGUUUAAUUUCUAUUUGAAAUUAGUAUUUAUUCACAAAGAUUUUGUACAUGGAGAUUAUUUUGAGAAAUAAGGCAAAUUAAAUUUUGUUAUAUAUAUUUGGUUGUUGUAUAUAUUUGUGGAAUAUGUAAGGAAUCUCAAAAUAUUAUGAAGAAACUUUUAGUACAUGAAGUAAAAAUUUUGAUUCUUUAAAGUUUGAGAAAUAAUAAUUUUAGUAUUGUUUGUUUAUUUAUAAACAUAAAGUAUAUUUCUUUAUUUAGGAAAUAAUUGAGUCUAGAGUUAUUCAUUAUUUUAUUUAAAGAAUCAUUUGGUAUAUGUGAAUCAAUUGUCGCAUGAAUAUUUUUUUUUUGUAUAUAUAAGAUUCAAUUUUUUUUUAUUUGAAAUUGAAUAUUUGGUUAUAGCAUGAUUAUCAUAUUAGAGUUUAUUGUUAUUAAGUUUUCUACAAUAAUAUUUUGUCUUAUCAUGCAUUUUGAAUAUAUUUCAUGCUAUGUUUGUUGCUGCUUUUAUGCGAUAUAUUUAAAUUCAUGAGUUUGUCUUCACACUUAAAGUAUUGUCAUACACACAUUGGUGUGAUUUGUGACUUUCAUCUUCUUUCAAAUUCGUGAAUUUGUCUUCACACUUAAGGGUUGUCAAGUGACCUUAUGGUUACUUAGCAACAUAAUGGACUAAUUCAGCCUACAUUAUGUCAGUAGUGCUUUGUAAAUUUAAGAUCAUUCCCAUUUAAUUUGUUGUGAAAUGUCUAGUAAUUGCGGUUGUUUUGGUUGAAGCAACAUGUUGCCAAAGUAACCUCUGUUGCGUAGAUUUGAUUCAACUGAACUUGCAAAAGACGUAGUAUGAAAUUAUCCAUGUGAGUUGUCGUCGGCCCCAAGGAAGGCACAACUUGACCGGAUAAUUACAUACAUAUGAUAGUAAAUGUAUGGUGAUUAUAUAGUAAUUAUCCAUGUGAAUAAUAGGAUACCUGAAUGUGACUAUUAUUUGACAGGAUUUAUCACCUCAUUUAAUAUAUAUUAAGAUUAUCUAGUAACUGCAGUUGAGUCGGUUGAAACAAUAAUGUUGCCCAAGUAACCUCUGUUGCGUAGAUUCGAUUCAACUGAAGUUACAAAAGAUGUAGUGUGUAAUUAUUUAUGCGAGUUGUCGUCGGCCCCAAGGAAGGCACAACUUGGCCGGAUAGUUACAUACCUGUGAUGGUAAAUAUGUGGUGAUUAUAACGUAAUUAUCCAUGUGGAUAAUAGGAUGUCCAAAGGUGACUAUUAUUUGACAGGACUUAUCACCAAUGUUUGAUCAUUACAUUGAGAGUACCGCUUGCAAUUAAUUCUUAGCAAUCCAAAGAUUGUGUUUUAAUGGUGCGCUUGGUAUCUUGUUAAGGUCUUUUAUUUACAAAUAAAGAAGCAUGUUUCUUUAAUAUUUUACUGACAUGUAUGUUGAUGUUGUGUUAGUGUAAACUUAUUUAAUUAUUUAAGAGUUUACAUCCACACCUAUGAUGGAAAACAAUUGACAAUUAUAAGAAUUUAUUCUUUGUCAAAGUAAAUUGUCAUUGUUUGAUCAUUGUUAUAAAAUACCACUAGCAAUUGAUAUUAUUUUUUAAAGACUUGAUAUUGAUGAUGCAUUAGGUAUUUUGGUGAGUGCUUUUGCUACUCUUGUUCUCUUUAAACUAAUAUAGUUUAUGUAUCUGCUAAUCUGAGUUGAAUUUUUAAACUCUUAAAAGUUCUAACUUUUAGGAAUUGAAGUAUAAUAUUAACAUUAUUCUUGGAUCUAGACCUUAGAUAAGGGUGGUGAAACUCACAUUCUCUCACAUAUUCAGCAUCUAAUUUGAGAAUCAAGUUUGACAAGUGAGUAUACACCAAAUCUCAUAGGUCAUAUGUGAUCAUAAAGUUAAAAUCUCAUAUGCAUUAGAGGUAUUGUUUAAGAUGACAAUUUUUGUCAUAUUUUCUUUGGUUAAACUAAGGUGCUUUUAAAGCAAUAUAGAGAAAGACAAACUCUCAUUGGAGAGAGUGUAUUUCAUUAAGAUUAUUUGGCAAAGAAAAUGUAAGAAGCACAUCAUGUAAAUAUUUAAUCUUGCUAAGACACUAUAAUUUCGACUAUCUAUGACUGGUUCGAAAAUUCAGUAAUUUCGACAAUCAUAUGACUUGUUCGAGAAUUCAGUAUUUUGUAUUAUCUUUGCACAGUUAAGUUUAUAACUGUUACAGUUAGAAAUGAUCGUUUAAAUGAUCAAUUCAUAAAGUGUGCAAAUAAGGAAAGGCUGAAGCAAGAGAAAAUAAAAUGGUGCUCAUUUGGAAAAUACCUCAUAAAAGAUAAGGGCAAAAGAAUGGUAGUCUUGACUGACUUAUGUCCAAUGAUGUUGAAAGAUACAUCAAUUAAGAAUGGACAAAGUCGAUAAAGAUUGCUUUAUUCAUUUUUUAAACCAAUUUUAGAUUGUCGUUACUAGUUUAUUUUUGUAUUUAAAAGACAUUUGGUGAAUCAUUAUUUGAAUGAAUUUUUGUUUUAAUUUCUCUUUGAAUAAAUCAAGAUGUUUUGAGUUUCAUUUGCAAAUAAUGAUUCAAUAUGUCUUUUAAAUUCAAUUAUAAGAGUCAAUUCAGUUAUGACUUGUGACAUUCUAUAUUGUUUAAGGUUUUGAAUACUAUAAGUUUUUCGUCCCACAAAUUAAGAAAUUUUUUUUUUUUGAGACAUAAAUUGUUAAGCUUUCUUGAGGAUAUUGAGUUUGGGGGAGAGAUAUGGUUUUUUAGAACAAAAUUGAAUGAGGAAGAAUUAGUUCUAAACUAAUUCAUAUAGUUACUAUUAGUAUAGUAUAUUUGGAUCCUCGUGAGGACAUUAUUGUUCUUUCUCUCAAUCAAGUUAAGAAAUUAAUUCAUAUAGAUCAAACUCAACACCCUCAAGAAAUAUGGCUUCUAGUGUCAUUAAGAAUUGACUGAAAAGAGAAGUUCUAUUUAGUUUAAUUGAAAGACUCUAUUAGGAAAGUCAUGAUACUAGUUUGCUGAUUAUAAUUUUGGAGCUGCAUAAGAUGGAUUAUAAUAUAGUGUUUCUUAAUGGUGACAUUAACGAUACAAUAUGGUGCAUGUGAAUAAAACUUUUGUGUCAAUUGAUACAAAGUAAAUGGUUUGCAAAGUCAUGAAAUCCACUUAUAAGUUAAGAAAUUUGUCUCUUUAGUGUUACCCAAAAAUUCUCAUAAAGUAAUUGUCUUAUUUGGUUUUGAGAUAAUAUUAUGGAGAAUUGUGGACUUAGCAAGUUCAGUGGGAGUAAUUUUAUAUUUCUAGUUUAAUAUGUCAAUUUUAUUUUAUUCAGUCAACGAUGAUAUAUGUUUGUUAUGUGAAACUAAGGAAAUCUCUAACAAAAGUUAGUGAUGUAAGAUCCUAGGGACACCUCUUUUGUAUUAGGCAUUUCAAUACUUAGAGAUUCUUCUCAAGGUAUUAUUCGGAUAUCACAAAAGAGUUAUAUCAAUAAAGUUGAAAAUGAAAUGACGUAAUUUUUGGAUGACCUCAAUCACCGAGAGAGACUUUUCAGUCUCAAAUAUUGCCCAUUAGAAAAUUUAUGAAUUCAUAAAUUUAAGUAUUUUCCUACACUUUGUCUAUAGGAUUUUUAUGUAUAAUAUUAUUAUACGCAUUUUGAAAUGGUGUAUAUAAUAAAAUUGUUUGGCAGAUAUUUUAGCAAUUCAAAGUUUGAAUUGUUUAAAAAGCAACCAUAAGGAUUAUUAAAGAGAACAAGAGAGCUUAUGCUCACAUCAGAAAUCUGACAAUUUGGAGAUCAUUUAUGUGUCAGACUUUGGCUUUUGGAUGUAAGUAGAUAAUACACAUCCUAACUCAAGAAAUGACUGUAAGUAUUUAUGUCACUUGGUUGCAUAUUGUUAAAGGUAUUGAAAGACCGAUCAAGUUAUAUAGUGACAUAAUUCAGUCGUAUAGUUGUUUAACAACAAAUUUCUAAAAAUUCAUUACCUUAUAGAUUAUUGUUGUUAAAUGAUAGAACAUGCAGAGACAAACUUUAUGCUAACUGAUCCACUAAUCAAAGACAUGACACAUAAGGUCUUUCAUAUGGUUGUUGUCAUUAAGGAUGUCUUGGAUUAGUGGGAGUCUCUUAGUUUAUGUUCUAUACUUUUAAUUUUUGGAAUUGAUACAGACUUUAUGUUAUGAUUUUCUGCAGAAAUAAAGUUCAUGAGGUUAUUUUUUGUUAUAACCAUUUCUGUAUCAUUUUGUGCAAAUAUUGAAUUUGCAUACUUCAGUUCGAUCUCACUAAAGUUUUAAGUUGGAUCAGUUGGAAAUAGACAUGAUUUAGAGAUCACAUUGCAUGAAAUUUCCAUGCCACUCAUCCAUAUCGAUCUAUGUCAUCAAGUGCAUUGAUAUGGUGGUCGUCGGGGUUCCGUCACGUUAUAUGUCAGUGACGACAGCCGCGGUGGUCCCAUUAUUAAUGUACGAGGUGGACUAGAUUGUAAAAGUUGAAAUCUAAAGAUAAAUAGCAUUCAGACGCGCGCCUAAAGAAUUAUGAUAUAAUUAUUAAGAUAUGUAGCCCAAGUAGGAGAUUGUUAGAAUAUUUUAUUAUUUAAUAAUAUUCCAAUAUCAUUAUGUGGGCAAAUAUCGUAAUAAUAAUUAUAUUAGCUAUUUAUCAAUUGUGAGCCUUAAUUGAUUAGUGAUCAAAUUAAGUAAUAAGGCUAAUUAGAUUUCUAUUUUGGAUAAUUAAUUAUUUAAUUAGUUGAUAUGGACUCAACAUGAGUGGAUGUCCGGAUGGCCCAUUAACGGAAUAAUGGGAAACCCUAAUGGCCAUCCAAUAUAAAAGAGGCUAUGGUCCCCAAUACACCGUACACGGCAAUACUCUCUCUUCUCCCCAUCUGAAGAGAACUUGAGGCAUAAAGGUACCGGUUGAGGAAGAACCAAAUCAGCCACCGCUAACUCUAUUGUGUGUUUCAGAUCAUCUCCUCUCUUUGGUUAUAGUUGUUGAUGAGAGGGCUGCCUUGAAAGCUUUAUCCAGGUAUUCCUAAUACCCUAAUUCUUAAUACCCUUGAUAAAUCAAACAUGUCGUAGAUCCGAUCAUAAUCAGGUUCAAUGUUUUGUUUGCUUCCGCUAUUGAUUCACAAUUGUUGAACAUGUAUUAUGAAAUCUAUUUAUAUUAAGACCUAUAUUUCCAACAUCAUUUUCCAUGAAAUCCUCAAUGGGUCCAUGGAGGAGCAUUGCGCCAUGAUGGAUCUUCCAAGAUGUGGUGGAGUCGGUGGUGGAAGACAUAGAUUCAAUGCCAUCAGGAAGGCCAACUUGUUGGGAGGGGAAUUCGAUGGUGUGAAAGCGAAGGAGGGAGGGAGCGGCGGAUGAGAGAGAUUUGGUAAGGGAUUGGACGUUGGAGGGAGUGGUGAUGACUGUGACGUGUUGGCCACGGGAUGCAAACAUAAUUGCUAUGUCAAAAAGAGGGAUCAUAUGUCCAGAUGCUAGAUAUGGAAUGAAGUGCAGUUUCAGUGGUUGUUCAACUUCUACACCUUCCAUUGCUGAACAAUAUAUUCUCUCUUUUCAAUUAACUAUUCACGUUUCUAUCCCUCCCUGAGUGUGUGAGUGCAUCUCUUUUCAAGUUCAACCAUAGUUUCGUUUUAUAGAAAUAUUUUACUUAUUACUUUUUUUUUAUUAUUGUUAUUAUUUUAUUCUAUCUGCACGAGACCCACGAGGCUUAGCUCCAGUUAUCAUCCCAUAUGAACAUUAUCUGCACCAUUAAUUUUGAAUGAGACGUGUGUUUAAGAGUGCUCUGUGGACCAUUAAAUUGAAGACCAUGUUUGGUAGAACAAAAAAAAAAAAACAAUAUUUUUUGAAGGAAAAAUAAUUAUUAUUACUGGCGGAAAAACGGACACUCCUCUUUCUAUUCAUUUUAUUGCACUAACGUAUGUAGACUAUCAACAAUAUUUUAUAAAAGAAUUAUAUAAAUUAAAAUUAUAAGUACAAAUAUAUGUGAUUUGACGGUGAUGCUAAAUGGUGUGAAAUCUUUUGGCACAAAUCACACCAAGCAUUUACGCACAACACGGUUACUUACAAAUCUAGAAUUUUUUUUUUUUUUUAUUCUGAUCAAAGUAUUAUAAUAAAUAUUAUUAUACCUAGCGAAAAGACGGGUAUUAAUGUGUUCGUCUUUCCGUUCUUUUUAUUGCACUAACAUUUGAAUAUCAGAUAUAAAUAUAUUCAUAUCAUGUUCGUAAAAAACCAUUCAUGAAAGCUCGUGAUUUUGUACGAACUAAAAAAGACAUGACUUUGAGUUUUAUCUUAUGUCUUAUAAGCUCGUUUGAAUAAAAAGGACCCGUUUAAUAAACGUCACUUUCUCACAAACUUAUAGCUUAUUCUUACUAUCUUAUAGUGUUGUUUGAUAAACUAAUUCAAGUAGCUUAUAACUUAAAUAUCAUUAUUUAUCUCAAUUUUACCCCUACAAAUUUAAAUGAAAAAACUAAUAUUAAAUCAAUAUAUCACUUUUAUGCCAUUUCAUAUUUAUAAUAUAGUCCAACUAUUAAUUUUACUAAAUAAUAUAAAUUCAAUCAACUAGCUUAUCCACUAUCAGCUAGAAGCUGAUUAUAGUGAAAACAUUCACUUCUGGAUUGUGUGUCUGAAUAUGAACACUUAUUUUGCAACCCUAACAAAAAAAAUAGUUAUAGCUUAUCCACAAAUUGUUGCGGCCAUUGUUCACAUUUUGCACACAAUCUGGAUGGCACACAACAUUCUAAGGUUCAAUUUUGAUAAAGCAAUGAUACAUACAACAGAGAUAAAAAUUGAUUAUUCUGUUACUAUGAGUGGUAACCUAUCUGCUAGGUGUUGUGUGUCUUCAUAUUCGCCUUUUUUAGAUUCUUUCUUGGUGCCUACCCAUCAUCUGAGAACCAAUGAGAUUACGCCUAUUUUUCGGAAGCCUCCAACUCCUCCUUUGCUGAAGGUUAACACAGAUGACUCGAUAAUUAGAGCUCACGCCUCUUGUGGGGGUAUAUUUUGAGAUCAUUUAGGAACGUUCCUUGAUGCUUUUACUUGUAACCUUUGCACUUGCUCAAUUUUUAAUGCCGAAAUUCUAGGUUAUCUGGGCUUUGGAGUAUGCAGCUCAAAAUUGGUGGUGAAAUAUUAUGUUUAAGAGUGAUUCAACUAGUGCCUUAUUAAUUUUUAAAAAUUCUUCUCUAGUGUCGAUCUCCUAUCGGAAUCGGUGGCAUUAUGCUAUUCGACUUGGAGUUCAGAUUAUGUCAUCCCAUAUUUUAUGCGAAGGCAAUUGUUGUGCUUAUAAGCUUGCGAAUAUGGGGCACUUGGUUCGGGGAUCAGUUUCGUUGAAUGAUUGUCCUAGAGACUUUGGAUGGAUUUCUUUAUAGACAAAUUUAGUUUGCCUAAUUUUAGAUUCCCUUAUAUUCUUUUCUUCUUUUCCUCUUAUCUUGUUUGUUGAGGGUUUUAGCUUGGUCCCCCUAUUUUGUGUGUGUGUGUGAUUGGGGGGUGACAACCUGGUUAGGAUGUCGGGGAUUCUCUUUGAUGCAUGCUCUUUCUCUUGGCUUAUAAUUUUUUUUUUUAGCGUUGAGCACCAACGUUUUCAAUUCUUUUUAUUUUGGAUUUCUUCAAUACACAAUUCCAUGAUAAAAAAAAAAAAAAAAGGCCCAAUUCUUCGUAAAAAAAUAAAGAAAUGCUCUCGUUAAAAGUUGAAUUCAAGACCUCCCGCUUACUAAACAAGUGCUCUAACCAACUGAGCUACAAGAGCUUCUUGGCAACAUUUCCAUUACAAACAUAUAGAUUUUAAUCAAACAACGAAUGAGUGGGAGGUCACAUUUCUCAUAUAGAGCUUCUUGUUCACCCUUACGCGUAUAUUGUCAUCAAUCGCCUUAAAAUGAAAGAGUAUACGGUCAUGAUUUCUCAUAAUUUUAGACAUGCAAGCUAGCUUGUUGACUAGAUUGCGGGUUAUGCUAUCUCUUUACUUACGAGUCCUCGUUUUCUUUGCCAUCCUCCAUGUACUUUUGUUAACCUUUUAUGGAAAGAUGUUGCCAACAAUUAUUUUAGUCGUCACGUUCAUGUCUAAUUCGGUCUAAGGACCCUCCUAUUAGGGAAAAAAUUAUUUUCUCUGUCAACUUUAUCAUUACUCACACUUAAAGUUAAAGUCUUUGAUUCAUGUAUUAUCUAUUUGUUUGAUAGGAAUUGUUGCUGAUAUUGACGAAAUUUCAACUUGUCAAAAUGGAUCUAUCAACAUAUUGUCAAUUUUUUUAAGAUGUCACGUGAAAAUAAAAGCAUGGACAUAAGAUAUGACUUCCAAGCCACAUUUAUAUAAAACAUCAUGCUUCAACGCACUUCAUGUAAUUUCAUUAUAUUCAUUAUAAUAAUAUUUUGUUAUACUCAUAAUAUGAUUAUGAGUAUAAAUUUAUUAUUAUAAUGAAAUUACAUGAAAUGUUAACGCAGAUGUUGGGGAAAAUGGAUCUUUUAAGUAGAUAUUAUUUGAAGACUUCAAUUUAAUGCAAUACCAACCAUUUAGCUAUUAUGGGGGAGUGUUUGGUAUGGUAUUUUGAACCGGUCAGAUACUUCAAGUACAUUGCAAAUAACGUCGUUCUUCGUGCUCAACAACUAAGUUAACUUUUUCCACUUUAAAAGAAUUUAAGUGAUUGUUUUCGAGCCAUUUCACUGGCUUGUGUUUGGAUUAUCUGAUCUGAUCGUAAUAACAUAUUAUUUGGUCGCAAGGAAAUGUCAUCAUCUCAAACUAUUGAUCAAGUAAAAAAAUCCAUGUUUGAUGGUGGAUUUAGGCCAAACACCACUUGUUUUCUUAUUGUCUUAAUCUUUGAUGAAUUAAUCCUCUUAAUUGUUUUUACUUAUUAGCUUCUUGAUAUUCUUUGAUUGGUUCUACAUUUGUUUAAACUUUUUUUUUAUUUCAUAUUCUUUGUACUUGUGUUAAACUAGUCUUUUAAUAUAGAGUAGUGAUAUUUGUAUACCUUUUCUAAACAACUUCCAUGACAACUUUGUUUUUCUCUAUUUUGAUUGGUCAAAAUUAAUAGAGAGAGAAAAAUGUAAAGAGAUAAUAAAAAUGUAAUGUGAGUAUGAGAGAGAAAGUUGUUAAAAAAUUGUUAGAAAUUGGUUGUACAAAUAUCAUUUCUCUUUAAUAUAUUCAUUCGACUUUUCACAACACACAAAAAAAAAAAAAAAAAAAAAAGAAGAAGAAGAAUAGGUGUGGAAAUGAACACUUAUUUUGCAACCCUAACAAAAAAAAACAGUUGCACAAAGGUAAGGGAAAAUUCGUUCGUGAUACUUCUAUCAACUAAAUGCCUAAGUUCUUCCAAACUAUAAAUGCUACAUAUUUUAUGCUCAUAUAAAUUCUUUUGUUAAUCUCAUGUUAUUAUUAGAUUAUUUCUUAAAGUAAUAAAAACUAUCAUCUUCAAACACACUAUUUUCGCAUUUUAGGAAUUAUUAUUUUUUAUAUAUUUAUUAGUUAGAGCUUAAAUUAUAGGUUCUUCCAUAGACCAUCAAAAUCUCAUCUCAAAAAAUUCUUACGUGAACUUUCAUCUAACACGUCAUUCUUACACCCAGUCAAUUAAAAUCUUACACCUCAUUAAAAUAAUUUACUUUUUGCUACACCUCAUUAAAAUAAUUCUUACUCCAACAAUCAUAAGUUUUUGCUUUGAAUUUACUUUUUCCUUAAUUUUUUACUUACAAAUUGUGAAACAUAGUUCACUUUAUGUUUCAAUUUCCUCCAUCGGGUUAGAAAUCCAAUGAUUAAGCGAUAGACAAAUUGAAAAUCAAUAUCGAUAGUGGCUCUUGGAACUGAGAGAGAGAUGAAACGAGGCGGUUAAAGCUCCCAUUUCUGUAUCCAUUUUCUUAAUUAAAAUCACACUUAUUUUUAAAAGUUAAUAAUAUAUGUCAUAUUUUUAUUGGUUUAGUGUAAGAAUUAUGUGUUGGAUGAGAAUUCACGUAAGAAUUUUUCAUCUCAUAAAUGGUUAUGUAUAUAUUUUUUUUUUUUUGGUGGUGAAACGGUUAUGUAUAUAAUAUAACUAAACAAUUUAACUUGGUUAAUGAACUUCAUCAAAAGAUAAAUUAUUCAGAAAAACAUGAAUUCAAUUCCUUGAUAAAAUACUAGACUUUAUCUCUGUUGAACUCUCCCUUUCCCAUAAGAGAUUCAGAGGGAUAAAAAUAAAUAAAUAAAUAAAUAAAAUACUACAUUUGGAUCAGGUAUUAGAAUUUUGAAGUAUAUAUCCAUUUGUUCUUUCAGCUUCAAUCCAACAUUCUUACAAACUAUAGAUUUUUGUUGGACCAAAUUACUACGAACUACAAGUGAAUUGUUGGCGUCAAUAAACUAAGAGAAAAAAAAAAGGGAAAAUAUUUAUUUUUGUCUUGGGUUCUUCAAAGCCAAUCUUCAGAAGAAGGAAAAAAAAAGACAAAAAUACAGAAAAUGCUCUCGUUGAGAGUUGAACUCAAGACCUCCCGCUUACUAAACGGGUGCUCUAACCAACUGAGCUACGAGAGCUGGUUGGUAGCAUUUUCCAACCAAUCAAUUUAACCUUUCUUUUUAAUAAAGCAGAAUGAUAACCGCGUGCGAAAAUGAGUGACCGAAAAGGUAAGUUAACAAACAAAGGACAUUUUCGUCAUUAUAAAAAACCACCCACAUGUCUCAUUUCUUUCUCAAUACAAAAAAAAACUUCACAAAAAACAACACAUUCAGACACACACACAAACACACACACACACAUACACAGUGUUAUCUUCAACACUCUCUCUAUCUUCAAUUUAGGGUUCCGAAUUUUCCACCAAAAACAUGGACUCUGAUUCAUGGAUCUCUUCUCGUCUCUCUAACUCUUCACGCCGUUACUAUUCUCGAUCCGGUUAGAACCAUCAUAAUUAUUUAAUUCCAAUUUUGAUUAUUUUUUUUUGUUGAAAUUGUUGGUGAUGAUUUGUUGAUUUGUUUUUGGUGUUGUUUCAGAUCUGUUUCUAGGUGGAAAUGAUGAUGCUGAACCUGGCGGUGGUGAUGAUUUAAGGGCUGAAUAUCUUUGCCCUUUUUGUGCUGAAGAUUAUGAUGUUGUUUCUCUUUGUUGUCACAUUGAUGAAGAACAUCCUCUUCAAGCUAACACUGGGGUGGGUAUUCAUAAAAACUCUUUCUUUAUUUAUUUUUUUGUCUUUUUUUUAUAUUUGUCUAUGAUAAAAAUUGUAUUUUUAAGGUUUGACACUUUUCUCUGGGACAAAAUUAUGUAGUGUAUGUAGUUUAGUUUGUUUAUUAUAUGUAUGUAUGAAUAUUCCUCAAAUACCAUUUUGCAUAAAGAUGUGUUAAAUUUUGGUUUUUUACUUUCAAACACUUGAUAUUAUUAAUUAAGGGUAUACAUGGAAAAAAUAUAAAUAGAUGCAUUUAGUAAUUCAAAAUGAAGCUUAUGUUCAGGGACAAUUUUUUUGAAAAAUAAAAUGUGCUUAUAUUUUGGAACAAUUUAUUUUGAAAUGUGGUUAUAUUUUAGGGGAAAAAGGCUUGGUAUUCAGUGACUUUGGAGACAAGUCACUGUAACUUCAGUGGAAUUUUGUGUUUUAUGAAAGAGAAAUCAUAGAUAAGAUGAAAGAGAGCAGUAUAAGAGAGAGAUAGACACGAUGUCAUGUUGACUUUCCCACCUUAAAAGUAGCGAAUCCGGAUAUGGGAAAGUUAGUAUGAGUUUGCGUUGAGAGGUCUUUUUAUUCCAUAAAUUUGAUAGGUUGUUUGGUUAGUUCGUCUUUUAUCUAAAGAUUUAGUCUUUAUAGAUAUACAGGCUCUUCUUCUCGGAGUUGUUGUUCUGUGCAGAAAAGAUAUUUAUUUUUUCUGUUCUACCAAUUCUUGUUUGGUGUUCAAAAUGAUGCGUGUUUUGUUUCUGCUUAUUAGUUUGAAUGAGGCGUGUUUUAAUUAAUCUUUGUCCAUUAUCAUGGUAGGUGUUUCUUUGUUUUUGGUGUUUAUAUGCUGAUGAUGGUGAUAAUUGAUGGCAUUGGUUAUACUUUUCAGGUGUGUCCUGCUUGUGGGCAAAAGGUGGGAAUGGAUCUUGUUGCACAUAUUACCACGCAACAUGCAAAGUUUUUCAAAAUAUCCUUUUUCAAAGUUGGUUUCUUUGUUCUUGUUUUUAUUUCACUUUUAGUUUGAUUGUUGCUCAUUUUUGUUGCUGCACCAUUCAUAUAUGUUUUUGGGGGUAAGAAUUAAAUAUGUAAAUUUUUUAACAAUUGAUAUGCAAGUUUGUUGGAAAUUUAAAUUUUCCAUCUUCAUAUUUUAUUGCAUUCCUGGAAAACAAAUUUUAUUUGAAGCGUUGAAGUGUCAUGCCGAAAAAUGUGUACAUUUAUGAUUGGUUUUGCUUCUUAGAAAUGAUGUAUUUAAACUAUCAAUCAGAAAACCAGUAUGUUUAUAUUUAUCAUGUGUUUUCUUUUAUUUGUCUCUUAAAUGUGCUUCAUUUGAGGUUGUGUUUAGUUAUUUAUUUUAGUAUCGUUAGAUGGUAUUUUCUUUGUGCUGUCUCUGUUGUUCUAUCCAUUUAAUUUAAAUAAAACAAGUUGUGUCCGGUGAGUACAUCUUAAUUUGGAUUGCUUUGAGACAAAAGUUUUUCCAUAACCAGAAGUUUACGUUCAGCGGAAAAGGAGGGUGAGAAAAGGAGUCACUAACUCAACAUUAUUUAGAAAAGAGUUGAGGGAAGCAGGAUUGCAUUCUCUUCUUGGAGGUUCUUCAUCCACAGCUUCCUCAAAUUCCGAACCCGAUACUUUGUUGCAAUCGUUUAUUUUUAACCCAGUUGUAGGUGACGAAGCUUUGAGCGAACAAUCUAGUUCUUCCAUUGAAGCUGCCAUAGUAAAAGAUAGCUCGAAAGAUGAUUUCGUGGAAAGGUAUGUAUGUGGAUAUUAUUGUUGGAUUAAGAUUUCCUUUGCUUUAGAAAUGGAUGCUAAGUUAUAGGUGUUUUUGUAGGGUAUAAUAACUUUUAUCAUGUCGUAAUAUUAUAUUUUAAAAUCUAUUGAACAUUUUGACAAGACACUGAAACAUGAUAAUAUAUUAUUUACACCAUCGGUAUAUAGAUUACUUAACUCUUCUAUAUAAAUGUAUAGUACUGGAUGCAUGUGCCCGCUAUUUACUCUGCAUAUACGUGAUUAUAUUUGUGGACACUUUGUUUGAAAUAACUAAAUGAUGAAAUGUUGUAUUCUUAGGAGUAAUGUCUUGUUUUCAUGUGACUUGAACUGUAAUUGAUCAUUUAUUUUUGAGCAUCUUAUCACACAGCUUCAAAGUAUUUUCUUUUAAUGAUAGUAUUUGGUAUUUAGUCCAAAACAUGUAGUCUGACAGUAGCUAUGGUUACAGAAAACCACAAGUACAGCUGUCAGAUGAGGAUCGAGUAGAGAAGACCCGAAGGUUUGAUUUCGUGCAAGGGCUGCUGAUGUCUACAAUUCUUGAUGAUGAGUUAUGACUGCAAUUGUAGCUGGUAUACUAUAAUAGGAGCAGGAGCUGAUCGCGAGGGAGGGAGUUCAUUCGAGUGUUACAGAGUGGCAGUAGCUAGAUCGGAUAAAUAUGUAAUGAAUGUAUUUAUAGUUAUGUUCAUAGAAUGCAGAGAUGAAGAAACCUUUAUCGAGUAAAUAUGUAAUGAAUGUAUCUAUUGUUAGGUCCAUCUAAUAUGCACCUAUUCAAAUAUGGGCCCUUAUUUCAGCUGCUACACUAGACUGACAUAAUUGGCUAACAUAAAAAAGACUCUGGUCCCUAAAAGCAGUGCAUGCACCUGGUUUGGUCCCUAAUAAAAUUUAUUCUAACCCAACUGUGGACUCAUUCUUAACACCAUAACCAUUUUUUUCCCCUUUAUAUCUCCUCAUUCAAGCAAUCCUAUGUUUGUCUGAAUAAAUGGCUGUAACGCUGCGUUCGAAGUGUCAAUCUAGAUUCACCUCCAUAUACUUUACCUAUCAACGAUUGUUAAUACCCAAACAAAGUUAAAGUUAACUGUUAAAUGUUAAUGAUGUAGAAUUUAUAUCGUAUUUUUUCAACAAAAAAAAUAAAAAUAAGAGCGAUUUAUUUAAAUAGUAAACUUUUAUCUUGUAAGUAUAGUUCAUAUAGUAACUGUCAGGACAUUUGAUAUGGUGUGACAUGGAUUCAAAGUUGUAAUUCUCCACCUCUUAACAUUUAGUUCAUGUUUGUCAACAAAAGAAAAAAAAAUUAGCACAUUUGAUUUCAUUAUUAGAUGGAGAAGAAAAAGAAAAUGACUUUAAUAAGAAAUGAUUUUCUCAUUUUAAUUUCUCUUAUGUUCCCUCUCAUUUUGUUACAUUUUCAUGGCCAAGAUUAAACUCAACCAUGUUGAUUUGCAUCAAAAAGUAAUCUUUAAACUAUCUCAUGUCUUUUAUUGCUUAAGGCAUUCCAGGUAUACCUGAAGAGAUUCUUUCAAAAAUCCUAAGACUACAAACCAAUAUGACUCCAUCUUCAAACUAUAAUAUAGAAUCAUUCCCUUGCAAUAUCUUAAUAUUUUAGACACAGAUUUUAACAACUUGUCACUUUCCAUUCCAAUCAAAGGAAAACCGGUUACUAUGUUUUUUUUUGGUUACCAUGUAUUAUAGGUCGCAAAAUAGAAAAAUCAGAUGUCCAAAUAAUAAUUUAAUAUCCCAUUAAUUUAGCCUAUCAAGAAUAAACCAGUAAUACUGGAAUUCUGUAGGAUAAUUACAUCUCACAAUAAGGAUGUGAAAACUGAGGAUUAUAAUGUACGUCAUCAUCUAUACAAAACUAGGCAUAAAGUGCCAUGAAAAAUAUACAUUUUCAAGAGACAAUUUGACCUUUUUCUACAGAAAAGCAAAAACUUGGUUAAAGGCCUUGCAUCCCACUGAAAACUGAAGAACAAACCCUUUUUAUCUGAUUUUAUGAUAACACUUAAAAGUGAUCCUUGCAAAGAAAAUAACGGUAUACAAGGUGAGACAUCAUAAGCUGGAACUUGGCUGCUUCAGCUUAUUUAUUAGAGAAAACUCUGCUCAUCUACAAUAUGAAUAGUUGGUACUAAAGAAUUUGUAAUCAGGAUGGUUAACUUGCAAUUGCCUAAUCCAGUUGUCAGCAGCUCGCCUCAGAGAAUUGGCUUUCUGAUCUUCAGAAUCCCCUUCAGGGUCCCAGACAGAAAUUUUGAACUUGGUAAAAGCAAGGCCAAAUAUUGGUAGAGAUAGCUUGGAUGAUAUGUCCUUAUCUUUUCUUGAACAAUUUAUCGUAGUUGGACCUGAUUCAAAUAACACGGUUAUCAUUGGCAUCCUUACAUAUACUUGUCUGUUAUUAUGGAUAGAAAAAAAAGGACAGCAAGACAUACUUUGUAAAGGUGUUGACAGGGAAUGGAAGGUUAGGAAACAUGCGCCCAAAUCCUGCAGUGUGGGACCGACAGGUAUUCUAUAUAUUGGAUACCUACAUAAUAUAAGAAGGAACAAAUAAUGUUAAAUUAGUUAUUAUUAUCAUGUGCCAGUAUUGUCAAAUAGCGAAUAUAAUGGCGCUAUAGCGCCGCGGAAUUCUACUGAACCACUACUAUUCCGCAAUACGCAAUUUAGUACAAAGUUUUGACAGAUAGUGGUAUAAUAGUGCUAUAGCACUGUAUCGUAGCGAAAUUUGAAAAAAACACAAUUUUCUGCAAUCCACGAUUGAAAACACUGUCAUGUGCACUAUCCAACAUUAACAACGUCCUAAUUAAAAGUAUAUGAUAAACAUACCAAGCUAAUGAAACCCAACUUGAAGAUGAAAGAUCACAGCUCCGGUAGGUCUUCAAAUCAGGAAAUUGCUUAGCAAGAUCAUGAAUCUAAGGCAAAAAUCAUAAAUCUUCGUCAUGAUUAGAAAGCAACAUAAUCUAAAAGUGGAACUGAACCAAAGGACAAUGUUCUUACCUUAUCCACUAAUGGUUCACGAUUAUAAGGUGAUUCAUGCUCAAAGUAUUCGUAUACAAGCUGACCAAGUGCACUGCAGCUUCCAUUCUCAUCACUUGAUGAACCUGUGAAAGGUUUACUUGCAAGUGAAAGUCUUUCCAGACCAAGGUUGCUUGCAUCUGAUAAGUUAGGAAGGUUUGAACUGCCAUUAACUACACUUUUAGAUCCUCUUUCAUGAUGAUAGCCACUGCUGCUGUCGCUGCUCGUGUCUCUAGCUGAUUCAGAGUCACUCUCCUUACUGGGUUUCCUGUAAUAACAUGGAAAAGUUAAUGAAUCUGUUGUGUAGAUGCACUAAAAGAGUUCAUGGAAAAGGCUUGGAUAUAGGUGUCUAUCAGUUAAAAUUGGAUAAAAACAGACGAGGGAAAUGAUAGAGUACUGCAUGGUACAUAUUACUAGCAUGUAUAUGAUUUGGUUUUCAUUAUAAAGUUAUGGGUUAAACAUGUAUCCUACUAAGUGUCAUUUAGAGUUUGCAAGCAAUAUCAAGUCUAUGAGCAAUAGGACAAACUAGAUUCAGAAAAACUUCUGGUGGCUGGUGACCAUCUUACUAACAGUUAGUGUGAUCUACAAGUUAUAUCAGCAAUCUGCAGUUCUGUAAACAUUAUAGAUGAUUUGUUGAAUUUAAAUUUUAUGUAUUGCAAGUGUAAACAAACUUCACACAUUCAUCCAGACAUGUUGUAAUACAUCAUUAGAUGAACUAGUUUUACAUGGAUAGUACGUCAAAACUAAACUCUAAUUAGUGUAUAGGCCAUCCGGUCUUGCAAGUUAGAGGAUCAAUUAUCCGAGUAUGUGUACAGCUGACGAUGGAUCAGUAACAGACAGCAUCAGAAGUAACAAUCACUCUUUUUUAUUCACAUGACUUGGGUAGGCAACAAUCUAUAAUCUAGUAAUAUAAUACUAAGUUUAAAUCAGAGGAAAAUCUUCUAGUCUGCAAUUCUGAAUCACAUUACUAAUAAAAUCAUCAAUGAAAUGGCCUAAAAGAUCUUACUUCUAAGCUACGUAGAACCGAAACUUCAGAUAAUGUUUGACAUGUGUUGAUAUCGGACACAUGUCGUGUCGGUGUCCAAGACACUGAUACAACACCGACAAAUGUGGUUAUAUUCAUUUACUUUCAAUUUCUCGAAUUAUUACCAGUGUCUCUGUUAGGGGCAGAGCUAGGAUCUAAUAGUAGUUUGGGCAAUGACCAAUCAACUUAACAUGAAUUGAAGACCUAUCACAUAAAUCAGUGUGCUGGUCUACAUGUGCUCUCGUUAUUGUGUUUUUAUGAUUUGUUGAAUAGACACAGGAAAGCAAAGCAGUUGAUCACCCCAUCUGUACUAAUUAUUGCAUAUGACAUUUACAACAACAACCAAGUCUUAUCCCACUAAGUGGAGUCGACUCAAUAGAUCAAAUUAUGCCAUAAUGUAUUAUCAUAAACCAUAUUCCGAUCCAACUCAUUAAUCUCUAUUAUCUUUCUUAAUAUAGUUUUUCUAGGUCUUCCUUUGCCUCUAGUGAUCUGACUAUACUCUACAUGGUCUACUCUCCUUACUACAGAAUCUGUAGGUCUUCUCUCUACAUGUGCACACCACCUAAGCGUAGUUUCCAUCAUGUUUGAAAAAUUAUUCAAAAAAUUUGGCAGGGGCUCCCCUGUAAGUCUAUUACCAUACACCUACAUCCGCCCCUAGUCUAUGUUAGUAUCAGUGUCGUAUCUCAUGUCCGUGUCUAAGUACUUCAUAGCUUCUGAGAUCCUUCUUCUAAAUGCUUUUAGUUUAUACUAGUAGCAAAGAACUACCUCAAAACCUAUUUAAGGCAAAAGAACAUACAACUUUCCAGCAAGUUGAAAAAGGCAAAAAAGAGAGAAAAAAAGUGAGGAAAAAACAAGCUUCAUAAACUAUUAUAGGGAAUAAUCUAAAUCAACGACAAAUCAUCAACAUAAAAAAUGUUUGGCCUGUCAUUGAAAAUAAACAAACAUUCAUCUGGUCCCAAAGCAACCAUGAAGUAUAUUUCGAAUUUUCGAAUGUUAACCCCAAAUGUAGCAAGAACAAUACAUCAAAAUGUUCAAAUGAAAGGAAUUAAAUCAAUCACUGGAAAAGCAAAUCAAGAACAGUUAUUUUCAUACUGAAGAAAGCGCUAACCUUAACCGCAGGGAAGGCUUUGAUGGAUCAAUAUAUAGCUGAAUAGCAGACAAAGAGACAUUGUAAUACUGUUUAACAGAUUCAUUCCCACUCAAUACCAAUGGAACACCAGCUCCAUAUACACUCCACUCCUUGAAAGAUUCCCACAAGUCCCCAAGCACAAAGUAUGGUUGCAGUUCUGGCUCCACUGUUUUCCAUCUUCUCUUACUUUUCUGUUUGUUCACACAUAAAUAAGCCAAACAAUUCUCUUUGAAAUUAAACCAAAAAAACCUAACACCACCUUAAAAUAGUCAAAAACAACCACAAUACACCAUUUCUUUGCAUUAUUAACACAAUUCAGUGGAUUGUUGCAAAGUAAGUUUCAUCCUAAUAACAUUAUUUAUUUGGUUCUAAAGAGCCUAGCGGUGAAACUCAAACACACAAAGUACUGAGAAGCGAGAAAUUGUAGGUUUGAACAUGUGCCCUAACAUAUCAAAUGUCUUUGCAACCUUUUACCAUCUGAGUUAUACUUACAAAAUAGUUUUAUCCUAAUAACAAAUUAAAUACUUGAACACAUUAAUUCAUAAACAACCACAUUACACAAUCUAUUCCCACUGUUAACUCAAUUGAAAGGAUAUUACCAAAGUAAGUAUAAUCCUAAUAAUCAAUCGAACACUUGAUCACAUUAAUUCAUAAACCUAACUUCUCUCAUUAAGUAGUUCGGUCGGUGAACUAAGAGACAUUGAACAUUGAAACAAUUUAAAAAUCAUGAAAACUGACAUAACCACUACCUUACUAACAUAACAUUUCUGUAUAAACUUUUUUUUCCAUAAACCGAACACAAAGUUUGAACCCUAAAAACCAACAUAACAAAUAACUUACUAUGCCUAUGUUUGGUUCCAUGUUUGAAGUAGAAUUGAUUCUAAUCUGAAUGUCUUUUGAAUCUAAAAGUGAUUUUUACACUUAAAUUUAUUGUUCAAAUCACUUUACAUUCAAUUCACUUAUAAGUAAAAUCAAUUUAACAAAAUCAAUUCGUUUCAAAAUCAAUUUUUACUAAAAACUAUCAAAAUCGCUAAUUUACUAUCAAAAUUCAUGAACAAAAACACAAUAGUUUGAAUCCUAAAAAUUAUCAAAAUCACUAAUUUACUAACAUUUGUCAAAACAAUUCAUAAACCCAACAUGAAUUUGAUUCAAAUUCCAAACAUUUAACAGAAAAUUAACAAAAAUCGAACUCAUAAAAUAAAUAAUUAUUAAAUAAAAUUGAAAAGCAUUGUUUUACUUUACCAAUGGAAAACUAUGAGCGGGAACAUGCGGCGUGGUAUGCUCAAGAAACCGACACAAAUUAGAAGCAGCAUCAACGGUUGUUUCAAUCGAAGUGGAAGAAACAGAGUUAUCAGAAGAGGAACAAGGUGUGUUAUUGUUUUCAAUUAACGUUAAUUCAUGUUCCUCUUGUUGUUCCUGUUCCUGUUGUUGUUGUUGUCUCUGUUUCCGUAGCGCCGGUGGGCAGUAGAAACGAUUCUCGACGUGAUGGCGGGUGUUACGACGGCCGACGAUGACGGCGCCACCAGAGACCGACAUUGUGUUUCCGGCGAUGAUGAAACGACGACGUUGAGAUGUAUGUAAAGGUAGGUCAAGAGUUUUGAUUGAGUCCAAACAAAACAAUAAACAAAGUUUUGUGACUCUGUGUGUGUAAGUGUUAGUUAAGUGAAAAUUGUGAACUGUGAAACACAUGGGUUUUAACUUUUUUUUUUUUUUUUUUAAUUUAUUUUAGUCAAAAAUAUAAAGUAUUUUAAUUUAUUUACACUCAAAAAUUAUAAACUUUUAAUUUAGUUGCAGUCAAAAAAUAAAAAUCAUUUUUUUUAAGGAAAAAAAAAAAACUUUCCCUUCUACGGUAGUUGAUUUAUUGAGAAGUAGUACAUACUUCUAGAAUGAUAUGUAUUCCGUCCCCACGCCUAAGCACUCUUUUUGACUAAGAAUUUGUCUUUAAUAUAAAGUUUUUUCAAAAAAUUACAUGCAUUUUUGUAAAAUAUAUCCCUAAUUAAUACUACUAAUUUAUUUUAAAAUAUGAAAAAUCAAAUUUAAUAUGCAUACAAAUAAAGGACAAUCUAGUAAUAUUAACACAUAAAAUAAACAUAUUAAUUGCACUAACAAUUUUUCUUAAAAAAUGUGAAAAAUGCAAAAUGUGUUUGCAUAUACAGGGACAAAGGAGUACUCUCUCCGUUUCUAGUUAUAAGUAAAAUUGACUUUUUAGAUUCAUUUAAUUAAUGUUGUAUGUAAUUCAUAUUAUGGACCACAUAUACUAUUAAUUUAAUAAAUCUAAAAAAAUCAAUUUCUUAUAAUUAGAAACUAGAAACUGAGGGAGUAAUAAGGAAGGAAAGGUAGGACACUAGAAGUGUCUAGAAAUAGGAUGGGUUACUCAAAGUAGGUCCAUAAGUUACUCAAAUAUUUUUCACUUAAUAUCGUACUAUUAUUAAACUUCAGAUAUAUAUUUUUCGUAUUUAUUUAUUCUUUUGUUGUGGGAGGGAGAGAAUUUUAUUAGUAAUAGUGUACUAAUAAUCAAAUUAUAAUUGUCUUGAAUGAGAUUCAAACUCUAUUUAUAAUAGUAUCAAACUCUAAUCAUUGAGCUGAUAUCUUUUUGACAAAAAGAAAAACACAAUGAAUCGAAAGAGCCUAAAAAUUACACAUAGUAUAUACGAGGUUUUAUUUGGGUGACAUAAAUGUAUUUUGGAUAAGAGAGAAUGAUGAAUGAAUGAUUAAAAUAAUUUAUUUAAAUGAGAGAGACUGAUUGAUUAAGAGAGAAAUAUGAACAAUGUCACCAAUAUCACCUAAAAACCAAUGUCAUCCAACUGCAAUCCAUAGAAUAUGAAACCUAGUUGGAAAAUAACCAAUUAGACAUCAUUCACUUUGUUUGUAUGUAUCCUUAAUGAUUAGGACCGAAUGACUUAACGCACGAAUUAAAAUUAAAUGCAAAAUAUAUUUUCUUUUUUAAGUUCAAAGGUUUCAUCAGGAUACAUAUAGUGUGGCAUUCUAGCAACACAUGAAUUCCAUCUUCAUAAUUAGCACUAGAAACAACACAAUUAGUUUGACACGAUACAUAUGUUGUGGGAAAGUAACCACGACAAACUCGCCACACCAAAUUCUUAAUCUUUGGUGGAACUUUGAGUUUCCAAAUUAAAUUGUAUCUCCCAAGUCUACGUAAAUGAGAGUUACCAACAAUAUUAUCCACACACGCGUUGUCGCACUGCAUACAAAAUAUUUACCAUUCUUCUCUGUCUUCCAUAAUAACUAAUACUUACCAUUUUUGUACCUUCUCUUUUAUUGACUAAAAUUUAUAUGAAGCCAUCAAAUUAUGAGGUUCAUAUAAAUUUGCAUGACACAUGCUAGUUAAUAAAAAAAAUUAUUAUAAAAUGUACAUGUUGCGAUACAAACAUACUAUUUUAAUUUUCUUAAUAUGCGUAAGUUUGUACAUGAUAAAAAAAUUCUUAUACUAAAUGUGUUUUUUUGUUGAUGAAAGCGAAAAGUGUGUUUUAAAUAGCAUUAUUCAUGGUAGUAAUUUUUACACGAGAGAGAUUAAAAUUUAAUUUGUCAUCAUUUAAAAGCAAAGAAAAUUACAUAACAAGUUUAUAUUGGUAAACUUAAAUAGGGGUAAUAGUCAUUUUAAUCCUGAAUGUGUAAUGAGUAGUCAGUAAAAUCCUUCAAUAUAUCAACAUUUUAAAACAGUCUCUAAUUAUGCCAUUCGUUAGUUAAAAAUAGUCCCAGUAAAAUAUUUUUUUGUACUGAGAUAUUAUUUUAGCUUCAAAACUAUUUUGACUAAUAAAAUGCACAAUCAAAAACUAUUUUAAAAUUUUGAUAUAUUCAAAGAUUAUUGUUACUAUUCAUUACAUAUUUAAAGAUUAAAAUGAUUAUUACCACUUCUAUACUACUGCAGUACUACUAAGAAAUUAGGUGAUAGGAUCCAUUCUCUAUAGCAAAUAGUACUGUCAGUAAAAAGUAGUAGAAGAGAAUUAAAGUUCACUCACCAGCUUGAUUGAAUUUUGAACCCCAUAAAGCUUGAAGAUUUGACUUGUCUCGAAGUUUCUAGAUAUUACGAGGCUUGUUUGAUUGAGUUUUGUUUACUUUUAAAAACUCUUUUGACCCUUAACUAUUUAAUUGGUAUCGCUUUGGUCCCUUAAUUAAAAAAAAAAAUUGUUUGAGGAUUUUAAGUUUUUUUUUAGUCUCGUUUUGGUCCAUUCUGUUAGAUUUCCGUUAGAAUUUUAAAAAAAAAUUAACUCCUGGACACAUGUCACCUUGUCAUUGGCUCUAAGUUUUUUUUUUUUUUUUUAUAAAAAAAAAAUCUCAGAGCCAAUAACAAGGUGACACGUGUCCACACUUAACGUUUUUUAUUAAAACUAACAGAAACCUAACAGAAGGGACCAAAACGAGACUAAAAAAAAACUUAAAAUCCUCAAACAAUCUUUUUUUUAGUUAAGGGACCAAAGCGAUACCAAUUAAAUAGUUAAAGGACCAAAAGAGCAUUUAAGCCUUUUUAAAAACUAUUUUCUAAAUCAAUUUUAUGAAACUGUUUUUCAAAUGAAAAAAAAAAAAAAAAACAGUUUGAUAAUUCUAUUUUUAAAAUUGUUUUGGGAAUGAAAAAAAUUGUUUGAUAAUUUGUUUUUAAAAUAUGUUUUGAUUAUUUAUUUCAUAAAAAGUAUAUUAAAUUUCUGGUUACACCCAGUUUUUUUAAAAAGUUUUUUAUAAUACCAAAAUUAUCCUUUUAUAUAAAUUUUCUUAAAAUCUUGAUUUCAUUCAUUGUCACUCUAAAAUUCCACUCUCUUUCACUCACCAACGAUUAAACAAUCCUGAUGUUCAAUUAAUCUCUAUGGAAGAUUAAAGAGUGAAUCCAAACAUCUUUCAUUCAUACUCGAUUGCAUAUAAAUAAGUGAAUUUUUUUUUCUUUUUCAAUAACGUUGGUUUCAAUUUUCUUCUUCUUGUUUAACUGCACUAUACGACAGUUUCAGUUUUACAUUGUUGACGUUAACUUAAAUUCAGUUUAAGUAGGUUCAUGUAAACUUAGUUUACAUAACCUAUUUAAACCGAGUUUAAGUAUGUACACUUAAACUCAGUUUACAUGACCUACUUAAACUAAGUUUACAUGUAUAUACUUAAAUUGAUAUUACGUAUAAUCAUUGAAGAAUGUUGAACUUUUAGAUGUACACUUAAACUUAGUUUACAUGACCUACUUAAACUGAGUUUACAUGACCUACUUAAACUGAGUUUAAGUAUGUAUACUUAAACUCCGUUUACAUGAGCGACUUAAACUAAGUUUACAUGAUCUACUUAAACUGAGUUUAAGUAUGUACACUUAAACUUAGUUUACAUGACCUACUUAAAAUAAGUUUACAUGUACAUACUUAAACUGAGAUUACGUAGAAUCAUUGAACAAGGUUGAACUUUUAAAUGUACACUUAAACUCUCCCUACUAAAACUGAGUUUAAGUAUGUACACGUAAACUCAGUUUACAUGACCUACUGAAACUAAGUUUACAUGACCUACUUAAACUGAAGAGGGAUUUUAGGGUGUAACCAAGAAAAAAGGAAAAUGCUUUUUGAAAAUUAAAUUUUAUGAAAGGGUAAUUUUGUCAUUUUAAGGUGCAAUCAGGAUUAAACAUGGUGUAAUUAGAAAAACUCUUAAAUUUAUACUUUAGUUUUUUAUAAGUAUAAUACAGUAUCAAAAGAGAUUAAUAAUUAUAAACCUUAAAAUUCCUCUAGAAAAAAGUAGGAAACUUAAAUGUGUCAUUUUUUACACAAACAUCCCGUUAGAGUUGUUCGCAAGUAUGCGUCGGAUAGAAAGGUCAUGACUCAGACAAAUCAACGAGGUCAAUUUAGAUUUCCUCAUAGUUUACACUAAAUCCGACCAAACCCGAAUUGAUUUGGUUCAAUAAUAGACUUAUGAUUUUAAACUGAUAAAUCUAUAAGUUGAUGGUAAAUAAUAAUUUUUCAAAAUUUACAUUGACUUAGUUUAGGAGUUUUGAGUGGUGUAUCUUGAGGUAAUUCAAUUUAGUUUAAAUGUUAAAGUUUUAAAUAAUGGACUUCAAUCAAAAUAUUAUGGGAGGGGUUUGUGUGAAUUUGACAAAAACGUUAAGGCAUCUAGUGAGGCGACGCUAAGAUGAAAUGUCAUCAUAGGGGAAACUCUUGUCAUGGUAGAGUUUAACAUAAAGAUUCAUGGGAGUAGUGAGUGGUUUGGAACCAAGUAAGCUCGUAUAUAUUACUAAGUUAAAGCAAUACUUGUGCAGGAAGAUGUAGAGUUACCAAGAUGUGAAUAUGCAACUUCUAAACCUAGGAAACAAUUAGUUAUUUAAUGAGCAAAUCUUGUCUUGGAAGUACCAACAAUGAUUACAUCAUCAUCAACAUAGAUCAAUAGGUCUUUAAUGGCUUUAUUUGGAUGCAUCUAAGAAAGUUAAAGGAAAGAGUAAGAAGGGAAAGAUUGUCUAAGGAAAGAAAAAGAGUAGAAAGUGAGAGGAUUGUUUUGGUUGUUUGGUACAAGGGAAAGUGGAAUAGAAAGUUGGAGGAAAGAAAGAUCUAUAUUUUCUAAUUGACAUAAUUGCCCUUAAACAAAAAUAAUAUGUUAGUAUAUAUAAACAUUGUAUGUACUUUAGUAGAAGAAUAAAAUAUGUCAUACAACAAUCGAAUCAUGUAUGCCUAGAGACUAACAAAAAGUUAAAUGGUGAAUUACUUAAAAAAAGCUAGGUGUGAAUUGAAAAAAUAAUAAAGAGACACCAGCACGACGACUUGCAAAAACGCAAAACCCACCAGAGCCACGACGACUUGCAACAAAGUGAACGCACGACUAACCGAAUGGAUUCCAAACCCAUCAACCACCUUGGAUUUGCAUCGCGUCCAGCAGUAAGAUAAACUCCGGUGAAGAUAAACGAGUCGCGGUGGUGCCGCCGACUGAAACCCCAUUUGGGGGUUGGUGAUGGAAGCCAUCCAAGACAAGCAACCACCACCACUUUUAGAUCUACAUCUUGAUGACGAAAUUUUGGAUUUGGGAGAAGAAGAGAUUGGUGUUUUUGACUUUAGAACUGAUUACAUAAUUUGAAACUUUUAACUUUAAAAGUGAUUUUUACAUUCAAAUUUAUUGUUCAACCCAUUUAUGUAAAUGUAUUUAUAUAAAUCACAUCACAUUCAACUCAUUUUGAAUUAAAAUUAUUUUUACAAAAUCAAUUUAUUCAAAAUCAAAUUUUGUUACCGUAAAUCAAAUAUACACAUGUUUCGAUAAGCUUCUGGUAUUAGAAAAUUUCGGUGUUCGAAUUGCAGUGACUCAUUGUGAUUUUGACAUCUAUGUUGUUUCUAACUAAAUAAAUAGUUAGUAUUUGGUUCAACAUUUUUUUCUUCUUCUUCUCUUUCUUCUUUCUAGAAUGGCGUCUUAAGACUGCAAUAUUUAUAGAUAUUUAUUGAGAGAGACUGCAAUAUUUCCUCUUUUUUGGAUAAUAUGAAGCAGAAAGAGUACACAUUUGUUGAAUAUAAUGCCGUAUAAUACGUGGUUCUUUGAAUGCUUCCAACUCAAGUUUUGACCUGUUCACAAAAUUCUUCAGACUCACCUUAAACUAAACCAGCUUGACAGUUUGAUAUUAUUUUUUUAAAGAGCAAAAAACGUCAUCGAAUUAAAGAAUAUUAAUCAAUUAAUUAAUUAAUUUUUUUGGUCUUGAUCAAUUAAUUAAUUAUACCAGUGGUAAACAUAAAAAACAGAUCUACAGUCACGCGGCAACAAAUCCAAAAAAGUAUGUCAAUGUCAUUAUUUGGUAAAUAUUUUAUUUAUCAACUUCAACUUUCAAGUUGCCCUUAAGAAACUUUCAAGUUUAAACUAAGACCUCAAAAAAAAAAAGUUAAUAAACUAAGACCUCUAAAAACAAAGGUAAUAAACUAAUAAGAAUAUUCUCUCAACAAAAAAUGAAACUAAGAAGAAUAUAUUUUGCUUAUUUACCAGAAAAAAAUAUUUUGAUUAGUCAAAAGAAGAAGAAUAUUGUGAAUUAAUUUGACACUGACGAUUUUUAGAGCUGUAGAUAUUUACGUAUUUAAUUGUUGAUGUCCAUUCAAGUGAUUUAACUUAAGUUGAGGUUUAUUCUUUUGUUACUAAGUUGGAGGUGGAGAAGGAGACUAUUUGCAUAGGAGGAGAAACGACCAGUAAAGUAGAGUGUGUUAUGUUGCUUGAUAAUAUUUUUUUUUUUGUAGGAUAAUGUAUUAGAUAAAUGGAUUUAGAAACAUUACCCUAUCAAAGGGUACACGGUAAAGGAGGUCAUCAUAACCCUAUGCCUAAUGAUCCACUUACUAUAGAUUUGCAUUCAAGCUUAAUUAGGAACAAAGCAGAACCUCUCAAGGUGUAAUUUUUCACAUGACGAACAAAGCAAUUCCUUUAUGAUAUAAAAUGUCAAUAUUGUUAUUUCUUUUUAAUCAAAGCAUAAUAAUAAAAAAAAAAACUUAUAAAAAAACUCAUCAAAUUCAUAAACAAACCUAAAUCUUCAUCAUAUAAAGAUAAAAACCCAAAGUUUAUUAAAAUUUUGCUAUAAAAAGGAUAACAAUUUUGACAUUUUAUAACGUAAAUGAUUAAAUCAGAAAAAGAAAAAGAUAACGAAGGAAAGUGUUACCUGAUUAUAAAAUAAAUUAUUAAAUUGAAAAAAAAAGUUAAAUAACUAAAAUGUUAUCUAUAAUUAAGUUAAUAGACGAAAUAUGUAAUUUUGCUAAUUAAUAUUGCGUAAGUUUUUAUUUAUUUUAUAUACGUUGUUUUGGAUUGAAAUUUGAGUGGUCUUAAAGGAGAGAAAAACAAAAGAGAAAAGAAAAAUUAAUAGUAGAUACAAUAAUUUUGUUAGUCCAAAUAAUAUAGUUUUCUUUAAAAAUAAUAUCAUUCAAAUUUAUGUCACGUCACAAUGAGAAAAAAAAUGGCCUAACGACCUUGUAUUACACAUCAUCAUCAUCAUCCAAAGUCUAAACAAUACAUCUUCAGUUCCUAUAAAUACAAGAGUGAACUCCACUAAUAAAUCACACAGGCAAACAAUUAACUUAUUAAUAGUUUGUUAUUUCAUACAUUAAUUAGAAAUUUAUAAUUCAUUAUCAUCAUGGGUGUCUUCAACUUUGAGGAUGAAACCACAUCUAUUGUAGCUCCUGCUAGACUUUACAAAGCUCUAGUUACAGAUUCUGAUAACCUUAUCCCAAAGGUUAUUGAUGCCAUCCAAAGUAUUGAAAUUGUUGAAGGAAACGGUGGCGCCGGAACCAUCAAAAAACUUACUUUCGUUGAAGGUUAGUAUAUAUGUGUGAAAAAUUGUAGUGGCAAGAAACUUUUUUUAACCCUAUGUAAAGAAAAUGUUUAAAAACUAAAUUGGUUUGAGAACAUGUUUUCUAUUUUUAAUUACAAAAUUAAGUGUUAGAAGAAGAACAGCUACGCCGACAUGGUCGACAAUUUAACAAAAGUUCCAUAUCACAAUAAAUAUCUACUUAGCAUAUGUUUGAAACUACGAUGAGAUUACUCUCAACACACGACCACCAAAAACUUAUAUCCUUAGCUUCAGGUUUUUUACGGUAAAACAAAAUGGGAAACAAGUAUUAAGAAUUAACCCUUCAAAGAAAGUAUUAAGAAUUAUGAUACAUAACAUAAAUAGUGGAAGUCAACAAAGCAUUUUUGAUGACAUUAUUACUAGUAUUAAUUUUAUUUUUUUUUGAGGGGAAAGUAUUAUUAUAUUAUAUUAUUAUAUGCGUUUAAUGGAGAUCUAAUGUCGGUGUAAAAUUAUUUUACCGUCGGUAAGACCAAAAAUAAAUAAAUUAUUUUACCAUGACAACUAUGACAAUUCACCAUACUACCAAAUAAGCCCAUUUAAAAACAGUUUUUCAAUACUUGACCAGAAAAACUAGUAUUUUUUAAAAGUAACAUCAAAUAUUUGACUUGUUGAUUGUCAAGUGUAUAUCCUCUUUUCUUUUAGUGUUAUGUUAACUUGUAUCCUAAGAGUAUAAGAUAAGAAACUAAAUGUAGAGAUUUAACUUUGAAAUUUGUACAUCAUAAUUUUUUUUAAUGACACAUUGUGCAACAUAAUCUUAAAAUCUUUUUUUUUCUAAAGGAUAAUCUUAAAAUCUUAAAAACUUAUAUUUUCUUUUAUUAUAUAUAUAUUGGAUUAUUUGUUACUGUGUUUUUUAUAUAAUUUUUUUUUUAUGAGAAACAGUAAUUUUUUAAAAUUAUUUUUAAUAGCUUCUUAUACUAAUUUUUAAUAGGCUUAAUUGCACUUUUGGACCGCUAUCUUUNNNNNNNNNNNNNNNNNNNNNNNNNNNNNNNNNNNNNNNNNNNNNNNNNNNNNNNNNNNNNNNNNNNNNNNNNNNNNNNNNNNNNNNNNNNNNNNNNNNNGAUGCCACGUCAGCGUUGACCGAGUCAACAAUGAAUUUGGGGUCCAAAACUGCCAAAGAAUCAAAACAUAAGGGGCUGUUUUGUAUUUAAAUUAGUUAGGGGUCCAUAACCGCAACUUUUGAAAAGAUAGGGGUAUAAAAGUGCAAUUAAGCCUUUUUAAUAACCUAAUUGAACUAAGUGAAUGUCCAUCAUGUUAGUAAUUUGUGAAACGAAUCAAUUAUUAUGAGCAGGUGGUGAAACAAAGUAUGAUUUGCACAAAGUGGACUUAGUAGAUGAUGUUAACUUUGCUUACAACUACAGCAUAGUUGGUGGUGGUGGACUUCCAGACACAGUGGAGAAGAUCUCCUUUGAGUCUAAAUUGUCUGCAGGGCCAGAUGGAGGAUCCAUUGCAAAGCUUACUGUGAAAUACUUCACCAAAGGUGAUGCUGCACCUAGUGAAGAGGAAAUCAAGGGUGGCAAAGCUAGGGGUGAUGGUCUUUUCAAGGCUCUUGAAGGUUACGUUUUGGCAAAUCCUGAUUACUAAAGCAUAUAGCUAAUUGCUUGCUUGCUUUAUACAUGGUGUGUUGUGAUGCAUUUUAUUAUAUCAUGUGGGCUUGAUUUGGUUGCCAAAUGUAAUUUUCUAUUUUCCGUUUGCUGAAGUUUGAGAUUGUAAGUCAUAUGUGUACCUCCCUUCAAGAAAUUAUAAUAAUACUUCAUCUAUUCAUUUUUACUUUUUUUUUAAAAAAAUAAAAAUUGUAUGCAACUAUUUAUAUGUGGCUUUCGAAUUUUAAGGUUAUUGUUAGAACGAAAACUAAUAACUGAAGAUUAAAUAAGAGAACGAAAGAAAAAACAAUGAACAUACAAUAUUUUUUAACACAGUUCAAUCAAUUGUACCUACCUAUGUGACUAUAGAUCAACUAUUGUUCUAUUUCUAUUACUGUGACAAGAAUUAGGGUUUCAUAUUACAAGCUGUAUAUAUGAAUUAUAUGUUAAGAGUCCCACAUCGGUUAGGAGUUGGCCUGACAAUUUAUUUAUAAGUGGGGGGCAAUCCUCACCUCACAAACUGAUUUUGUGGGGUUGUGUUAGGCCUAACCACGAUUUCUAAUUCUAUACUUCAUCAGUUAUACUCAUCAAUCUUUUAGACUCUAAGAUAUCUUGGUUAACCAAAAAAUAAUUGAACAUAAGACAACCCAUUCUCCAUAAAACAAUUCUCACACAAUCUUUCCAUAUCAACAUACACCGUGGCUUCUUAAAAAUAAUAAACCCUAUGAGAAAAGUAAAAAAACGAGGCAAUCUUGAGAACAUAGUGGCCAAAUAUUAGAGGACAAUUGGUAUGAAAUGAAUAAAAAAGGGAAAAAUCUUACAAAUGAAUGAAGGAGUACAAGAGUGUUUAUAUAAUGGAAGCAUGAAAAUAACUAUAACUAGAUCAAAAGAGAAAAGAGUAAAUGUCCUAAAAUGUCCUCUAUCUCUCUUGGUAUGAUUCUUUCUCUUAUCUUCUUCAUUGUGCAAUAUCCUCCCACAAGUUGGAGGUUGGUAGAUAUCCAACAUCCCCAACUUGGAUAGAAGAAGAUUGAAAGGCUGCAGAAGUAGUGACUUGGUGAAGAAGUCUGCAACUUGAUCUUUAGAGGAAAUAGGUAGUAGCUUGAAUAAUCCAGCUUACAUUUUUUCUCUAAUAAUAUGGCAGUCAAUCUCAAGGUGUUUGGUAAUUUGUUCAUGAAAGACUAGAUUAACAGCGAUGUAGAUAGCACUUUGAUUGUCACAGUAAUGAACAUGUGCUUUGGUACAUUGAAUCUCUGAUAAGGUAAAGCAACCAUUGCAAUUAACAACUAGUAGAUGCAAGUGCUCGUUAUUCAGCUUCUAAUGUGAUCUAGAGACUGUAAGUUGUUUCUUUGUUCUCCAAGAAACAAGAGAUUUGCCAAGAAAGAAUCAUUGACCAUAGAUUUACCACUUUCUUACAUGGAAUAAUUUGGUGAAUUUGCCAAAUUUGACAUCACAUCAUCGCGAUAUCUAAAAUUGUAUCGUGCAAUGAAGCGUGUCUUUGGUUUCAUGGUACAUAAAUACAAAAGUGAUUUUAUACACAUAAAAUUAAUUCUAAUAUGUGAUGUCUACCGAAUAUGUUUCUUUAGAAUUGAUUGUAUAAUUUGAAACUUUUAACUCUAAACUACAUUAAAGUUUACUGUUCAACCCAUCUACUAUUAAUUUAAACAUAAAUCAUAUCACAAUCAUCUCAUUUUUAACUAAAAUUAUUUUAACAAAAUCCGGUUGACAAAAUUCUAAUGAUAUCAUGAUCUUACUGAAGAGUCAAAAUUAAGCUUUUGAUCAAUUGCAGUAAUUCAUCGUAAUUUUGACAUAUAUGCUGUUUAUAACUAAAAAAAAAUUAUUGGUAAUGUUAACUUGUGUUCUAAGGGCACAUGUUAAGGAACUCAAAAAUAACAAUUUUACAUUGAAAAACAUAAUAUUUUAACUUUUAAGAAGUUAAAUGCACAACUUUUUGAUACGUACUUCUAUAAUUAGUUCUUUAACAUGUGCCCUUAAGGACAAAAAUUAGCAUUUGUCAUAAAUUAUUUGUAUUAAAUUCAACGUUUUUUCUUCUUCUUCUCUUUCUUCUUUCUAGAAUGGCGCCUUGAAUUGUUCAAAAAAAAAAGAAUGGCGCCUUGAGACUGCAAUAUUUAUAUAGACCGCAAUAUUUUCUCCAAGUUGAAUACUAUGCAAUACUAUAAGACUAGGACUCCCGAAUUUCCUCUUCUUUUUUGGAUAAUAUGAAGCAGAAAGAGUACACAUUUGUUGAAUAUAAUGCCGUAUAAUACGUGGUUCUUUGAAUGCUUCCAACUCAAUUUUUGACCUGUACACAAAAUUCUUCAGACUCACCUUAAAAUAAACCAUCUUGACAGUUUGUUAUUAUUUUUUUAAAGAGCAAAAUACGUCAUCGAAUUAAAGAAUAUUAAUCAAUUAAGUAAUUAAUUUUUUUGGUCUUGAUCAAUUAAUUAAUUAUACCAGCGGUAAACAUAAAAAGACGGAUCUACAGUCACGCGGCAACAAAUCCAAAAAAGUAUGUCAAUGUCAUAUUAUUUGGUAAAUAUUUUAUUUAUCAAUUUCAACUUUCAAGUUAAUAAACUAAGACCUCUCAAAAAAGGUAAUAAACUAAUAAGAAUAUUCUCUCAACAAAAAAUAAAACUAAGAAGAAUAUAUUUUGCUUAUUUACCGAAAAAAUAUUUUGCUUAGUCUAAAGAAGAAGAAUAUACUUUGCUUCAGCAAAAAAUGUAUUUUGUAUGUAUUGUAGUUGAGGUUUAUCAUAAAUUCAUAAUGCUAUUGUAGUUGAUAUGAGACGAAUAGUCCUUUAUCUUUUUUGUCCUUUAUACCAUAAAAGAUUAAAUCGAAAAAAGAAAAAGAUAAAAGACGAAAAUGUUACUUAAUUAUAACAUAAAUUAUUAAAUCAAGAAGAAAUGAUAAAUGACGAAAAUGUUAUCUCAAAUUAAGUCAAGGCACGAAAAAUGUAAUUUUGUCAAUUAUAUAUAUUGCUUAAGUUUUUAUUUAUUUUAGGUCAAAUACCUCUCGGAGUCCUUUAAGUUUCACGUUUGUAACGGAUAAGUUUUUUAAUUUUUUAAAGUUUCAUAUUGGUCCUUUAAGUUAUUGAAAAAUUAUGUCGUUAACCUUUCAGUCAACCUCCGUUACAAAAACGUUGAGAUGUCCAUUAUGAUUGACAUGAUAUAAGGCGCCGCGUUUUUUCCAUUCCAUCGUGUUCCAAUUUGAAGAAUCUAGGCAAUUUGAAGCCAUGCUUUUCUUAAAAAAGCUUCAAAUUGGUUGUUAAUGAGGUUAGGGUUUUCAAUUUGGGGAAGAAUGGGUGAAGAUUGAAGAAGAGUGAUGAGGAAUGUGAUGGGGUAGUAUUGGAACACAUUGGAUAGGCCAGAACAUGGCGUUUUAUGCCACAUCACAUAUUUAACGGACAAUUAAACUUUAUUGUAACGGAGGUUGACUGAAAGGGUAACGACGUAAGCUUUUAAUAAUUUAAAGAACCAAUCUAAAACUUUAAAAAUUUAAAGGACUGAUCCGGUACAAACGUAAAACUUAUCUCAGGAGAUAUUUGACCUUUAUUUUAUAUAUGUUGUUUUGCAUUGAAAUUUGAGUGGUCUUGGAGGAGAGAAAAACAAAAAAGAAAAAUAAAUAGUAGAUGCAAUCAAUAAUUUUGUUAGUCCAAAUAAUAGUUUUCUUUAAAAAUAAUAUCGUCCAAACUCAUACAAUUAAAAAUAGUAUUCAAAUUUUAUGUCACGUCACAAUGAGAAAAAAUAGCCCAACGACCUUGUUUUACACAUCAUCAUCAUCAUCUAAUGGCCUAUCUAAAGUCUAAACUAUACAUCUUCUUUUCCUAUAAAUACAAGAGUGAACUCCACUAAUAAAUCACACAGGCAAACAAUUAACUUCUUAAUAGUUUGUUAUUUCAUACAUUAAUUAGAAAUUUAUAAUUCAUUAUCAUCAUGGGUGUCUUCAACUUUGAGGAUGAAACCACAUCUAUUGUAGCUCCUGCUAGACUUUACAAAGCUUUAGUUACAGAUUCUGAUAACUUUAUCCCGAAUGUUAUUGAUGCCAUCCAAAGUAUUGAAAUUGUUGAAGGAAACGGUGGCGCCGGAACCAUCAAGAAACUUACUUUCGUUGAAGGUUUUUAUUUUUAUUUUUUUAUUAUAAGUAAUCUAAUGGUUAGAAAUCUUAAUUCUUAAUACUUGUUUUUCAUAUUGUUUUACGAUAAAAAACCUGAAAAUACACAUAUAUGUUUUUGGUAGAUUACUCUCAACACACACGUAUAUCAAAACUUAUAUUUGCAGUUUCAACAGUAAAACAAUAUCGGAAACAAGUAUUAAGAAUAAGGCUUAAUUGCAGGUCUGAUCUCUUAUGUUUACUUUAGUUUUUAAGUUGAUCCUUUAUGUUUUAAAAGUUUUAAGUUGGUCUCUUACGUUUUAAAAGUUUUAAGUUGGUCCAAAACGUUACUCACGUUGGAAUAAGUUAGUCCCUCCAGUCACUUAACGUUUAAAGAUCCAUGUUGACAAUAUGGGUGAUGAAACUUAACUUAUUUAGAAAAUCAAUUUUAAAACAUUUUUUAUUUUUUUUUGUUUUAUUAAACUCAAUAUCAUGUCGCGGAAGGACUAACUUUAUUCCAAUGUGAGUAACAUUUGGACCAACUUGAAACUUUUAAAGCGUAAGGGACCAACUUAAAUCUUUUAAAACAUAAGAGAGUAACUUGAAAACUAAAAUAAAUAUAAGUGAUCAAACAUGCAAUUAUAAGCCUAAAAAUUAAGAUAUAUAACAUAAAUAGCGGAAGUCAACAAAACACAUGAGAAUAUUCUUUUGAUGACAUCAUUACUAGUAUUUUUUUUAAAGAAAUCAUUACCGGUAUAUUAUUACAUCAUAGAUCUUAUCUUCGUGAGUUUAGCUCAGUUGAUAGAGACAAUGUAUAAUAUAUGCAAAGACCGAAGUUCAAACAUCAGUCACCAUAAAAAAAAAAUUAUGGAUCUUGCUAACAAGUGCCCUAAAAGCAUUGUUUAAAGAACCCACAAAAAUAAAUUUUGUCUUGAAAAUAUAAGGCAAACACAUGUAAAAAUCAUAACUAUACAAUUUUCAAUAUAAAAAUUACUAUUUUUGAAUGCUUAAAUAGUGCCCUAAGAACACUUAUUAACAUUUUUCUGAUAUUAUAUGUGCUUAAUAGAGAUCUAAUGUCGGUGUCUCAUAAGUCAUAGCUCAACUGGCAAAAAUACCGAAAUUGUUAUGCCGGACGUCAUGACCGGGGUUCGAACCUCAAUACCUCCACUUUGUGUGUGUGAGUUUAUGGUGGCUUUGCCAUCUCUUCUAUAUACCAAAAAAAAGAGAUCUAAUGUCAGUGUAAAAUUAUUUUACCGUGACAAUUAUGACAAUUCACCAUACUACCAAAUUAGCCUAUUUAGUAACCCUUUUUCAAUACUUGAUAGAAAAACUCUUUUUUGAAAGUAACCACCAUAUGUUACUCUUGUGGAUUGGAUUAUUUGUUACUAUGUUUUUUAUAUAAUUAUUUUUUUGUGAGAAACAUAAUUUUUUUUUAAAUUAUUUCGGCUUAAAUACAAUUUUGAUGCCCCUAUUUUUAAAAUUGUUAAUUUUUGAUACCUUUAUUUUUAAAAUCUGUUUUUUAUUCAAUUAUUUAAAAGGCUUAAUAGCAGUUUUAGCCCUUAAAUAUUACGAAGUUAAGAUUUUGUCCCCUAACAAAAUAAAAUACAAUACAUCCCCGUAAGUACUGCCCUUUUUGUAGUUUUGGCCGCUCAGACCAAUUUUGACCAAGUCAUUACUUAUGUAGACGCAACGUGUGUAUUUUUUUUAAUUAUUAAAAAAUAAUUAAAAUAAUAAUUUUUUUAUAAAAAAAAUUAAAAAAUUGAAAAUUAUACACGUGACGUCCACACAGCAUUUACUUGGUCAAAAUUGGCCUGAGGGGCCAAAACUGCAAAAUGGCAAUACUUAGGGGGAUGGAUUGUAUUUUAUUUUGUUAAGGGGCCAAAAUCGCCUAAUACUUACGGGGCCAAAACUGGUAUUAAGCCUAUUUAAAAAGUCAACAAAAUAUUUUGGUUUCAUUCCUCUCUGAAUGAUGUGGCAUGUCCAUUAAUGACAUGAUGUUUGUGAUUGAACUAAGUGAUUUCCAUGAUGUUUAUGAUUGUGAAACGAAUCAAUUAUGCGCAGGUGGUGAAACAAAGUAUGAUUUGCACAAAGUGGACUUAGUAGAUGAUGUUAACUUUGCUUACAACUACAGCAUAGUUGGUGGUGGUGGACUUCCAGACACAGUGGAGAAGAUCUCCUUUGAGUCUAAAUUGUCUGCAGGGCCAGAUGGAGGAUCCAUUGCAAAGCUUACUGUGAAAUACUUCACCAAAGGUGAUGCUGCACCUAGUGAAGAGGAAAUCAAGGGUGGAAAAGCUAGGGGUGAUGGUCUUUUCAAGGCUCUUGAAGGUUACGUUUUGGCAAAUCCUGAUUACUAAAGCAUAUAGCUAAUUGCUUGCUUGCUUUAUACACGGUGUGUUGUGAUGCAUUUUAUUAUAUCAUGUGGGCUUGAUUUGGUUGACAAAUGUAAUUUUCUAUUUUCUUUUGCUGAAGUUUGAGAUUGUAAGUCAUAUAUGUGUACCUCCUUUCAAUAAAUUAUAAUAAUACUUCAUCUAUUCAUUUUUACUUUUUUUUAAAAAAAUGUAUGUAACUAUUUAUUUGUUGUUUUUGUUAUGAAUAAUAUUAAUAAUAUAACGUGGAUUUCCAUUGUCCAUAAGCUUUCUAUAACUCCUAUGUUUUAGUCAUAUGACUCUUCAUACACUUAUACAAAAGUUCUCAUCUUUUCUAUUUUUGAUCUUAUCAUUUAGUUUAUUUUCUAUGAAAAGUUGAUAAUAUGAGGAAAUGAGUCUCACAUUUGGGGAUAUAUGUGAAUCAAUACACAUAAUGAUCAUGUGGACCUGAUAUAUAUUUUAUAACUUCAAUAGAUGCAUAACUAAAUGGUCACAUGUAUGUUUAGUCUCUACUCAAAACUAAAACUCUAUGAGAUUAUUUGAUCAACUAAUUUGAUUAAGAUCUCACUCGCUUUGUUUAAUAAGUGUUGAAUGUACAUGAGAAUUGGUAUUGAACAUAUAGUUGCAUAUGUUCAUGUAUACAUACGGGCUUGAAUAUCCAUUCAUUAGUUGUCUAAUGUUAAUUGUAUGAUCAAUAGCACUUUUGAGAUCAUAUCUAAUGUUACUUGAGAAUAUGAAAUCUUUCAUUUUGAGACAUCACUUCACAUCCAGCCAACAAGUUAUCAUAUGUAAGUCAUCCCCUAGUUCACAAUGAAUUUGAUUUUUGGUCUAUAAACAUAAUAUUUCCCAUAUAAGCAUUUUUGGAUGUGUUUGAUAUGUUUCAAUUGCUCCAAUAUAAUGCACUUAAAUGGGUCGUAUGAGAAUAUUGAGAAGCUAUUAUUGAUAUGAAUCUCAUCUAUUAUAAAAUAUCUUGAAUACAUAAUUAGAGAUUAAUUAUAGCUUAAUAUAUUGAUUAUCAAUUGAUAAAUUAGUUUUCUCAAUAUUAGGGGGAGAAAAUAAACAACUGAAUAUAUGAACCAUAAGUUCAAAUGGAUAUAAGAAGUUGAGUAUAUGAACCAGAAGUUCAAAUGAAUAAGAAUUGAAUAUAUGAACCUGAUGUUCGAAUGAAUAUAAACAGCUGAAUAUAUGAUCUAGAAGUUCAAAUGAAUUGAUUGAAAUAAAAAAGUAUGAUUAUCUCACCUUGAUCCUCAUAUAAAUCAGUGUAAACCAGAAGUUUAAAAUACGAUUUAUUUGCAAAGUUAAACAAACAAAAUAUCAACUACUAAUAAUCCAAUCAAAAUAGAUCAUGUCUCAUUUGAACAAUCUAACUUAAUGAAAAGAUGCAUUUUUAUGCAAAAUUAAACUAGCUUUGCAAAACGAAUGGUUUUUGGUGCAGUAGUCCAUGUAUGGAAGAUGUGAAAAUAAAAUGAGAAUCAUGAAUUAUUUAAUUAUAAAGUUGGGCACAUUGUUCAAGAGUAUUGAUGAAAACCAACUAUUAAUUUUGAAGAGAUCUAUUAACUAUAAAGUGAAUUCAAGUACAUUAUCAACUUGAUUAAGUCUAGCAUCACUUGAAAGCAUCAAUCUAUAUAUGAAGUACAUGUUACAAUAUAUUUAUAUGACUCACUUGGUAUUUUUAUAUAAAAUUUCCCGAAGGAAUUAAUUUUAUUGCGACAUACAAUUCAUAUUCUCAAGGAGAUUACUUAAUCAAAUCGAAAUAUAGAAAUGUGUUGAGUAAUAUUCUUAAUGAAUAUUUUCUAAAAAAGUGAUAUAAAAAUGAUACCAUUUGUACAUUUCUAAAUAAACCUGAGAACUCGUAGAGAAUUUUUGAAAGUUGAUUUAUUAAAGAAAAAAUAUUGAGAUGAAAUAUGUAGAAAGGGUCAAUAUUUAUUUGAGAUUACAAGUUGAGUAUUUGAAGAGUAACACUUUUGUUAAUCAAGAAGCUUAUACAACAAAGUGCUAAAAUCUUUAUAUAUGGACAAAUCUGUAGAUGUAACACUUAAAUCUCUUUGAAGAGUAACACUCAAAUGGUUGAAAAGUCACUGGAUGUAGACAAAGAUAUAGUUUGAGAAUUCGAGUAAAUUAUGAAGAACUAGUUGGUUCUAAAAUACCAUAUUGUAUUUUAAUUAAAGGACAAUAAUGUACCUUGAUAAUUAUUCAUGUUAUCAUAUAUUAUUUUUAUUUUAGAUAUGCAUGUUAUUUGUUUGAUCCUCAAUAUUAAUGUGCUUGAUUGAGGUUUAUGAUUGAACACAUAGAAGAAAAUUUGUGGUUUGUCUUUCAGAAAAAUGAGCAACAAUAAUUUAUGAAUAUAAUACCAUGUGCAUUAAUUGUUCAGUUGAAAGGAUAUAUUCUUCAGAAGAACGAUGAUAUACAUAAUCAACAAAUUUUUUCGUGUGAUAAUCUUGUAGACGUUUUCAUAAAGUCACUCCCAAGCAUGAAUUUUGAACAACUAAUACAAAAAAUUGAUCUUCAUCAUCUUGGAGAUGAUUGUUUGGAUGAAGGAGAGAUAUAAAUAUAUUCUGCACUCUAUUUUUCUUCACCAUGGUUUUGUUCCACUGAGGUUUCCUGGUAAUAUUUUUAAUGAGACAAAUAUAUUAGAUAUUGUACUCUUUUUCCUUCAUUAUGAUUUUUUUUUUCUGUCCUUUUCUUAGUAAGGUUUUAAUGAUGCAUAUCCUUCAUGAACAUCUAAAAGGGAGUAUUAUGAAUAAUAUUAUUAAUAUAAUAUGGAUGUCCAUUAUCCAUAAGCUUUCUAUAUUCCUUAACUCCUAUGAGUAAUGACUUUACUCAUUACAUUUGGCAUUUAGUCCUAUGAGUCUUUCAUACACUUGUAACUCAGGACAUUUAUAAGAUUUAUAUUCAAUGUAAAGAAUACACUUAAAAAGAGAAUAAUACAAAAACUUUCAUCUUCUCUAUGUGCUUUGAUCAUCUUCUCUAUUUUUUUUUUUUUCAUCUUGUCAUUUAGUUUAUUUCAUAACAGUUUUGAAAUUUGAAGGUUAUACUCAUCAAAUUUUUAGACUGAGAUAUCAUGGCUUACCAAAAAAUAAUUGAACAUAACACAACCCAUUCUCCAUAAAACAAUUCUCGCACAAUCUUUCCAUUCCAACAAACCCUAUGGCUUUUUUUCAAAAAAAAAAAACCCUAUGGAAAAAGUAAAAAAAAAAAAAACGAGGCAAUCUUGAGAACAUAAUGGGUCUCCCAACUUUUACUUCUAAUGUCUCAGAUGAAUGACUACCAGUAACACACGAUUAAGAUCACAUAAAUUAAUCACUGAUUAAUAUUUUAAGAGAAGUUUAUUGCCUAGAUCUUGAUCGUACCCGUCGUGGGUGUUGUUAAGAGUUAAUUUCAAUCUCCAUGAAAAUGUAAACUAAGCUUGCAAUGUGCAGAGGCUUGAAGAAGACAAUGAAAAAGAGAGAAAGAAAAUUUUAUUAUUCAACAAUCUAAGUAUUACAAUGAGGUGAUAUAGCUUUAUAUAAAGUGUAAUUAACUACUAUAACCUAUAGCUACUAACAAAAUAUAACUAACAUAUCUAACCAAUUGCAAAACAGUUACAAUUGGUUAGAUUAGCUUAGUUGUCAACAGUUACUUGUAGCACAAGUAACCACUGCAAUACAAUGUGAAUUAGGCUUUAACAACCCCCUCAAGUUGGAAUAGAUGUUAAUUGUUCCAAGCUUGGUCUGUAGAGUGUUGAAAGGGCCAGGAUGAAGAAGCUUGGUUAGAAUGUUAGAAAACUUGAUCCUACAUUCCUUUUGUCUAUUUUUUUUUUGUAUAUUAACAUCCUUUAACUAAUUAAGACUAAUUACUGUUAUAGAGUAAUCAAUAUUGUUGGUUAGAUUGAGUUAGUUAAACUAGUAGUUAGUUAGUUUUUCUAACUGUUACUUACAAUGUAAGUAACUGAUGUUGAUUGAAGUUAAUUGUUAUACCUGCUAUAUAAAUCAAUUACAUUUAACUCUAACUCUCAAGAAUGUCAAUAAUAUUUUGAUACACAUUAAGUUAGGAGAAGGGACAAAGUACAUUCAUAAAAACAAAACAUCACCACAUAAUAAAGGUAACCAAACUAAAGUUUAUCAUCAAUCCACCUAAUAGUUACCAACAUAAAGUUGUCUAAAAUAUAAAAGACCAUGAUAUGUUUGAUCUAACAAAAGAUACCAAAAAGCAACCAAGCUAAAGUUCAUCUAUCUUGUUGUUGAUGUUAUCACCCUCUCCUUCCUGUUGAAUUGAAGUGUUCAUAUUAGGCACAAUAUUCCCAAUAAUUUGCUUCAAGCGCUCCAUCUUCUGUCUUAGUGUUUCUUGUUCAAGAUUUUUCUUUUUAAGUUCAACGGUUAAUGCUUCAAUUUUAGCCCCCAUAACAGCAACUUUUUCUGAAGAAACUACAUCGGUAGAAAUUGAAGGCGAUGGUCUCAAAGAUUCUUUGAAAACAACAACUUGAGAUCCUAAUUUAAGUAUGUUCUCCUUCUUGUUAAUGCCUCCAACAAUUUCCAUAUAAAUACCAUUGUCAAUUUCUUUAGUAGGUUGUUGACUAAUAAUCUCACCACUUUGAGACUGUUUCUCAAACAUUUGAGUUUUGUACAUUUCCUGCAAAAAAGAGUUACUAUUAGUAACAUAAUUUAGAUUUAUGAAAGAUAACAAAAAAAGACUGAUGUAUACAUACAUCUAUCUUCGCUUGUGUUUCAUUAAACCACUUUUUGGUCUAUGAAGUUUUCGUAUAGCUCAAACCUUGUUGGUUCUCUAUCUAAUUCCACUCUCUAAAACAUAACCAACAUACAACAAGUUAGUAUAAACAUAUUUAAAUUGUAAUUUAAAGAAAAAUAAUUACUAACCAUUUUUUUCCUUUCUAUUCUAGCAGAUAUGGAUCCUCCACUAUGAACACUGUGUCCAACUUUAGAUUGCCUAUUUUGUUUAUUAGUCAUGGAAUAUUUUCGCCAUUUCUCUUCUUCCCAUUUAGCCUUCAAUUGUUUCAAGUUGUUUAUUAGUGAAGGAAUAGAAACAGAAGUUCCUUCUCGUUGUUGUUGCUUGGCUAAUUGCUUCUUCUUCCGGGCUGUUCUUUCGAUUUCAGAGUGAAAGAGUAAUUAAUCUUCCAGAAACAAGUUAGAAACACGACUGAUAAUAUAUAUACAAGAAGGAACUUCUUUUAUAUAUAUAUAUAUAUAUAUAUAUAUAUAUAUAUACACACAAGAAAUUAAUAUGUACAAAAUUGAUUAAAACAAAAAUUCUUGCUGCAAUGCUUAUGAUAUCUUAAUGUCAGUCCCUGGAAACGGUACCAUUUUGAUGUAGUAUCAAAAGUAAGUAUGUAUUAGUAUCAUAUCUAUAGGGACUAGUGCGAUAUUCGUAAGCCGUUCAACAAUUUUUUAUCGUUUUAAGUUAAGGUUUUGUAAAAUUGUUUGUUGCGAAAACCUAAUCGGACUAUAAUGCGAUAAAAUAAAAUUGAGUUAGACAGAGGAUUAAAGCUGUUGGGGUUAGACUUCAUUAAGAAAAUGUCGCAUAUAUUCUCUUAAUCAAGCAUAUAGAUUCUAGCUAUAAAUCAAUAUAUUAUCAUGUUUCACUCGACAACAUCAAUUAUGUCUAAGUAAUAUCGUGAAUUCAAUCGUAUUGUUUAGUCGACAAUUUCUCGGCCUAUUAAACAAUACAAUAACAUGAAGAGUUGAUACUUAAGUGAUUAUCAAAACCUAAAACCAUUUCUAGUAUUUAGGGGUUCAAUAGAUUAUUAUCCUAUGUGUAGAUUCAAAAGAUAUUUCUCAAUAACAUUUCAAAUCAUAAAUCAAGCAUGAAUAAAUAAUAUCAAUAUCAAUAAACACUAGAAUCAUAUAUUGCUUAAGAUCAAAGAGAAUACAUAGUGAGUUUGUUAAUUACAUUUUUAUUGUCAUGGUAGCCUUACAAAAUUGGAAGAAAUGUGUGGAAUACUUAUCAAGAUGUUGAUUUCUCAAUUGAAUCUUGUUGAAUCCACCUUAUAACACUCUUGCUUUGUGUUUCUCUCUAAGAUUCGUUCUUGUUUCUCCCUAAAAGUACAAGUUAUCUUUGGUUGGAAAUGAAUGAGCGGCUUUUAUACUUUUUCUGAUAAGUGCCUGCUCGCCGAGUGAAGGGAGGCUCUCCAUGGCGUAAGACAUAGAAAGCAUAAAAUGACUUAUUCAUUAUUUUUGAGCUUUUCAUGAGAUAAAUUGUAAAACAAGUAACCAAAGUGUCUAAAAUAUAAAUGAUAUUUAAAUACUUUCUGACACUUAUCACGUACAUAAACGAUAAGAUACAUUUUAUUUCAAGUUUUAAGUUUUUAUGAAUUUAAAAAUAAAAUAAAAGAAAAUAAAGCAAUCGUUAGCGACGGAUUUAAAGACAAAUAUAUCUAGAGACAACAUUAGCGACGGUCUUUAGAGACGCAUGUAGGGACCAAUGUUGUUAGAGACGGACAACUGCAUUUCCAUCUCUAGAUUUUGUCUCUAAACAACUUUUGUAUGCACUUAUCUAACAUAGUAUCUCAUUAGAGACGGAUUUUUAGACGGAUAGUAAUCAACGACAGAAUGUUCCAUCACUAAAAUCCGUCUCCACACACAUCAUCAUAUUCCGUCUCCAAAUUAUAAAUUUCCGUCUCAUCUUCCGUCUCUGCUAGAGACGAAGUGUUUCCAUCUCUAAAUUCCGUCGGGAUAUCAAUUUUUUUUUUUUGAAGGAGCUUAUCAACUUUUUUUAGUAGUGCAAUAAAGAUCAAACGUAAAAAGUAAUAUGUUUGCAAAGAAUAAAAACUAAAAUCAAAACUUUUGAUAUUGAUGAUGACCAUUUGUAUAUUUAAAUUUAAAAAUAAUAAUUAGAGAGAUUGCAAUAUUUGGUCAAAGCUGAAUACUAGCAGUACUAUUAUAAGAGAACUUCUUAUUUGGGUUUGCAUUAUUUGAUCGUGCGAAGCAGAAAGCUAUGUCAUUCAACCAAAGAGUACACAUAUUUUGAAUUUAUUGAUGUAUCCUGUCUGGUUCUUUGAAUGCUUCCAACUCAAUUUUUGACCAGUUCACAAUUUUUUUCUUUCGUUUUUCAGAUUCACGUUAAAAUAAUGGGUUAUUAAUGUUUUACCUUCGUAAUAUAGACCAUUUUUAUUUUCCCUUGUAAUUUUUUUUUAGAUUCUAUCAUUGUAAUUUAAAGAUAUUUUGGUUUUGUCCCCGUAAAAUCUUUAUGACAUCAAAUUAUAAAAUUUAUGGCAAUUUGUCCCUUGUAAUAUGAUUAAAUUUCGGUUUAACCCUAUGCAAUUUGAACAAAUUUUGGUUUACUUCCAUGCCAUAUCAUGAAGGUUCAAAACCAAAAAUUUUCAAAUUACAAUGACGAAAACCAAAAAAAAUAUUUAUAGAGAAGAAAACCGAAAAUAACCUGAACCCCGAACAUGACAAAAAAAAAACUACUAUUUAACCCUAAAAUAAACUCAGCUUGAUUUUUUUUUUUUUUAAUAUUGAGUUAUAACAUUGAUGAUUUAGUUUGUAUAUAUCUUUUAAUUAAUCAUUCUCUCUUUCUCAAAAAUAAUUUAUUUUAGGGUUAAUUAAGUUUUUAGUUCCUAUAAAUAUUCACAGUUUUGUUUUUAGUCCCUACAAAAUAAAAUCACACUUUUUAGUCCCCGUGACAUUAUCCUUAAGCAUUUUAGGAACCAAAAUUGUUGAUAGAAAUUUUUGACAAGGACUAAAACUGUUGAUGGAAAAAUUUUAUAGGGAUUAAAAAUGCUGAUGGAAAAUUUUACAGGAAUUAAAAAGUGUGAUUUUAUUUUGUAGGGACUAAAUACAAAAUUCUGAAUAUUUAUAGAGACCAUUUACUUAAUUAACCCUUUAUUUAAAUCAUUCAUCAAAAUACACUAAAAUCAUCAGUAUCACAAAAACUCAAUAUCGUCCAAAUAUUUUCCCACAAGUAUAAUUUUUUUAUUUGCUUUUAGACUAAUGGCCAACAUACACGUACAUACUCUCAAUAAAACGUGCUUGAAGAGAAUGAAAUGCAGUGACAUGAAUUCAAACCCAAAAUUCCGCAUAAAAUAUCAUCACAACCAAACCACAAUGCUACAACAAACACAUAUUUUAGAUUUUAAUUAUUCCAGUGGUAUAUCAAAAAAAUGUAUAUCAAUGUCAUCCUAUUUUCUUAUUAUUUUAUGGAACCCUUCUUUUAUUUAUCAAUUUCAACUUUCAAGUUAAUAAUAAACACAUGCAAAUAAUUUUUUUCUAUAAAAUUUAAAAAGCAAUAUUAAUAGUACAUAUUAUCUCCCUCAAAAAAAAUAGUAGAUAUUAUCAAAAUUCAUAUCCCAAUGUGAAUAAAAAAUGGCCCAAGGACCUGGUAUUAGUCAUCAUCUUCCUCUAACGUGCCAUCCAAUAACAUCUUCAGUUCCUCCUAUAAAUACCAUGCUGAACUUCACUUAUAAACCACAGCAAGGCAAGCAACUUCUUCAUUAUUUCUUUCUUACACUAGCAUUAUAAUUCAUCAUGGGUGUCAUCAAUUUUGAGGAAGAAACCACCUCUGUUGUAGCUCCAGCUACACUUCACAAAGCUUUUGUUACAGAUGCUGACAACCUUAUCCCAAAGGUUAUUGAUGUCAUCAAAAGUAUUGACAUUGUUGAAGGAAAUGGUGGCGCCGGAACCAUCAAGAAACUCACUUUCGUUGAAGGUCAGUAUAAAUAUAUUUGUUAUAUCUCUUAUAAGCAAAUCUUACAAUUAUUAAGAUUUAGGGUUUAUUAGGGUUAUUUUAGACGUAAGUUGCACCGACACUUCUGAUUGAAGGUGUGUCUUGACGUCCGACAUCACGACACUUGUGAUUACAUUGAAUUAUGUCAUUUUCUUAAAAUUUUAUCGGCGUCGAUGUGUCCGUGUUGUGUCUGGUGUCUGUGCUUCAUAGUUUUAGACAAAUUCUUGUACCAAUUUUUAAAAACCUAAAUAUAUCAAGUAAUAAUGGUCAUGAUAUUAAUAUGAUUGUGAGAUGAAUCUAUAUAUGACAUGCAGAUGGUGAAACCAAGUAUGAUUUACACAAAGUGGAGUUAGUAGAUGAUGCUAACUGGGCUUACAACUACAGCAUUGUUGGAGGUGAUAGUCUUCCAGACACAGUAGAGAAGAUUUCAUUUGAAGCUAAACUGUCUGCAGGUCCAAAUGGAGGAUCCAUUGCAAAACUUAGUGUGAAAUACUUUACAAAAGGAGAUGUUACUCCAAGUGAAGAGGAACUCAAGAGUGGCAAAGCUAAGGGUGAUGGUCUUUUCAAGGCCCUUGAGGGUUACUGUUUGGCUAAUCCUGAUUACAACUAAAGCAUAUAAUUAAAUGCUUAUUCAUGGUGUGAUGUGACACAGGAUAAGCUAUAUCCAGUUUGCUUAAUUUGGGUACCAAUGUAAUUCUCUAUUUUUCCCCCUUUCCUUUUGGUAAGGAAGUUUGAGUGUGAGAUUGUAAGUCAUGAGUGCCUCCCUUCAAAACAUUGUCAGCUUUUUUUAAUAAAGAGAUUGUUACUAUUUAUAUAUGUGGCUUUAAAAUUAUAAGGUUAUAGUUAUAGUAUUAACUUUUUUUCGUGUCAGAAAAAAGUUAAAAAUAGACUUUUGUUACGGUAAUUUAUAAGGUUAUAAUAAUUUUAUAUUUAUAUUAUUGAAGAGAGUACAUUAAUUAGACUCAAGUGAUUAGUGACCUUUCUCUCAAGAAGAAUUGUUCUAGAGAACCCGAUUUUAUUUUUGGUAAGAAUAAUUUUUGGUCAAACUUUAUUCUUCUUCCUAUCAAACUCUGGAUUACUAAUACCCCUUUCUCGAUGAAUUUGAAAGUUAAGAUAAAAAAAGUGUAAUUAUGUGAGUGAGUCAUUAUUAAAAGGUGAAAGUAUAUUCGGAAUCUGUUUAUUAAUUAAUAAAACUCAUUGUAGAUUUUAACCAAACAAUUGAGUUCAAGAGGUUAAUGAGUAUCCAACUAAUGAAUUGUUUAGUCGAAUCUGAGUUCGACUCUUGGGUAUAACUAUUCUUGGUCAUACUCUAUUUUCUUCCCUGCAGAACUCCAGAUUAUAUCUAGGAAACGAAGGGUUACACAAAAAAUAUAAACUCUUUGUAUGUUUCAACAUAAUAACGUUAAAAAACAAGAAGUAUAUAACAAUGAAGGGAGGAGACUUUUGAAUAAUAAUUGUAGUACUUUUCCUUAUAUCUAAGAUCAAGGUUGUCAAAAUUGAAUUUUGUUUCAAGUGGAAAGGGAAGAGUAAAAUCGAAAAUCGUAAAAUCGUAAUCAAAAUUGAAGGAUAUUAGUCAACUAUUUUUGUAGAAUCUAUAUAAGAAAUCGUAAAAUCGCAAUCAAAAUCGAUGGAUUUUACCAAAACAAAAAUAAUAUUAAAUAUAUGUUAUAAAUGACUCAGUUUAAUCUCCAAGUCUUUCGGAGAGCACUAAGGCAGAGAAAAAGAAGAAGAAGCUCGUGAACAAAGGAAGGUCUGCUAGCUUUAACUCAGCCAGAAUGAGGGUCCGUGCCCAAAAGAGUAACUCCAAAGCUGUCUUAGCUUUUCUGUAUUAUGGUGGAAUUAGCCACCUCCUUCCUUAGGAUCUUUCCAUUAUAAGGGUAGAUCUAGUUUUCCUUUUCGCAGGUUAUACACUUUCUGACUCUGUUGUAUUGAUUCAUGCAUCUCCUGUCUUUUAUAUUUUAGUGCUUUGAUAAAAGAAAAAGACUCAGUUUAAACUCCACAAAAUACUUAUACAUAAAUGACAAAAAAAUGAACUAAAUCCUCCAAAACCUUUUAAAAUCCUGUGAUUUUGCAUGGAUUUCACGAGUUUGUGCGAUUUGGAGGAUUUUGCCUAUUUUAGAAUUUUGUUAUGGAUUUGAGCCGUUGAAAGUGAAUAAGAUCGCAAAAUCCUAGAUUUUUAAGAUUUAAGUCGAGAUUUAAUCAACAAUGUCUAAGAGAUUAAGACCAUGACCAUCAUUAUUUUAUUUGUUGCUUGAUACUUACAUACGAAACUGGAAGGUUUAUACAUUUUGCUAAAAAAUUACCAAAGCAAGCAUAUGAUACAAUAACUAAAUAAUAUAGAAGAACUAUAUGCUCUUAGUUUAUUAUAUAUAGAAGAACUAGAAGACUUAGAAAAAGAUACCUCGGACAAUAAAUGAGGUUAUGUUGUCGUUGAAUUUCAUUACUGGAAUAGGAAUAUAUCAACAAAAGAACUGGAAAUUGUAGUACAAAGUAAUAAAUUGAUGCUCUUGUAAACAAUGAUAAAAUUGAGAAGGAGCCAAUAACUUGCUCAUAUAAAGCAUGCAGUUUUUUCCUUCCCAAGAUUGGUGUUUAUUUCUAUCAAAAUUAUUGUGAAGUGAUCAAAGAAGAUGUCAUCAAUGCUAUCUGCAAUCUUUUGUUUUUGGAUGGAUGAUGCCAAACUUCAAUGCCAACACCUUGAUUCUCAUUAUAAAAAUAUCUAAUGUUGAUACCAUUGAUCAAUGCAUGAUAAUAACAAUGGCUAGUUUCAAAUUCGAAGGUUAUUGCUUAUAGGAACAAAAAGGUUAUAUUCAUGGCAGGAAUGUUAGAGAAAGUGUUUUCCUAGCUUCUGAAGCCAUCAUUAAUCUUUUGCAAACCAAGUAUUUUGGUGGUAAUCUAGCUCUGAAAAUAGAUAUAGCCAAAGCUUUUGACACUUUGGAGUAGUGUUUUACAGAUCAAUAACUUGCUUGACUUCAAAAUUGGCACUUUUCCUUUCAACAACCUGGGUUCCCUAUCUUGAGAGGAAAAGUUAGAGCUAUUCAUCCGCAAGGUGUUGCUGAUAAAGUUAAAAAUAAGCUAGUAGCUUGGAAAGUUUCCCUUCUCUCAAUUGGUUGACAGGGUUCAAUUGAUCAUUUUUUUCAUACAUUGUGUAUUAUACUCAAACUCUGUCAUACAAUUGUUGGCAGGGUAAAAUGUGACAUGUUUGUAACUCACAUUUGAAAUAAAAAUUUAAUUAGUUAAUUUUUAUUUCCGUCAUAUUCCAUUGUGUAUUAUACUCAAACUCUUGCAUUUUUACACGUACUCUCUAACUUUUGUGCUAAUUGCAAUUAUAAUUUUUCAACCCCAUCGAAAUCAUGCUAUGAAAUUAUCAUGCCAUCAACAACAUAUAAAGAGAGUGCAAAGUACAACCAUGUGAAAAAUACUGAAUAAACAAACACUACUGGAAUCUCUCGUUUUUUUUGCGGAAUUUUCAGUGAAAUCCGCAAAAAAUUCCGCAGAAAAAUUAAGAGUUUCAAGUAGUGAAAGUAAUCAUGACAACUAGUAGAGAGGUCAAAAGAUAGUAUCAUAAAUAUGGAAAAUCUUUCAAACAAGGAUGCUGAACUUCUUUCUUUAAAAAAAAAAAAAAGGAUGAUGAACUUUUUUUGGUUAGAUUUUACUUUUACCAAACUUUAGAUUAUUAUUAUGACCUCUUUCUCUAAAAAUUGGAGGAUUAACACCAAUAAAAAAAAAAGAUAAAGGACUUUGUUUAAUCAUAUAUAUCGAGGAGCUUCUUCAACUUACAAACUUUAUAUAAUAAAAUAAUAAUAAAUUUCUUUUUUGAGGUUAAGUUUUGUAAGAAUAUCUUUUUAUCAAAUUGCUAGAGUAAGUUAUAUAUAUAUAUAUAUAUAUAUAUAUAUAUAUAUAUAUAUAUAUAUAUAUAUAGGGAGAUGCUACAACACAUCCACCUAUUUUUGUCAAGGUGUGUUUUUGCAUUGUCCACCUUUUUUGUUUUGACUAAAAACCCAUUUUCUCCUUUUUAAAAACAAGUAAAAGUGAAGGGCAAUUCUGUCAUUCGCAACUUAAGGCUACCAUUCGCAAAAUUAAAAAAGGUGUAACGUCUCUCAUAUAUAUAUAUUUAAAUAAUUAAUAAAAUUUAAUUAAAAAUAAAUCAUUUGAAAGAAUUUAAAUUUGAAUUUCGAGUAGAAUAAUCACCGACCAAUCUUUAUUUAUCCGACCGAACUCCAAAUUACGAGAGUUCAAGGAGAGUCAGGAUGAAAAAAGAAAAACUUUCUAUAUAUUUCUCGAACUACAGGUUCUAGAAUGGCGUCUAGAGGCUGCAAUAUUUAUAUAUUGAUAUAAGAAACAAUUGAGAAGGACUGCAAUAUUUCGUCAAAGCAGAAUACUUUGUAGUACUAUUAUUAUAUAAGCUGAAUAUCCUCUAAUUUGUUUGGGUUUGUUUUGAUAAUGUGUAGCAGAAAGCUACGACUUUCAGAGUGCUAUGAUUUUGAAUAUAUUGCCGUAGAUUAUGGUUUUGUUAUUUAAAUGCUUCAAAACCAAUUUUUGACCUGUUCACAAAAUUCUUCAGAUUCACCCAAAAACAAAUUCAGAUUGAGAGUUUCUGUUUUUUUAAAGAGUAACACGUCACUGAAUUAAAGAUGAUUAGUCAAAGUGAUAUUAUUUAUGAAUCAAAAUACAUACUAUAUCAUAUGAAUAUAUUAUAUAUCAUAUGUGACCUUGUAUACGACAAAUUUUAAAAAUACAUAACUAAGGUGCACGAUAUUCGAUAUUAAAAUUUUGGAACUAAAGUAUGAUUUCAGAAUUAGUUAUCCCAGUGCUAAACAUAAAUGGACGGAUCAACACGGCAACUUAUCCAAAAAAAUAUAUAUGUCAAUGUCAUCCUAUUUUACUAAUAUUUUAUGAAAAAUGUUAGCAAAUGCCCUUAAGAAGUUUGAAUUAUUUUAUUUUAUUUUUAAAUUUGUGUAUUCAAAACAUUCAAAUAUUUAAAAAUAAAUUUUGCUACAUAAAAGUUAUCAAUUGCUUACAUUUUUAAUCCUUAACAAAUGUUCUAUGGACUCCUUCAAAAAAAAAAUGUCUUAAGGAUAUAAUUUUUGAUGAAUCCUUAGCGAUACCUUUUCAACUUUCAAGCUCCGUCGGGUAUAAUCACAUCUAUUGAAUCUUUAUUGAUUAAUUUUUUUUGGAAAGGGAGUGAGGACACUAGGAAAACUUCUUGGAACGGUUGAAAUAAUAUUUGUUUGAGUAAAGAAACCGGUGGUUUAGGGGUUAGACAUAUGAGGAAGUUCAAUAAUACUUUGUUAGGGAAGUGAUGUUGGAGGAUAGAUGAUGAUUAUGGUAUAGGGUGUUGGUGGCUCGUUAUGGGGAGAUGAAUGGGAGGUUGGUGGUCAGAGUAGUUCAUCUUGGUGAAGGGAGGUAGCGAAAAUUUGUGAUGGGGAAGGUGUGGAGGGAGGAGGGUGGUUCGAGGAGAGUAUUGGGAGGAAGGUUGGUAAUGGGAGGGAUACCUUUUUUUUGGACGGAUCCGUGGUUGGAAGGUCAGCCUUUAUGUAGGAAGUUUAGAGUUUAGAUGACUAUUUGAUUUAGCGGAGAAUAAAUCGAUUACGGUGGUUGUGAUGUGUGAUUUGGGUAAUAAUAAUAAUUAUGAAGCAUAAAAAUAAUGUUAUAAAUAUGAUGUGAUAACAUUAUUAUUUGUUUCUAUAGAUCUAUAUCAUAUCUAAACCAGCAAAGGAACCUUAAGAGUACUAAAACACAAAUUUCACUAACGUUACCUAUAGUUAGGUCAAUUAUGAAGCUUGCCCCCAAUAUUCAAUCAUCUUUCUCAUUUUUAAUAGGCAAGUGUUAAUUGGUUUGGUUAGUUUUCCAUACUUGAACCAUGACCUUCUUCAUUAGUAUUCUUUCCGCUUUCGAAACUAUCUUUUAUAAAGGUUAUGUUAACUAAUAUCCUUAAGAUACUGGUUAAGAAAGAUAAAAUUAAAAAAAUUCAUUCAAAACAAUAAAUUCUCAACUUUCAAAAACAUAAUAUACAACUUUUUCAUACCUUUCAAUACAAUAUUUUUAUAUUAAUUUCCUUAACAUUUCCAAUUUCAUAAUGAUUUUUUAUUUAUUAAUUCUUUCUCAUAGUAUUUCAAUAUGAUGUGGUGGGGUUGGCAUUAGAGAGUUGACUUUAGGUAGGUAUAUUUAUAUAAGAACAUCUAUUAAAGGUGGUUAACAACUUAAAAUAAUUCAUCCUAAAACAACUUAAAAUAUUUCAAAACUUUGAUAAAAGACUAUAUGUUAUCUAAGAGGUGGUAAUAAUAAUUAGGGAGUUUCGACGGUACAUCCUUAAAUUAAGGUGUACUGAUACACCUAUUUCAUAAAUCAAUAAGUUAAUGAUCAUUUUUAUGUAAUAAAGAGAUAUUUAUCGACUUUUAUAUUUUAGAAAAUAUGUAGUUCAUAAGAAAAAACAUCAUUUCAUUUUUUGUAAGAAUCAUACUAAUUUUUUAACAUUUUAUCGAAAAAAAUAAUCGAUAUUCAUUAUUAUGAGUAAUAAAAAUUAAAAAAAAUUGAAUUUUGAUUUGCCGACACUUUUGAAAAAUAAAAUAUAAUUUAUAAUUGUAAUUGAUAGAAAAUAUUUUUUUUUUAUAAAAAAUAUCUCAUUAAACUAUUCAUUUAAAUAUAGGUAUACCGGUACACUCAAAUUUUUUGAGUGUGUCGUAGAAAUUGCCAAAUAAUAAUUAUGGUUCAAAUCCUACCCUUGACAUUUGAAUUAUAGUCAUUGGUGUCAUUGUUAUUGAUAAUAUUUUUCUCAUAUAAAUUAAAAUUAUAAUUUUAUGCAAUAAAAAAAUCCCAUUGAAGCAAGUUUGUAAUUAAAAUAAUUUUUUUUUUAAAUUAUCAACAAAACCAAAUAGUGUUCAUAAUCUUUCAAUUUUUUUUGGAUGAACUCUCAUAUCUUUCAUCAGAAGUCUCAAACUAAUACACACAUAAGCAUACACCUAAAAUCAAAUCUCUAACCAAAUUCUUAAUAAAUCUAGUUAUUUUUCAACCCUGCCACACCAUAAUGGUAGCUUUCACAUGUAAACAUUAGAUAUUAUUUUUCUUUUACUCAACAUAUUAGCUAGUUUGGAACUAGAAAUAUAAUAAUUUUGCGCAGUAGAAUUUAUGAGAGGACAAAUAUUAUAUAUUGUGCGACAAUAUGUUUAUUUUAUAGACGUCGUUUGCAUUUGGAAUUUAGACUGCUUUUGGUCCUUGAUGAGAGAAAAAGAAGAGAGAUAAAAAAAAUAAUGAAUAGUAUAUUCAAGAAUUUUGUGAGUCCAAAUAGGUUUUUAACAUAAAAAAUAAUAUUAAAUAAUAUUAUCCAAAUUCACGUCACAAUGUGAAUAAAAAAUGGCCUAACGACCUUGUAUUAAACAUAGGUCUAAACAAUACAUCUUCAGUUACUAUAAAUACUAGACUCAACUCCACAUAAACCACACAACAAAUUAAGCAACUUCUUAAUUAUAUUUACUAACUAAUACUUCUUUCACUAGCAAGUUAGCAUAUUAUAUAAUUCAUAAUGGGUGUUUUCAAUUUUGAGGAUGAAACCACCUCUAUUGUAGCUCCUGCUACACUUUACAAAGCUCUUGUUACGGAUGCUGACACCCUUACCCCAAAGGUUAUUGAUGCCAUCAAGAGUAUUGAUAUCGUUGAAGGAAACGGCGGAGCCGGAACCAUCAAGAAACUCACUUUUGUCGAAGGUCGGUAUAAAUAUAUGUGUAUUUUUUGGAUUAUUUUAAAGAGUCUAAUUGCGAAAUUCACACGGAUUAAGAGAAAAAUUGAUUCACUAUACAAAUAAAAUACAAUUUAUAAAAUAUAUGAGAGUGUUUAGUAGACACUCUUAUGAUUAACAGUUUUGGUUGCUAAUUAAUUGGUUUGAGAAAAUAUUUUCUAUUUAUAUUUCUAAUUAUAGAAUUGCCACUUUACCGUUUAUCAAUAUUUUUUAUCACUUUACCAGUAAUUGUGACACUUUGAUGUUAGAAGAAUAACCACGUUAUACUCGAAAAAAGUUCUUAGCCCAAAAUGGACAAUUUUACCAAGGUUGUAUUAAAGUAAAUUUAUACUUCAAAAUAAAAUAAAAAUGAAGUUUUUAUAAGAAAAGUAAAUUUCCGCUUAGUGAUCUCAUUCUUUAUGGAAUAGGUCAUCCUUUUAACGGUAUAUUUGAAAGAAUGCUAGAAUAUUCUUUUGGUGAUAUUAUUUUGUUCUAAUCGGAGUAUCGGUCGAGAAAUAAGUAUAGUUUGGUCAAAAUUAUCUUAUUGGAGAUUCAAAUUCUCCCGAACAAUUUGUCUUUGUCAAUUAACUAUUUAAACACAAUUGCUUGAUUAACUGGAACUUGAUUAUUUUAACCAAUGAUGUGCAGAUGGUGAAACAAAGUAUGUGUUGCACAAAGUGGACUUAGUAGAUGAUGUUAACUUGGCUUACCACUACAGCAUAGUUGGUGGUUUUGGGCUUCCAGACACAAUAGAGAAGAUUUCAUUUGAGGCUAAAUUAUCUGCAGGACCAAAUGGAGGAACCAUUGCAAAGCUUAGUGUGAAAUACUUCACCAAAGGUGAUGUUGCACCAAGUGAAGAGGAACUCAAGAAUGGCAAAGCUAGGGGUGAUGGUCUUUUCAAAGCUCUUGAAGGUUAUGUUUUGGCAAAUCCUGAUUACUAAAGCAUAUAGCUAAUUGCUUACUUGCUUUAUACAUGGCGUGUUGUAAUGCAUUUUAUUGUAUCAAGUGUGCUUGAUUUGGUUGCCAAUGUAAUUCUCUCAUUUUUUUUCGUUUUAUUUCUCUCUAUUUCUUUCCUUUUGUUGUGGAAGUGUGAGUGUGAGAUUGUAAGUUGUGUGUGUACCUUGCUUCAGUAAAUUAUAAUAAUAUAUAUUUCUUUUUUAUAUGGUCCCCUUUUGAAUAUUUCAUUUCAAUAAAUGGAUUCGAAAGACCAAUCUAAAACUCAACAGUUCUCUUCCUUUAAUAAAUAUAUUUCUCUUCCUUUAAUAAAGUAUACUGAAUUUAUUAAUAGUGAUAUUUCUUAAACUUGUUAAUAUUGCAAAAACUAAUAUCGUAAAAAUGCUAUCUUAUGAGAAAUAAAAUAAUGUGUCCUCUACUUAGAAUAUUGAGAUAAAUGAAUUUGUUGAAGAACUUGAUAAAGAUGAAUCUUCUAUAUUGAGACAACAUUGUUCCUUUUGUUGGUCAAAUAUUUUUCUUAGCAAGGAAGAAACAUUUGUCUUCUAUAAGAGAUAUGCAAAUCAGCAUUGUUUCUCAAUUUCGAAAAGGCAGAUUCAUCAUAUUGGAUAAUAGAUAGGCUCUGAUACCAUAUUACUUUCACAGAGGAGAGAAUGUGAUUGUGCUGAAUCACUAGAAAAUAUUAUUAUUGAAUUGUGUUUGUAAUACAAAGAAGGUUUUAACUAUAUAGAAACCUGAUCAUAUAUAAAGCUUAACAGAUUUAGGUAAAGGCCCAACAUGAACAAUUAGGCCCAAUAAAGAUAAAUGGACUAAAGCUUAACAGACUUAAAUCAUGGGUCGGGAGAUGAUUUUGAACACUUUUUUUUUUCUUCUGAAAGAAGGAGGGCUUUCAGUUAGACAAUUGAUGCAUGUCAUAGAACUAGAGAAAAAUGUGAAGCAUGUGUAUCUUCGAUUUAUUGAAAAGGACAUUCAUAAUCUUUUUCGAAAGCUGGGAAAAAAGUUGAAGGAAAUGAUGGUAUGCAUCGUCUCGAAUACUGUGAGGAUGCAAAAUGAGUUGCUCUAAACUUUAGUAUGCAUAUACCGAUGAAAAUUUUCCCAUUUUAGAUCAAUUUUGUCUUAUAUAUUAUUAUUUGUACAACCAAUUUUGCCAUAUUCUAAUUUAUACCCUACUUUAAAAACAUGAUCGAUAUUGUUUUCCUUAUUCCUUUAUGAUUAAUUUUUUUUUGUUACCUUCUCGUAUUUUCCUUGUUGCCAUUACAAUCAAAUUUUAAUGUUACUAAUCAGGGCCGACCCAACAUGUCAAGAGGCCUAAAGCAAAUUUUAUGAUUAGGUCUUUUGGAAUUAAAAAAAAUAACACAAUGCUUAUUAAAAGCAUAAUAAAUCAAGUUCUUUUGAAUUCAAUAUUUGAACUUAAGACCAAAAGGAUUUGAGGCGUUAAAAUUGACCAGAUAAACUAGAUAAAUAUUGAUUAUUAGUAUGUCAUAUUAUAUAUUUAUAGUUAAAUUGACUUAUUUUGAGAGCUUUUUUUAACCUAAAAUUUUGAGGCCUAAAGCCCUUGCUUGGGUGGCUUGACCCUUAGGUCGGCCCUGUUACUAAUUAAAACUGAACUACAAUUUUGUUAUCGUAAAUAUAUUUAUUUUUUAUAAAUAAAUUAAAUAACAAUAAUUAUUAGAUACUAAUCAACAAAAGUAAAGAGUCAGAGUUCGAACCCAUUACAACAAUUGAUUUAACAAUUUCAAAAAAGUUAUCAGUGAAUUAUAAAUUAUAGACAACAUGUGGGUAUAUAAUAAAAAAGUCGAGUUUUUUUUUUUUUAUGAAAGUAAAAAAAAAAUAUUUAAAUUUGCUUUCGGAAAAAAAAAAUAACAGUUUUUUUAGAAAUAUAAAUUCCAUAGAUUUUUAUUCGUUCCAAAUAUAUAAAAGAUAGGUGACUUGGUACAAUUUAAAAAGAAAUUACAUUAAUACUUUAUUAGUAAUAUUCAUCCAAGUUUCAAGUAAAGUUUUAGAACCAUCCUAUCUAUUGAUAUUUGUUAAUAUUAAAUCAAAGACUCAUGUUAAAUUGACUUAAGAUGGGAAAAGAUCACAAUUUCCCAUGUUAAACAUCACCAUACAGUUGAUAAAUAAAGAAGGUUGAGGCAUAUUUUUUGGUCACCUUCUUCUUGUUUUGAUUGGUAUAAAAAAUAUGGUGAUGUUGUGUUUGAUACUACAUACAAGGUUAAUUAAUUUCUUAUGACAUGCCAUUUUGAAUUUUUGUGGGUAUAAAUAGCCUUGUAAAGUUCAUUCUUUUUGGAUGUUCUGUCAAUAAAGUAUAGUUUCUGCAUAUGACACAUCACUUUUAAAUUUAGUUUUUGGUUUAAUGCUAUAACUCGGGAUAAAUAUUCAUCAUAGUGUUUUCAUUUUUUUUUUUGGUGGGAUGAAAACCACAGGAAGAUCAUAGAAUAUCAAUGCAUUUAUUAAAAUAUUCAUAAAUCCUCACACAAGUUUAAGUGACUUUACAAAUUCGGUACGAUGUAAUUUCCAAUACAUUAGUACUCAUCAUUUUUGAAGUUAAUAGUAUCUACCAAUCAAUUUAAAUUAAUUUCUUGUUGAUUUAGCAAUUGAUGAUAUUAAGAAAAAGAAUACCAUGAUAUAAUGUUAGAAAAGUACAAAAGAAUUAAUAUGAAGCUUAUGUUACCCUUGCAAUAGCAAAUUCAUGGUGUUCUCACACGUUUUUCUUUUUAGAAGUUUCAAGAGGAGUUUGAAAGGUCGGUCCAAUAUUCAAUUCAUAAUGAAACUCAAUGUAAUGUCUUUAUGUUGCGGUAUUAUAAAGAUGUUAAUUGUAGAGAGCAAAUGGUUUUUUGGGUGGUAAAUUUUAUUUUUUUUGAAUCGAAAAAUAUUAUUAAACGUCAUUCCCGCAAGACGCAAUGUAUGGACGAAACAAAAUACAAAUGAUGCCGCAUAUAGACGGUACAACAUAACCAUUUUAGGUGGUGAAAUAACUCUGCGUAGUUGUAAGCACUUUGAGUUUUGAGGGAUAUUAUGUCAUCACAUUUUCAAUAUUAUUCUUCAUAAGGAUUGCCAUGAGGUCCAAUCUAACUACAUGCCAUUACAAUGGCGUCUUCAAGCAUCACAUGACAAUGAUGAAGUAGAUCCCCAACAAGUCAAUGUUGUCUUUGAGGAACAAGUCAAUGUUGUUCAUUGUCCUCCACAAUCCAAAACAAAAGGUCGUCCCAAACAAAGGCAUUUUAAAGGCGAAAAAGAGUUAUCACAUAACAUUAAUACUUGUGGAUCAUGCAAAGGUUUAAGACAUAAUAUAGUUACAUGUCCUCUAAAAGAAAAUACUCAAUUUUCUGUUAACAAAAAAAAAAAAAAAAAAAAAAACUAGAAGAAGAAAAUUUGUGAUGAUGCAAAUGCUAACAAAUGUCCUUAGGUAAGAAGCUCAAAAUAUAAAUUUUAUCUUGAAAAUUGUAUUCAACACAUUGAAAUAUUAAAAAUAUUUUUCCUUUUUUGAAGAAGCCAAAUUGAAUUAUAUUACUACCAAACCUAGUCAACUCAACACAAGGCGUAUCAAAGUAGAAUGAGAAAGUGAUCAAUAGUUCAAACCAAAAGAAAACAAAAAUGAAUUCAAGAAUUAGCCAAAGCCCAAACACAUAUAGGGAUUAAGCCACCAAUUAUGAUAAAAAAAAAAAAAGAAGACUUUUUUGCAUUCAGUCAUCGAUAGAAAAUGAGCUUAAUGUUAUCUAAAAAUUGAAGAGCUGAGCUUGUUGUAUUAUUAAAUAUCUUGUCGUUUCUUUCUUUCUGUAUAACCUACGUGCAAGCAAACCAAAUCAUCAACAUAAAUGAGCGGCGGGAUUUUGAAACACCUUCUAAACAACUUUUUUUCUAAAUAAAACUUAAUGAAUGUUUCCUUUUUUGAAUCUUUAACAAAAACACUUAGAACACUUGUUAAUAGUAAAAAAUGAAGAAUAUAAUUUGUAUUUUAUUAAAAUUUACUAAAAAUAGUAUGAUCCUCCUUUAGAUUGAGUCCAUAUAAGAUGUCCCGUAAGUUUAAAUAUAAAAAUCAUGGUUUGGCUCUCUCUAUCGGGAAACCAAAUAUGUAAAAUUGAUUUUGCCAUAUUUGUCCGAUGCUUAUUGAAAUUGAUUUUUAUCUCUAUAAUUAUAUAACUUGAAGUUAGAACUUAGAACUGCAGCUUUUAAUUUUUAAUAUGAUUUUUAUACUCAAAUUUAGCGUUCAAGGCACGCGGACAUGAAUAUAUUUAAAUAUAACUAAUUCACAUUUAACCCAUUUUUAACUAAAUCAUUUUAUUUGAAAAAAAAUUUGUUGGCAAAACUAAACAUGCACUAAACCAAGUUGUUUGGCCUCCGGUGGAAAGGAGCUCUUUCCAAGGAUGUAUCCGGAAAAUACCGGACUCGAUUCACAGAGGGAACAACGCUUGACCAAUUUGCAUGAGCCAGAUUAGUCACCAACCUUUGGUGGGUCGAAAACUGGUGCAAAAGCCAAAAAAUCCAUUAAAAAAACUAAACACGCACUAAAUAUUUCCAACUAAAGUAUUAGUAUUAUUUAAAAAAAAAACAAAAACUAUAUUGUAAAACAAAUAGUAGUAUUAUUUAGUCCGGAUUCUAGAAUGGCGUCUUGAGACUGAAUUGUUUAAUAUUAAACAAAUAAAAUAAAAAAUGAGAGACUGCAACAUAAUUUCCUCUUCUUUUUUGGGUUUGCAUUUGAUCGUGUAAAAGAGAAAUCUAGAUACAAGAAUACGCAGAUUUUGAAUAUAUUGCCAUAGCUUUUGUGGUUAUUUGAAUAGUAUAUCAGGAAUUUUGAAAUUUGACUGGUCUUAGAGGAGAUAAAAGAAGAAAAAAAAAAUAGUAUAUCAAGAAUUUUGUGAACCCAAAUAAUUUUUUUCUUUAAAAUUCAUAUCUCAAUGUGAAUAAUAAAAUGGUUCCAACAACCUGAUAUUAGUUAGUCAUCAUCUUUAUCUAAUUAGCAAUCUAAAGUCCAAACAAUACUGUACCAAAAAAAGUCUAAAUAAUACAACUUCAGUUCCUAUAAAUACUAGCCAUAACUACAUUCAUAAACCACACAUUACGACCAUUAUUUGUUAUUUCUUACCUAGCAUUUUAAUACAUUAUACCAUCAUGGGUGUGUUCAAUUUUGAGGAUGAAACCACCUCUAAUGUAGCUCCUGCUACACUUUACAAAGCUCUAGUUACAGAUUCUGAUAACCUUAUCCCAAAGGUUAUUGAUGUCAUCAAGAGUGUUGAAAUUGUUGAAGGCAACGGUGGCGCCGGAACCAUCAAGAAACUUACUUUUGUUGAAGGUCGGUAUAAAUAUAUUUAUUUUACUUUUAUUGUCAAAUAUUAAUAAUUAGUUGUUACGUUAGUGUUUAAAAAAAUUAUGUUUUCGACAUCGAGUCUAAGUUCAGUAUGAACUAUACCUAGUAAUGCUGAUGAUGUUUGUGAUUGUGAAACGGAUCAAUAUGCAGAUGGUGAGACCAAGCAUGUGUUACACAAAGUGGAGUUAGUAGAUGAUGCUAACUUGGCUUACAACUACAGCAUUGUUGGAGGUGUUGGCCUUCCAGACACAAUAGAGAAGAUUUCAUUUGAGGCUAAAUUGUCUGCAGGUCCAAAUGGAGGAUCCAUUGCAAAGCUUAAUGUGAAAUACUUCACAAAAGGAGAUGUUACUCCAAGUGAAGAGGAACUCAAGAGUGGCAAAGCUAAGGGUGAUGGUCUUUUCAAGGCUAUAGAGGGUUACUGUUUGGCUAAUCCUGAUUACAACUAAAGCAUAUAGUGUGUGCUUGCUCUAUAA
rnacentral:lncRNA from 1 species